UCCUUUGCUGGAAAAACAAUGCCGCAGGAAGCACCCUCAAAUUUGGCCUAAAAUAUCCCACAUCCGUCACAUUAAAGUUGACAAUAGAUGGAUUUAGUGACCAAGGAUGAGCACCGGGGUAAUUCUCCUUCUUUGACCUACUUCAUCGUCUUCUAAGUCUAACCAAACAAAACUAUUUCAGUCAAGGAUAUCUUUCUUUUCAUGUCUUUUUAUUCUCACAGUUAAUUUAUUCAUUUCAUUCAACAAGUGUUAUUACCCUGAAGAAAUGUUAUUAAUCAAUGCCAUUGUAUUUGAACUUUCUCAAUAUAUCGGCAAUCAUGGUGGUUGUUUCAUCUUGUUACAUUCUCUGUCAGUGUUCAAAGUGUAAUUGGGUGUACUUUGUUUUUCAGAGAUGAUAGAUUGUCCUGUAGAAACUGCACCUGUCAAUGGAUAUGAAUUCAACUUUGACGUGACACCAGAAAGCUCAUAUUUAUGCGUGUAAAGCUGAUCUUCCAGGGCAAAAGGAGGAGGAAGCGAUGGCGCAGUCAGCUGAUGGCAAAGUGUUUAAGAUUGUUCCAUGUCACCAUCUGGAGCAUAGCACCAGCAACUCCCUGAGCAUACGGGCCUUAAGCCAUGACUUGACUGGUUCAGAUAGGUAAUAAUUACUGAAUUCAAGACACUAAUGCUUCUUAUUCUAUGAGGGUUCAUAUAAAAUUGACAAGGGUUUAGAUCUUGCUAGUAAUACCAAGGAUUCGUGAACCAACUUAACAAUCACACCAUGGAUGAUUUGAAAUAACAAAAUAAAUUGCAGUUCCUGUCUAACAUCUCUAGGAAAUUUUCCAGAACAUAAGUUCAACAAGGAAAACAAAGAAGAUAGAAAAAAUAAGACAAUGUUGUUUUCUUCUUAAUCUUAUAUUUUAUUGUUCCUCCCAUGCCUUGCAUCAAUUUUGUAACCUAUGUGAAACUUGGAUGAUUUAAAACACAAUAAUUACAAUGAACAAGGAAUAGAAACUAGAUCGUCUUGGGUAGGAGAUUGUGGUCUAUCUGAGAAGCAAAGUCCUGAUUUCAGUCUUUAACUAGAAUUCAUCAAGCUUAUCAUUCUCUAAGCUGAUUUAUUAGGCAAUUGUCUUUGUUCUUUCUCAUUCUUGUUUCUUACUUUCCUCUAAAUUGGGCUCAGAGCUUUGUUCUUACUCAUUGUUUCUUAUUUUCCUUUAGAUCAUAUUUUCUAAAGUUGUUCAUGUCAUUGCAUGCAAUGUUUGCUUUCACCCAAAGGGGUGGCUUUGAUCAAAUUGACAAGGAUGAUUCCAACCUACCUCUGGAUACAGCUCCUAUUAAGCAUGUCACGCAGGUAUGCUGUCACAUAAUUGAAAAGUGUUAUCAUGGCUCUAACUACUUGUUAUAAAUUCUCUGCCACUACAAGUUUUCAUCCGAGUUGGGUUAUUAUCUUUUUUAUCUUUCAUCUUUUGUGAAUUUUCGUUUUUAGUUUCAUGAUUUUUUUGUCUUUUUUUAGUCGCAAAAAAAAUAUUGUUUUAUUUUUUGUUCUGAAUAUAUGUAGAAUUUUUUAGGGACUAAAAAUGAAACAAAAAAAUUGAGGGACUAUAAACGAAAAAAAAAAUUUAUAGACUAAGACCAGUCAAAAGAUUAAAAAGGACUAAAACAGUCACAAAAGACGAGAGACUAGCAAGUUAAAUAAAUCCUAUUGAUAUUAUUUUAUUAAUAUUGUGCUACAGGAAAUUUUAAAUUUACAAUUUAUAUUAUAAUACAAAAAUAUUUAUCUUUAUUUAUAUUCUUUUGAAAAUAUUAAAAUUUAAUUUAAAAAUAAGUAUGAAAAUGAAAAAUUAAACAGAGAUAAAAGUUUUAUAAAAAAAUUUAAAAUAUCUUGUUGAAAAAAAAACUAAAAAUACUUUAGUUGAAGAAUAACUCUUAAAAAAAUAUUUUCCGAUACAAGAAACUCAUUUCAUUUCAGAUAAAACUAUAAAAUUUACUAUAAAAAAAGGCAACUAAUGUGUUUAUCCGUUACUCACAACACAAUUAAAAUAUAGCUGUGGACUUAAGUUUUUCGAUUCGACAUUAACUACAAAUAAAAAACAGUAUUAGUUAGAUAACGAUCAUUUUAAUCUAAAAUAGAACUGAGCCAGUUUAAAUACUUAACUUACAAUCCAAAUUAAGUCUGUGGUGACAAUUGCAAACAAAUUAAAAACUGAAAUACUACUACACAUAAAAGACAAAGCCCCAACAUUUUUUUAAAUUUCAAUUCAAGGUUUAAUCAUCCAAUUUUUCUCAUAAACGCAGACUUCUUCCUUGCAUGCAUGCAAUUUUUCCUUCCCUUGUUUUCUAUAGGACAAAAGUUAUCACAGUGCAUACGUGACAAUCUACCCUCAAAACUCUCAGCAUCAAUCAAACAGUCACAAGAAAAGGCCAUAAAACACUACGAUGCUAAUGCCACAAAAUGGUGGCAGUCGUGGUGAUGUCCAUGUUGAGGAUAACCAAAACAUGUCCUUUCCGUGGUGGGAGGGAACCUUUAUGAGGUGCUUCACUGCAAUAGAUGAAAAGCUUGCUAAGAACAUUGACACUGAUGGAUUUCAUGGCGGUAGCACUUCUGUAUCUGUACUCAAACAGGUAUAACUAGACCUUCACAAUUACAUUACCUUCUUGCCAAUGUUGCUUUUGCAAUUAUGUUUUUUCUUUUUUUGUGAAUACUUUUGCAACAAUGUUAUAACCACAUCUUUUUCCCCCUUUAAAUUUCAGGGUGACCAAGUAAUAAUUGGCAAUGUGAGGGAUUCUCGUGCAGUUCUUUGCAGAAGAGCACCUGACAAUCGCCUUAUUCCUGUUCAACUUACUGUUGACUUGACUCCAGAUAUUCCAAGUAUGUUUUGGUAUUACCUAUUCUUAGUUUCCAAAUCUUACAACCCUUUUGAGUUUAUUUGGUUAAAUUGUCUAAUUAAGCCAUAUUCAUUAAGAACUUAUUAGAUGAGAGCUUCUUUCAGGACUUGUUUGGGUAAGUUUAUCCAAAACCACUUAUGCACAUACUAGUUUGUAAAAGCUCUCUCAUCUUUUAGAGAAACUAUACAAGAGAGUUUCUACAAUUUAGCUUAUGGAGAAACUCAUUUCAUUUCUUUUUCUUAUUUUAUUUCUCCUAAAAGUGCUUCCAGAUAAGUUUAUCCAAACAGACCCUAAAAGCUUGAUUGUAUAACUUAGUAAAUAAGCUAACCAAACUUAUUUUGAUAACCUUCUUUUUGAAAUUAAUGAAAUAAGCUAAAAAUAUUCUACUGAAUGGCCAAAAGCUACUUCUACAAGUCCAAAUAAGUUUUAUGAAAUUCUUCCUAAUGUCCCUUGGUCUGUGUCUAACUAGCUUUUCUUCCUCAAUGUCACUCAGGAGAAGCUAUGAGAAUUUUUGCUGUAGAAGAAGAUCCUACUGUAAACAGAGUAUGGAUGCCUAAAAGGGACUGCCCUGGACUGGCUAUGGCAAGAGCCUUUAGAAAUUUUUGCCUAAAAGACUAUGGUGUCGCCUCAGUCCCUGAUGUGUCUUAAAGAAAACUUACCAAGGAGGAUAAGUGUGUGGUUUUGGCUUCUGAUGGGGUAAGCAUUUUCAUAUCAGGAUGUCAACUUCGAAUUUUGGAUUUUGAUUCUUGAGUAAUCAGUUACAGGAACAGAACAAUCAUUUUUAGUGUUUAAGUUAUGCUCAAUUCUCGUAUUCCUCUCAAUCCAAAUAUGUUUGCAAAUAUUUGAUCAAAUAGUGUAAGAAAAGAAAUAACCAAGAAGGUUAAAUGAAUUAACAGCAUGUAGUUUCCACACAUACGUAUUUAGUUCAUAUUGGACAAAAAUUAGAUGCAGUUAGUUCUAUAAGUGCUUUCAUUGUUGUCUUUCAAUUAGAAUUAGAGUUUUACCAAGUAAUCCGUGUAAUAAAGGUUUCAAUUAAAAGUCAACAUAGACUACUAAGGUGAAAUCCAAUUUUGAUUGAAGAACAAUGUUAAAAGCACCUGUAAAACUGUAUCUAAGUUUUGUCCCAGCAUAUUUGGCACAAAUAAUAGCUUAUUUUUAUCAAUUUCCUAAGAGAGCUUUUAAUCAAUAAACAACAACCAAUUAACUUCUCAAAAUUUAUCCCAACCAAAAAGGUCUAAAUUUUCUUUCUUACAGAUUUGGGAUGUGCUAACAAACAGUGAAGUAAUAAACAUAGUUGCUUCAGCACCAAAAAGGUCCGUGGCAGCCAAAUUGUUAGUAAACCAUGCUGCUCGGGCUUGGAAAUAUAAGUAUGGUUUCAAGGUUGAUUAUUGUUCAUCCAUAUGCUUAUUCUUGAAGGAUUAGCCUCCUUUAACCCAAUCCUGAUCCAAAGUUAGUGGGAACAAUAGACAUCCCUUGAAGCACCUGCAUUUCUCAUAAUCUAGACUUGUAAAUACUGAAAUUGUAGAUAUGGCAAGAGUAUGGUAGAAUCAAAAGGAAGAAUGGGAUGCUCUUGGAGGGUUCUCCAGAGCCAACUUUGAAUCAUAGAUUGCAAUCACCUCAGUACCUCAAGGAGGGUUGAAGCUGAUCACUAACUCAGCCAGAAACUCCCCGAAUCCAAGGGCUAGUGCUACUAACAAGUUAACAAUUUUACGGCCAGAAGAUUUUGCUUUUGACACAAUCCCAGAAGAUGGCAAUUAUUUUAGCCUUCUAAUUCUGGUGUAAUUACGUGCAAGACUUCUUUUCUAUCUGCCUAAGACCAACAUUGAUCAAUUUUAGCAGUCUAUAUUAUGGUACCAUAAAAGUUUUCUUUUUUCUGGCUUGGGUUCUAAAGAGUUCAAUGAAGAACUAAGCAGCACCUACUUUUCUAUUUCUCUUCAAUUAUUUCCUAGUGUGCUGUGUUGACACUAACAUUCAGCAUAAAACAUUACUAGACACUAGAACCAGAGGGGUUAUACUAUUGCUGAGCAUUUGAAGCUUAAGAAUGAAUCUUCAAAAGUAAAAGGUGAUCAAUUAACAACCCAGGAAAUGAAAUUUUAUUAAUAACUUCCAGAACUUCUGGAAAAAGAUUACAACACCAAAAUAAUGUUAUUUGGCCUAAAAACAUGCCUUAUAAUUAUUAAGAGUAACGCCAAAGUUGAAAAACACGAUGUUAAAUAUAUUUUUUAUUCUUAAUAAAUAUCUAAAUUUUGUAUUUUUUUCUAAUAAAAAAAUUAAAUUAAAAAAAUUACCAUGAAAAAAAAAUACAAUUUUUUUAUCAGUCAUAGUUUCAACAAUUUUUUUGAUUGAUCUAAGUUCCUCAAGUUUUCUCUAUCUUUGUUUUUAGUUAUUUUCAUCAAAUAUCAUUAUUUAUGAAUGAUGCGUAAACGCGUGCACGACUAAUACGAUGUAAUAAUCACAUAAUAAAAAUAUUAUUGGUUCAAGACAUUUUUUGAGAGUUUCAAGGUGCUACAAAUUUUUUUGAUGGUGUAAAACUACUAGAAAAAGUUUUGAAGUUUUGAAAAAAAAAACAAAAAGGAGAUGUAUUAAGUAAAAUCAAUAAAUCAUAAAGAAGAAUUUACACAAAUCAACAUCCCACAAAACCAUUCUCUAAAACAUAAUCCAUAACUUAAUGAGAAUAGAAUUCUCAUCCUUAAAAAAAACAAAUUCUCAUAUGUUUAGAACUAUAUAUUGACGAUGUCAUACUAGUAGAUAUGAGGGAUUAAAAGCAUAGUUUAUAAAAAAAAAUUAUAAUCAAUAUCUUGCCAAAUUUCUUAAUAAUGUAAUAAGUUAAUGAAUUAUCAUAUUUCUGUUGCAUUAUCAAUCAACAUUAGUUGAUAGUAGAGACUAAAAUAAAAGAUAUUAAAUUUUUAUAGGGACUAAAAAAAUAAAAAAUUAAAGGACAAAACCAAAAAUAAGAUAUAUUAUAGCAACCAAAUAAUUAUUUAAGUCUUCUAUUUUUUUUUCUUUUUCCUAAUAUACCCUUUUCUUCCUUAAUUUCUCUCUUUUCCCCUUUGUCUCCUUCUUCCUAAGUAUCUUCUUGUCACCUUUCUUUGCAAACUCGUCUCUGAUGCUGAUAUGGCUUUGCCUGAAUCCCUGUGCUCCUCAUUACAUGCAUCCCCAUGUUCAUGCAUAUCCUUGUGCUUUUAGCGUUACAUGUUGGCAAGACUAUGAUGGCGACAGCUGUGACGUUGCCGAGUGGAUCUUACUCCCUUUGUUGCAGCUAUCAUGGGGGACCAUGGUGAUUGCCACUAGAUCCCUUUGGAUUCCCUCUGAUUUUUGUGAUGUCGUUAGGAUUUUCCUAUAACAUUCGUGAAAUAUUCUGAAAUAUCGAAAGAUGAUUCCGAUGAUGGUUACAGGUGGGCGACAAUCACAAGGGGAAGAUGAAGAAGAGCAGAAGUAACACGGAUGGUGAUUUUUUAUAGUGUACGACGGCUAAUGCAGAGAGAAAAUAGAGGAGUAAAUUGAAAAAGAGUAAGAUAAAAAACAAAAUAAAAAAGAAAGAAGAAAAGUAUUGUCCAUAAAAUUAAAAAUGUAUAUAUCUAAUGACUUGAAAUAUGUUUCAAAUAAUGAGAUAUGAAGUGAGGUCCCACUCUAGCCAUCUUCAAGAAAUUACUGUCUCUCUGUUUAUAUAUAUAAUACUUAAUUACUUAAUUCAUGAAGAUUAAGAAAAUUGAUUAAUUUAAUUGAUAACAAUAAAUUUAUCUUAAAUUUAUAAUUUUUUUCAAAAUUAUUAUCAUUUAUACUCCCCUCUCUCCUAAUUGUUUGUCAAUAUAUCUUUUCUCUUUCUUAACUAGGGACAUUUCUAAUAUAGAAUUAAUUAAUACAUAAAACAUUAUAGAUUAUGUCUUAUAAAAAAAUAAAUAUCAUUUUAAAUUUGAGUCUUAUAAAUAAAAAUGGAAUGAGUAGUCUUUAACUCUUUAUACUUGCCUUUUUCUACUAUUUGGUUAAGAAGAAUGAAAGAGAAUUGAAAGUAUACAGAGUUGAAAGACAAUGAAAGAAGAUGGUCUAGGAUGUUUGUUACAUGUGAAAAUUUGAUGAAAGUUUCAAAAAUAAUGUGAAACCCACAUGUUUUUACUUUCAUCUCAAAAAGAGAAUAAAAGGGAGGAAAAGAAACAAUAAAAAGGAUGCUAUACACAAAAUUCUUGGUUGCUAAAAUUGUUCCUCAAGCCCCUCAUUAACCUUCAGUGGAACUUUUAAAUUAGGGUAUCAUGUCACAUAUAAUAAGUUAUUCAAAUGUCAUAGUUGAUUAUGCUUAGUUUGCAAUCAAGUUUGCUUUCUAGUGGCUUUUACUCAAGAUAUAAUCAAUUAUAUAUGCAAUUUAUAUAAUUGAUUAUGUGACUUUAAUUAGUAAAAGAAUAUACAUUUUUAUCUCAUAUAUAUAGUUACAUAAACUUAUUUUUUUGGGGUAAAAUGAAUGUUUACUUAAUCUCUUUUUCAGUUAUUUUUCUUUUAUUAUUGACCUAAACACUUUAGUUUAAGCAUUUCAUUUCUUUUACACUUUUUUUUUUCCAUCUCAAUCAAAUAACUUUAUUUUUUUAUUCUUUUUUCAUUUUUUUUUAAGAGAGUCUCUUCUCAUUUCAACUUUCUUUCAUUUAUUUUCAUUCCUUUUCACACUACAUACAGUUAGACUUAGGCUGCCAUUAUGAUGGAGAAAAGUAAUAUACAAAAAAAAUUAUAUAUUUUAUUCGAUGGGAUCCACAUCUCUUAUAUUUUACUUUAAUUAUUUUUUUCAUUUUUUUCCUCUGCCUUUCCUUCUUCUAAAUCAAAUGCCCCCUACACAAUUCCAUCCUAUGAGACAAAUGUGUGUUUAAAAGAAAAAGUUUAUAGAUAUGCGUCAAUUGUAACUUUUGAUGCGGAAGUUAAUUAGCUAGCUUUAACAGCAUGCACGUUUAGGAGAAAAUGCAAGAAAAUCCAAAGGGGCAAUAAUAAAGCUGGUUGGGAGUGGAUUCCAAAUCAUCAAAUCAAAUCAAAUUCUCCCAUUGCUCCAAUGAGUUGUCCUCCCACAAAUUAAGCUCCAAUCUUCUAGAAAUAAGGUUUUAAAUAGCCAAGGAUUAAGAUUAAUUGUUGAAGGACAAAUUCAAUGCCAUGUACUCCACACAACAAGACAUCUGAAUGAGUAAUUAAUGAUAUAUGAAUUAUCAUUUAUUUUAAUCAUUUUAUUUUUUAUCUAUCUGUCACAUCAUAAAUUAUAUUAUACCUAUAUUUUUCCUUUUUUUCCCUAUAUGUUGAAUAAAUUUUUGGAUGUUAUCAAACAUUUUCCCAUCUAAAUUGAGCUAGAUCUGAUUCAUCCGAAAGAGGAUCCAAGUAUCCAUAAGAUGAUUUUAAAGAGAGAAAAGAAGGAAAUACCAUGAUUUGAAUCCCUUUUAUUAACAAAAUCUAACAACUAAUGUCUAAAAAAAUUAAGCAAAUUAAUAAUUACACUAUUUUUUUGGUAUUCAUAUAAUUCUUAUCUCUUCCCAACAAAUAUUACCAUGCAAAAAAUGUUUUUUGGAUCUGCAUCAAUACCCAAAGAUGUGGAUAAAAGAUGUUAAUACAUUCAGUGAAAAUUUCUUUAUUAUCUUAAAAAUAUUUUCCUUUUGAAUAAUAAAUAUAAUUUUCACAAUUAGUUGAGUGUACUUUGUUUUUCAGAGAUGGUAGAGUGGUCCAGAGAAACUGCACCUGUCAAUGGAUAUGAAUUCAACUUUGAACAAUAUCUAAACAGAACUUCUGAUUUAAUUGACGUGAAAGUGAUCCUUUCUCAAUAGCUGAAUUUUUAAUUGGAAAGCUUUUCAUUGGACAUCAGACUAUAAGAGGACAACUACAAAGGAUAAUCUCAGAUCUUUCAGUAAGGCAUGCUUCCCAUGUAUAUAUUGGCAGAUAACUGAAAAUGUUUCAUAUCAUUUAAUUUCUAACCAUUUCAAAUUCUUUGGCAAAACAUAUCUGAGGUUUUCUUUUUUUCCAUUAUUAUUGUGUUGUAGGAAAUUGUAGUAUACUGCUCUCUACCAAGGUUAUCCAUUGAUGCAAGGAAGAAUGUGCUGCAGCAAACUAUACACUUCAAAUAAUUUGAUGUUUUACUUUUUUGCCAAAUAUUGUGCUGCAGCAAACUAUACACAUACUGUGUUGUUGCCAUCUCUAAUCUAGUCUUGAUACUAGUGUUCAAAAUGAGAAUGAACUGGAAGCAACAGAAUCACCAAUUCACAAAGCCUUUGGUGCACUUGCCAAAGUCUUAACAUGGUGCUUUCAUCAGAGUUUCAUCAAGUCCGCUGAGAAACAAUCAUCAUACUUCUACAAGAGAAGCUUGGGCACCUUUGUAGUUCUAGCAAGUCAUUUUGGAUCUAGACAAGAGCCAGGGAGGUUAGAAGUUUUCAUCAGGACUAAGGGGUUUGCUCUAUGAAAUAUAAAUGGAAGACAAGUACAUUCUUGGGGUGAAACACCAUGACAGAGACUGAGUUUAUGACAGAUGGGACAUUUUGCUCUGCUUUUAGUUCAACUGAAUCUUCUGGUGAAGACAUUGAACUAUGAAGUAUCUUCUGGGAAAGAUUUAUGUGGUGUCUUGCUAAAAUAACAGUGAUGUAAUAAACAUAGUUGCCCUUAUCAGAUUUAAGUUGCAAACAUUCAAAUCUUUACACUGCCACGGCCACAUAGAUUGCAAACAUUCAAGGCCCAAUGGUGGAGUCCAUGGUCGAGGCCAUCUCCAGCAUCGAGACAACUUGCCUCCAACAUUUAAAAUUGAGGGAUUGUUCGUCAGCUAUAUCUUUUCCAGGUGGUCGUCUACCUGCAUCUCUGAAGACUCUGGUUAUCAGCAAUCUUAAAAAUCUGGAAUUCCCUACCCAACACAAGCACCAGUUACUAGAAUCACUGUUUCUAUAUAAUAGUUGCGAUUCUCUCAAGUCUCUUCCAUUGGUUACCUUUCCAAAUCUCAAAAGUCUCCCAAUCGAAAACUGUGAACACAUGGAAUCUCUUUUGGUUUCAGGGGCAGAGUCAUUUAAGAGUCUGUGUUCUUUGAGAAUUUCCCAAUGCCCCAACUUUGUAUCAUUCUGGAGAGAAGGAUUGCCUGCGCCCAAUUUGACUGAUUUUGAAGUUUUGCAUUGCGACAAGUUGAAGUCAUUACCUGACAAAAUGAGUACUCUUCUCCCAAAGUUAGAAUAUCUUGACAUAUCCAACUGUCCAGAAAUUGAGUCGUUUCCAGAAGGGGGGUAUGCCACCUAAUCUGAGAACAAUCAUUGUUAGUGUUUAAAUGAUGCUCAAUUUUCUCAUUCCUCUCAAUCCAGAUAUGUAUACAAAUAUUUGAUCAAAUAGUAUAAGAAAAGAAAUAACCAAGAAGAUUAAAUGAAUUAACAGCAUGUAGUUUUCACACAUACAUGUUUAAUUCAUAUUGGACAAAAAUUAGAUGCUGUUAGUUCUNNNNNNNNNNNNNNNNNNNNNNNNNNNNNNNNNNNNNNNNNNNNNNNNNNNNNNNNNNNNNNNNNNNNNNNNNNNNNNNNNNNNNNNNNNNNNNNNNNNNNNNNNNNNNNNNNNNNNNNNNNNNNNNNNNNNNNNNNNNNNNNNNNNNNNNNNNNNNNNNNNNNNNNNNNNNNNNNNNNACAAAUAAUAGCUUAUUUUUAUUCAGUUUCCUAAGAGAGCUUUUAAGCAAUAAACAACAACCAAUUAACUUCUUAAAAAUUAUCCCAACCAAAAAGGUCUGAAUGUUCUUUCUUAGAGAUUUUAAGCAUGACUAAGAAUUAUAAACAGCAACACCAAAGUUGAAAAAUAAGUUUAAAUAUAUUUUUUUUUCUUAAUAAAUAUUUAAAUUUAAUAUUUAUUUUCUGAUAAAAAAAAAUUGCAGUAAGUUCUUAUAAAAAAAAAAGUCAUUUAUUAUUAGUCUUUUGAAAUGGAGUCAUAAUAAAUGAAAUACAUUAUCCUAAAACAAACAUAUAAUUUUUUAAUUUAUCAUGAACUAAAACAUAACAUAAAAAACAAAAAUAUACAUUAAUACUUAAAUACAAAACUAGAAUAUUUAUUAGAAAUCAGGCCAAUAUAUUAGCAUAUAAAAAAAUAAAGGCAGACCUCCUAAAAAAUGAACGCAUGAUGAAAAGAUAGAUCUUUGAGGGACCACCACAUGUCUUUUGGCUUACCACCUGGAGCUUCUACACUACACUAUUUCAAGUAACCAGACUUCAAUCUAAACCAUUGAAUUUUUAAUUAAUAUAUUUAACGGCUAAUAUUGAUGGUAGAUACUUCCACCCAGAUACCACGUUCAACAAGUAUCCAACCACACCGCUGCACCUUGUCAAAAACCAACCCAGUUUUGUAACCAAUUUCUUUCCUUUAUCUUUCUCAUUCAGAUCAUGGCUGAGGCAGUUGGUGGUGCGUUUCUCUCUGCUUUCCUUGAUGUUGUGUUCGACAAGCUGGUCACCGAUGAGGUUGUUGACUUCAUCCGUGGAAAGAAGCUUGACCUCAAUUUGCUUGAGAACUUGAAGACCACUCUGAGACUGGUUGGAGCUGUGCUUGACGAUGCUGAGAAGAAACAAAUCAAACUCUCCAGUGUCAACCAGUGGCUCAUUGAGCUCAAAGAUGUUCUCUAUGAGGCCGAUGACUUGCUGGAUGAAAUUUCCACCAAAUCUGCAACUCAAAAGAAGGUAAUUAAAGUGUUUUCUCGCUUUACUGAUAGGAAAAUGGCCAGUAAGUUGGAAAAAGUAGUUGGCAAAUUAGAUAAAGUUCUAGAAGGCAUGAAGGGUCUUCCUUUGCAAGUGAUGGCAGGGGAGAGCAACGAGUCAUGGAAUGCUCAGCCAACAACAUCUCUGGAAGAUGGAUAUGGUAUGUAUGGUAGGGAUACAGACAAGGAGGCCAUAAUGAGGUUGUUGUUAGAGGAUAGCAGUGAUGGUGUGCAAGUGUCUGUGACCGCUAUUGUAGGCAUGGGUGGGGUUGGGAAAACCACUUUAGCCCGAUCUGUGUUCAACGAUAGCAAUUUGAAGCAGAUGUUUGAUUUAAAUGCAUGGGUCUGUGUUUCUGAUCAAUUUGAUAUUGUGAAGGUCACACAAACUAUGAUUGAGCAACUUACGCAUGAAUCUUGUAAAUUGAAUGAUCUUAAUUUACUUCAACUUGAAUUGAUGGACAAGCUGAAAAACAAAAAAUUCUUAAUUAUCUUGGAUGACGUUUGGAUCCAAGAUUAUGAGAGCUGGAGUAAUCUUACAAAACCAUUUCUACACGGGAUAAGGGGAAGUAAAAUUCUCUUGACAACCCGAAAUGAAAACGUAGUGAAUGUAGUCCCUUACCAUAUUGUUCAAGUUCUUCCUCUAAGUAAAUUGUCAAAUGAAGAUUGUUGGCUAGUGUUUGCAAACCAUGCAUUUCCUUCCUCGGGAUCAGGUGAGGAGGAUAGAAGAGCUUUAGAAAAAAUUGGAAGGGAAAUUGUUAAAAAGUGUAAUGGAUUGCCUUUAGCAGCACGAUCACUCGGAGGUAUGUUGAGAAGAAAGCAUGCCAUUAGGGAUUGGAAUAAUAUACUUGAAAGCGACAUUUGGGAACUUCCUGAAAGUCAGUGUAAAAUUAUUCCGGCUUUGAGAAUCAGUUAUCAUUAUCUCCCUCCACAUCUAAAACGGUGCUUUGUUUAUUGUUCAUUAUACCCGAAAGAUUAUGAAUUUCAAAAGGAUGACUUGAUCUUGUUGUGGAUGGCUGAAGAUCUUUUGAAGCUUCCAAACAAAGGAAAGUCGUUAGAAGUUGGUUACGAGUAUUUUGAUGAUUUAGUUUCAAGAUCAUUUUUUCAACAUUCAAGAAGUAAUUUAACUUGGGACAAUUGUUUUGUAAUGCAUGACCUCGUGCAUGAUCUAGCAUUAUCCCUUGGUGGAGAAUUCUACUUCAGAUCAGAAGACCUUAGAAAAGAAACCAAGAUUGGUAUAAAGACUCGUCAUUUGUCCGUGACAAAGUUCAGUGAUCCAAUCUCAAAGAUUGAAGUGUUUGACAAACUACAAUUUUUGAGAACUUUCAUGGCAAUUUAUUUUAAAGAUUCUCCGUUCAACAAGGAAAAGGAACCAGGUAUUGUAGUCUUGAAGCUUAAGUGCUUGAGAGUUUUAUCAUUCUGUGGCUUCGCAAGUCUGGAUGUUUUGCCUGAUUCAAUAGGUAAAUUGAUCCACUUGCGUUAUUUAAAUCUCUCUUUUACAAGUAUAAAAACACUGCCGGAGUCAUUGUGUAAUUUGUACAAUCUACAAACUCUGGUGUUGUCUCAUUGCGAAAUGUUGACCAGGUUGCCUACUGGCAUGCAAAAUCUUAUAAACUUGUGUCAUCUUCAUAUUAAUGGUACUCGUAUAGAAGAGAUGCCUAGAGGAAUGGGAAUGUUAAGUCAUUUGCAGCAUUUGGAUUUCUUUAUUGUGGGCAAGGAUAAAGAGAACGGAAUCAAAGAACUGGGGACACUUUCAAAUCUUCAUGGUUCACUUUUUGUUAGGAAGUUGGAGAAUGUAACCCGAAGCAAUGAAGCAUUGGAGGCUAGGAUGCUGGAUAAGAAGCACAUUAAUCAUUUAUCCUUGCAAUGGUCUAAUGGCAACGACUCCCAAACUGAAUUAGAUGUGCUGUGCAAAUUAAAACCUCACCAAGGCCUGGAAUCUCUAACAAUAUGGGGUUAUAAUGGAACCAUAUUUCCAGAUUGGGUGGGAAAUUUUUGGUUUUACAAAAAUGAAGAUUGUCCUUCUGUGACACCCUUUUCUUCCCUUGAAACUCUAGAAAUUGAUAACAUGUUUUGCUGGGAGUUGUGGAGUACCCCUGAGUCAGACGCCUUUCCUCUACUCAAGUCUCUUACAAUAGAGGAUUGCCCCAAACUAAGGGGAGAUUUGCCAAAUCACCUUCCUGCUCUGGAAACACUUACAAUUACAAAUUGCGAGCUUCUUGUCUCUUCUCUCCCUAGGGCUCCCACCCUUAAGAGAUUAGAGAUAUGUAAAAGCAACAAUGUAUCGUUGCAUGUGUUUCCUCUUUUGUUGGAAUCGAUAGAAGUAGAAGGAAGCCCAAUGGUGGAGUCCAUGAUCGAGGCCAUCACCAGCAUUGAGCCAACUUGCCUCCAACAUUUAAAAUUGCGGGAUUAUUCGUCAGCCAUAUCUUUUCCAGGUGGUCAUCUACCUGCAUCUCUGAAGGCUCUGCAUAUCAGCAAUCUUAAAAAUCUGGAAUUCCCGACCGAACACAAACCGGAGUUACUGGAACCACUGCCAAUAUACAACAGUUGUGAUUCUCUCACGUCCCUUCCAUUGGUUACCUUUCCAAAUCUCAAAACUCUCCGAAUCGAAAACUGUGAAAAUAUGGAAUCUCUUUUGGGUUCAGGGUCAGAGUCAUUUAAGAGUCUGAAUUCUUUUAGGAUUACCAGAUGCCCCAACAUUGAAUCAUUCCCGAGAGAAGGACUGCCUGCGCCCAACUUGACUGAUUUCGUUGUUAAAUAUUGCAACAAGUUGAAGUCAUUGCCUGAUGAGAUGAAUACUCUUCUCCCAAAGUUAGAAUAUCUACAAGUUGAGCACUGCCCUGAAAUUGAGUCGUUUCCUCAUGGGGGUAUGCCACCUAACUUGAGAACAGUUUGGAUUGUCAAUUGUGAGAAACUACUGAGCGGCCUAGCAUGGCCAUCCAUGGGCAUGCUUACUGAUCUCUCUUUUGAGGGUCCAUGUGAUGGCAUCAAGUCCUUCCCAAAGGAGGGGUUGCUGCCUCCCUCCCUUGUGUCUCUGGGGCUAUAUCACUUCUCAAAUCUGGAGAGUUUGACCUGCAAGGGGCUUCUCCAUCUCACAUCCCUGCAAAAAUUUGAAAUUGUUGACUGUCAAAAGCUGGAGAAUAUGGAGGGAGAAAGGCUUCCUGACUCCCUAAUCAAAUUAUCCAUACGGAGAUGUCCUUUGCUGGAAAAACAAUGCCACAGGAAGCACCCUCAAAUUUGGCCUAAAAUUUCCCAUAUCCGAGGCAUUAAUGUUGACGGUAGAUGGAUUUAGUGACCAAGGAUGAGCACCAGGUAAUUCUCCUUCUUUGACCUACUUCAUUGUCUUCUAAGUUUAACCAUGCAAACUAUUUCAGCCAAGGAUAUCUUUCAUUUCAAGUCCUUUUACUCUCACAUUUAAUUUAGUCAUUGCAUUCAACAAGUGUUAGGCUAGUUGUUCAGUUUGAUACUUGGUUGGAAUUGCAGGUCUAAACGAAACCAAAUUCUUUUGUAUAGAUUUUAUUUACUUCAGAAACAUACUUCAGAAAUGACUAGAUUUCUUGUCUACGAACUGAUUCUGAAAUGGAAUUUGAUGUACUAUAUAUCUUACUAAAUCUUCAGGGAAUAAGAGCAUUAUUGAAGGCAACAUAUAUGAGAAUGUUUCUUAUGAUCCUCUAGCUACAAAGAAGAAAUAACAAUACAGGUAUUAAGUGUGCAACAUCAGUUACUUCCUCAAUAUAACGAUUACCCUGAAGAAAUGUUAUUAAUCAAUGCCAUUGUAUUUGAACUUCCUCGAUAUAUCAGCAAUCAUGGUGUUGUUUCUUCUUGUUACAUUCUCUGUCAGUGUUCAAAGGGUAACUGGGUGUACUUUGUUUUUCAGAGAUGGAAGAUUGGCCCGUAGAAACUGCACCUGUCAAUGGAUAUGAAUUUAACUUUGAACUAGAUCUAAAUGGAACUUGUGAUUUAAUUGACGAGACACUGAUGUUUUUUAAACACCUGAAUUUUUAACUGAAAAGCUUUUCAUUGCAUACAAUGGAGAGGAUGAAAAACUAUAUCAGGACAAGUGGACAACUACAUAGGACGAUCUUAGAUCUUUAGAUAACACAUGCAGUCUUCCUAGGUAUAUUGGCAGAUUAUAGAAAAUGUUGCGUAUCCUUUAACUGCUAGCCAUUUUAAAUUCUCUGCUAUGUUUUGAUUUUUCCAUUAUUAUUCUGUUGUAGGAAAUAGUAAUAUACUGCUCCCUAGGCAGGUCAUCACUUUUGUGUUUGAUGCAAAGAUGGAUAUAUAUAGGUGGAACACUUCUGAAAGGUUUAUCUCAAUAUGUACAGGUUAAAUUUCCCAUACUGCUGCUUGAAUCAAUGAAUUUUUGCAAGUUUGGUCAGUAAUCAAAAUGCUCAAAGUAGCCUGUACAUGUUAUUAGAUGUGAAUUCUGUUACAUACUACUGAUUGGCACUUACACCAGUGCACAGAAUGGGAAAGAACUGGAAGAAAGGAAAUAUUACAUUCAAAGCUUUUGAUGCAAAACAUAAGAGUGGAGGUGGUGGUUUCAUCAUUGUGGAAGGUUUCCAUAAUGUUCUCAGAAGUUUGAGCACCUUAGCGGUACAAGCUUCAUUGUAUGGAAUGAGUUCUGGCAAGUGAUUUUUGUUGAAGAUAUGCUUUUGUAACUGCAUAAUAUUUUAUUUUUCAGUUUUUAAAAUAGGAUUUAGUAAAUAAAUUGGUUUCCUAUAUUUUAGGAGUAAGUCAGUUUUAAUGGAUUAACCUAGUCAAUAAGUAGUUCCUAUCUUUAAGGAGCAAGUUAGUUUUAAUAUUCUGUUUUACUAAUUAGUUUAUCUUUAGCUAUUUAUUGUAUCACUGCUGAGAACAAUUUGAAUUAGAAUAGAAUAAUUCUAUUUCCUCCGCAUACGUAUUAUCUCUCUUUUCUCCUAUGUUUUUUAUAAUUUCCUCCACAAAACCAACAAUUGGUAUCGAGAGCCUUAUUCUUACGGGACCUGUACCAUGGAAGGUGAAGCAAGUUUUUCUCACAUAACUCUUCCAAUCUUUGAUGGAGAGAAUUAUAAUCUUUGGGAAGUGAAAAUGUAAUCCUACAUGGAGUCUUUGGAUUUGUGGGAUGCUGUGGAAGAGGAUUAUGAAAUAUAUCCGCUGCCUGAAAAUCCCACCAUGGCCCAAAUUAAAAAUCACAAGGAAAGAAAGAUGAAGAAGGCAAAGGCGAGGUCAUGUUUGUUCACUGGUGUUUCACAAAUGAUAUUCACCAGAAUCAUGACUCUUAAAUCACCCAAAGCAAUUUGGGAUUAUCUUAAAAAGGAAUACACUGGAGAUGAUAGAAUACAAAGCAUGCAAGUGCUGAAUUUAAGGAGGGAAUUUGAGCUUCAAAGGAUGGAAGAGUCAGAGACAAUCAAAGAAUACUCAAACAAAUUGUUGGGUAUUGCCAACAAGAUAAAGUUGUUGGGAAGUGAUUUUGCUGAUUCUAGAAUUGUAGAGAAAAUUUUGGUAACGAUGUCAGAGAGGUAUGAAGCAUCUAUAGCUUCAUUGGAGAACACAAAGGAUCUGUCGAGAAUCACAUUGGCAGAAGUGCUACAUGCCCUGCAAGCUCAAGAGCAGCGAAGGAUGAUGAGGCAAGAUCGUGUUGUCGAAGGUGCUUUGCCUGCCAAACAUCAUAAAGUUGAUGAAAGCAAAAAGAAUUUUUUCAAGAAGAAUCAACCAGCAAGUAGCGAAAAUAGUGCAAACAACCAAAACAGAGGUAAGGAUAAAAAGAAAAAUUAUCCACCUUGUCAGCAUUGUGGCAAAAAAGGUCAUGCACCUUUCAAAUGUUGGAGGAGACCAGAUGCAAAAUGUAACAAGUGCAAUCAAAUAGGGCAUGAAGCGGUGAUCUGCCCCAACAAAAAUCACCACGAUGAGGGAGCACAGAUUGCUAAUCAAGACAAGGAGGACCAACUGUUUGUGGCCACAUGCUUCUUGAGUAGUGAAUCAAGUGAAAGUUGGUUGAUUGAUAAUGGUUGUACGAACCACAUGACAUAUGAUAAGACUCUAUUCAAGGAUUUGAAGCCAACUAAUGUCUCAAUGGUCAGAAUUGGGAAUGGUGGCUAUAUUCCUGUAAAAGGAAAAGGAACUGUUGCAAUUUCAACGUGUUCAGGCAUCAAAUUAAUAUCAGAUGUUCUUUAUGUACCUAACAUUGACCAAAACUUGCUAAGUGUAGGUCAGUUGAUUGAAAAGGGAUUUAAAGUGUCCUUUGAACAUCAACAUUGCUUUAUUUAUGACAUUGUUGGUCUGGAAGUUCUAAGGGAUAAAAUGAAAGGUAAAAGCUUCUCAUUUGAUCCAGCAGAGAAGGAGCAUACAACCUAUUUCACUCAAGUCACACCCACGGAACUUUGACACAAGAGACUUGGUCAUUGCCAUCUUGAAAGAAUGCUAAACAUGAAAAAAAGGAAAUAUGCAAAAGAAAAUUUGAAGAAGCUUAGCAAGGAAGAAGGUGUUGAUAAUAUUGAUGAAGGAUAUUAUGGGAGCUUGAUUGGAUGUCUAAUGUAUCUCACUACAACAAGGCCAAACAUUCUAUUUUCUCAAAAGAACAAAACUGGAAUUUUUGUUAACAAUCAAGCAGCCAUUGCUAUUGCAAACAAUCCUGUGUGUCCUGGGAAGACUAAACAUUUCAAUAUCAAGUUCUAUUAUUUGAUAAAGAUGCAACAAAGUGGAGAAGUGAACUUAAUUUACUGCAAGUCUAAAGAUCAACUAGCUGACAUGUUUACAAAGUCACUACCUAUCAACAAACUUGAACUCUUAAGGCAAAAAAUUAGAGUUUGCAGUUCCAAAAGCAAGGAGGAGUGUUGAAGAUAUGCUUUUGUAACUGCAUAAUAUUUUAUUUUUCAGUUUUUAAAAUAGGAUUUAGUAAAUAAGUUAGUUUCCUAUAUUUUAAGAGUAAGUCAGUUUUAAUGGAUUAACCAAGUCAAUAAGUGAUUCCUAUCUUUAAGGAGCAAGUUAGUUUUAAUAUUUUGUUUUGCUAAUAUCUUGUUAUCUAAUUAGUUUAUCUUUUACUAUUUAUUGUAUAGUUGCUGAGAACAAUUUGAAUUAGAAUAAAAUAAUUUUAUUUCCUCCACAUACGUAUUGUCUCUUUUUUCUCCUCUGUUUUUUAUAAUUUCCUCCACAAAACCAACAAUUUUCAAAUCAAAACAACAUGGGAUGUUUGAAGAAUGAUAUCUGAUGGGAAAGGUCAUUGGUCUCUACCAUUUUAAAGGAAAUAUUAAAGUAUAUAUAUUUAUGGAAGUCAAAUAAAUUUCAGAAGUGAAAUUCAACUACAAUAGUCUGAGUUCAGUUUAAUAAUGACCAUGAUUUUUUUAUUCUUUUUGCACUAUUCAAAUGCCACAAUCUCCCUAUAUUUCCUAUUUUUUUCCUUCUUCAGGUGGUUUUGAUGGUGGAGAGGUUGAGAAGAUUCCUGGGUUCGAUUUCGUAGACUGGUUAAAGAACACGGUUUCGGAGAAUGAUUUCGUUGUGAUGAAGAUGGAUGUGGAGGGUACUGAGUUUGAUUUGAUUCCAAGAUUGUUUGAAACUAGGGCUAUCUGUUUGGUGGAUGAGAUUUUUCUUGAGUGCCAUUACAAUAGGUGGCAGAGGUGUUGCCCUGGACAGAGGAGUCCCAAGUAUGAGAAAACUUAUGAUCAGUGCUUGCAGCUCUUCACUUCUCUCAGACAAAGUGGAGUUCUUGUUCAUCAAUGGUUUUAAUUAACUUUGUAGAAUUGCCUGAUGGAUGAUGGGUCAAACCCUAUAUGCAUGUUCUUAGCUUCUGCAUGUUUCUUCUUUUUAGUUUUCUUAUUUUUUUCCCAAGCCAAUAGAGAAGAGAGAGAGUGAGAGUGAGAGUUCUUUAUUUUUUAAAAUUUCUCUACUUGUAACAGUUGCAACUGAAAAUGAAAAUUAAAACCAUCCCUUUACAACAAUUGUAUUUGUUACACAUUUGUCUUGUUUUUAUCUGUGUACAUAUAUAGUAGAGGAUACUUUGAAGUCUAAUCUAUCAUAUUAUCUCUGAGAAGAAUUUUUUAUUGUUCCUUUUGUCAAAUUAUUGUUGAAUUGAAAAAUAAUUCAUGAACACUCCAUUCCAUGUUACUAGGCAUUCACCAAGAGAGAGAUAAAAGAGAAAAAAAGAGUAUGAAUGUGACAAGUGAAUAUAUAUAAUGUAACAAAAGAAAAAGAUAGAAAUAUAAGGCAAAUUUCCCCAUCUGGGGUAGUUUUAGAAACUAUUUCCCCAGAUGGGGUCAUUUCCAAAUUAUUUGCAACAUGGGGCAGUUUUUUACGUGGAAACCAUGCAUGCAGGACCCAAACCGCCAGAACCAGUGGCGAGUUUGGUGUCCUUGAGCAAAUCGCCAGCACCAAUGGCGAUACGUGCAUGCAGAGACGAAACCGCCAGUCCAAAUGGCGAUACGGUUUGCGCUUUGGGAACCGCCAGUCAAACUGGCGAGUUCCAUGGCCUGAGGCUGCAGGGCUACGUCCCUGCCAUGGCAGUGUAGUGCAGAUGCAGGUGCAGGCAAAACCGCUAUUACCAUUGGCGGUUUGCCUUGCACAGGGAUUGCCAAGAAAACGCUAUUACCAUUGGCGGGUUGCAUUCCGUUUGAAUUUUUUUUGCCCCUCUUCCAUUAUAAAAGCAGAAGAAGCUUCGUGAUUGCACUGCUCUUCCUUCCUUUGCUUCCAUUGCUUUGCUAUUCUUCUUCCUUAUUUCCUCUUAUUUGGUUGUUGUUGCCUUCUUCUUAUUUGGUUGCUGUCUUUUGUUUUUGGUAAGUAUUUUUUAAUGAUAAAUAUUUAUUGUGUAUAUAUAUAUUUAUAUAUGAAUGGUAAAUAUUUUGUUAAUGUUUGUAGGGGUGUGCUUUGUUUCAGUCUUGGUACGUGAUUUCUCUCCUCUUCAUAUUACGUGAGUUCUCUGUGCUUGGUAAGUGAUUAUUAACUUGGUAACUUUAAUUGAUAGGUUAAUGUUAGGUUUUAAAAAUUAUAUGUUAUUAGUUGUGUUAUAUAUAUAGAUAUAUGUUAGGUUAGUUAUAGUUAAAUUGAUAUAUAUUAUUUUCUUUAAAUUUUGUAAAUUAACAUGGUAUUAAUUAUUUUAUAUAUACAUAUUACGUUUGUUGAUGUUAGAUGAAAUUUUUAAAUUUUAAGUGGUACAUUGAAAUAUUGAGUUGGUAUAUUAUGAUUUGUACGUUAGUUGUAGUGGAUUUACUAAUAUGAUUUUGUUAAGAUUUUUUAAAUUUUUAUCUUAUUAUUUGUGAUAAAAUUAUUUGUACGUUAAUUUUAGUUGUUAUGUUAUUAUUAUUUGGUUUAGAUUUAUUAGGUUUGUAUGAUAUUAUUUGUAUUUUAUAUAUGGUAUUUUAGGUUUAGUUGGAAUGUGAAUAUUAUUUAAUUUACUUAUUUAUAGUUUUUAUUGAAAUAUAUGAUAUUUUAUUAAUUUUAUAUAUAUAUAUAUAUAUAUAUAUAUAUAUAUAUAUAUAUACACGUUCUUUAAAUUUGUUUAUUCCAUGAAUUUUUUUUAUUUAAUACCAUUUUUUUGUGUAUAAUAUUUGUUAUUUAAUUUAAAUUAUAAUAAUUGGAAAAAAAUAUGGUCAUUUAAUUAAAUUUAUGUACGCAUUUGAAUAUUUAAUUUUGUUAUGUAUAGAGUUUUUUAGUUAGUAAAUUAAGUUUUGUUGUGUUAAAUUUAUGAACGUGUUUUAUUUUAUAAUUUUAUUAUGCACAUAUUUUAAUUUGGUCAUUUAUUUCAAUUUAUGUUGCUAUGUUAAUUUUUAAUUUUGUAGAGGAAAUCAUACCUUCUGCUGGGUGAACAAUUCUUACUGGUGGAAUCAUGUCGGAGACUUCAUUGUCUGUAUCUGAUAUACCGUCAACAUUGUCAUCUUCGUCUAACGACUCUUCAACGUAUGAGUUAGACACAAGAUAAUCAUCAUCAUCAUGAUCAUCAUCUUCGUCAAGAUUUAAAUUGCUCAUAUUUGUUGGCGGUUGUGUGUAAUCAUUAGAUACAUAAUUUCCACAUGAUGUAAGGGAAUUUGCAGAAUGAAACAUUGAACCACCAGCCACAUCCUUUUCUAUGUACAAUUCUAGAACUGACAUUUCUUGUUGUUGUUUAAAACUUUCCAGCAUCGUUUCAACGUCUUCGUCAUCGCAAAUUUGCAAGACUAUAUUUUCCUGACACUAAAAAUCUACAACUGAUAGCAGAAAUAAUUUCAUUAUUUUCUAACUUUACCUUGUCUCCAAUUUUUUUCUUCAAAGUAUUGAAACUAAUUCCACGUUUAAUCUGAAUCGUUUUUUUACUGCCUUCAAAUAUUACACCAUCAUUAUCUUCAUAUACCCUUCCAUUGAAACACAACACUGUUAUAACCGAAUUCAUCAUGUACCUACAAAAACAAUAUUUUAAUUAAUUAUUCAUAAUAAAUUAAAAAUAAUAAAAUGUAAGAAAUAAAAAAAAUGAGAAUACAAAUUAUUUUACUGCAAACUAAGAAAUAAAAAAAUUACUUAAAAAAAUUACUUGAAAGUUGAAAUCUAGUUUUAAUUAAAAAUUACUUAAAAAAUUUAUAAUAGAAAUUAUUUUACUGCAAAUUAACAAAUAAAAAAAAUUACUUGAAAGCUGAAAUCUAGUUUUAGUUAAAAAUUACUUAAAAUAUGAUACAAUUUAUUUUACUGCAAACUAAUAAAUAAAUAAAAAUCUUCAAAAAUAUUACUUUAAAGCUGAAAUCUACUUUUAAUUAAAAAAUUACUUCAUAAAAAUUAUCAUACAAAUUAUUUUACUGGAAACUAAGAAAUAAAUAAAAAAUACUUAAAAAAAUUACUUGAAAGCUGAAAUUCACUUUUAAUUAAAAAUUACUUAAAAAAAUUAUCAUACAAAUUAUUUUACUAGAAACUAAGAAAUAAGAAAAAUUACUUACAAAAAAUAACUUGAAAGCUGAAAUCUAGUUUUAAUUAAAAAAUAAUUUAAAAAAAUUAUAAUACAAAUACAAAUUAUUUUACUGGAAACAAAGAAAUAAAAAAAAUUACUUAAAUUUUUUUUCUUAAAGCUGAAAUCUAGUUUUAAUUAAAAAUUACUACAAGAAAAUUAUGAUACAAAUUAUUUUACUGCAAACUAAGAAAUAAAAAAAAUUACUUAAAAAAAAUUACUUUAAAGCAAAAUUCUACUUCUAAUUAAAGAUUACUUAAAAAAAAUUAUCAUAUAAAUUAUUUUACUGGAAACUACAAAAUAAACUAUAAAUCUAAUUUAAUUAUAAAAUUAAUAAAAACUAUACAUUCAAACUGCUAUAAAUAAUUACUUACAUAAAAUUAUAACAAAAAUUAUUAAUUUCGAAAAAGGAACAUAUUAUUUUGACUUUCAAAAAAGGAACGUAUUAUCAAUUGCCCAGAGGCUCUUCGCUAUGCGAAGGUAUGGGGGAGGGAUAUUGUACGCAGCCUUAUCCUUGCAUAUGCAAAGAGGCUGUUUCCGGAUUCGAAUCCAUGACCAACAAGUCACCAAAGUACAACUUUACCGCUGCACCAGGGCUCGCCCUCAUAUAAAAUAUAAAAAUAAUUUAAUUAAAAAUUUCAUAAAAACUAUACAUUGAAACUGCUAUAAAAAAUUACUUAAAAAAUAAUAAUACAAAUUAUUUUACGGGACAUUACGAAAUAAAAAUAUAAAACUAAUUUAAUUAAAGAAUUACUAAAAACUAUACCUUUUAACUGCUAUAAAAAUAUAGGUUAAAAAAAUUAUAACACAAAUUAUUAAUUUUAAAAUUACAAACCUGCUUCAAAUAUUUAAGUUCAAGCAAACAAACUUAAAACUUUAUGCGGAUAAAAAUUCCUACACACUCAGAAAACUCAAAGCACUUUGUGCAUUCAGAAAACUUAAACCUACUGAUUGUGAGCACACACAGCUACAACUGAAAGAGGGAAGAAUUUCUGAUUUGAAGAACAGCUGAAAACGUGAGUGAGCACACAAGUGAAAGAAGAGUAUUUAUAAGCACAAAAUCGCCAUUCGUGAUGGCUAUUUUUUCUGUCUAAAUCGCCAAUGGGAGUUGCAACUUGCAGGCAACUCGCCAAUGGCAGUUGCAACUCCCCUUUCUCUGAAAAAGCUCCUGCAACCUAGCCACUGAAAAGCGCAACUGCCUGCGACGUAGGCCUGCACCAUCAGACCAUGGAACUCACCAGUUUGACUGGCGGUUUCCUCGCGUUGUGUAUAUCGCCAUUCGUACUGGCGAUUUGUGUCUUGCAUGGACAUAUCGCCACUGGUAGUGGCGAGUCCUUCACUGAGACCAAACUCGCCAUUGGCAAUGGCGGUUUGGCUGCAUGUCCCCAUGCAUUUCACGUAAAAAAUUGCCCCAUGUUGGAAAUAAUUUGGAAACAACCCCAUCUGGAGAAAUAGUUUCUAAAACUACCUCAGAUGGGGAAAUUUUCCGAAAUAUAAAGUGUCAAUAGAGUAUUUUCACUGUUGGAUAUCUAAAUAAUAUUACUGCGUUGAAUUAGUUCUAGUGCACUAGGUAAUAAAAUUGAUGUGGAUAUUUAGUUAAAAGGUUCUUGCAAUGGGAUUUUAAGUUUUCUGUGGCUAUAACAGAAUUGCAGGCAAUAGGGGUUUGAGAGUUGAAAUUAUUACCCCAGGUGAUGAUUUUCCUGAUAAUUCAGUCAAUUGAAAAUAUCACUCAAAGGGAUUGAACUAAAAUCUUGCUUUAUACUAUUAGUAAUAGUAAUCAAGUGACAAAUAAUAUGAUCAACUUUAGUUAGUCGUUUGACAAAGAGACUGGUAUAUGGUCAUUGUUUGGGUGCUAAGUUGCAGUUUAUCAUCAGCCAAGUUAAUUCCUCGGCCAUGAUAGCUGUUGAUACAUGGUAGUAUUCUGAGGUUAAUGGUUCUAAUGAUGUUACAUUACAUGGUUUCUUAUGUGUCCCUUAUCAGCUGUUUAAUGUCUGUCUUAUCUGAAAUUAUUAUUGUUAAUGAUUAGUAAAGCGAAAGCAGGAUAUUAUUAAUAUUAGUGCAGUCAUGUGAUAAUGUUCAAGUAUGGCAUUUAAGUGGAUCUGUUCCAGCUACAUGGUUGUUAAAACGUGGUUUAAUUUCUUUAGGUGAGUUCUCUGCAUUUAUAGAAAAUGACUAAUGAGCUUGUACAUAGCAAGGCCACAUGCAAAAGAGUUUGAUAUUGAUACUUGAUUUAUGAACGAAUAAUGAGCUUGUUGUAGAUGAAAUGGCACAUCCACAUGCAAAACUGUUUGAUAUUGAUACUUGAUUUUUAAACUCUACGUCACUUGUCUGGACAUGAUUUAAUUUCUUUAAAGUGCAUGCUUCAAUUGAUAGUAAGAGGAGAAUCCUGUCCAGUAGUACAGGUUCUAAUAACAAUCAAUUGACAUGACAAUCAAGAGAGUUAAUGCAGGUUCCAAUAAUCUCAUAUUCACCCAUAAUAAUAUUUAGGUUAAAUUUACAUACACUUCUACCAAUUUUUCAACUAGGUUUUUGAUUUGUUUUUAAUUGGGCUCUUGAACCUUUUUUUUUUAUUGGAUUAUUCCGUCUAAAUGCUGUUAUGAAAAAUUAACUAUAAAUAACUAACUAGAAUGUGUUAUAAACAUUAACCCAACUAAACAAAAAAGUAAAUGGACCAAAUUACAAAAUAGAAGUUCAAAAACCCAAUUAAAAAAAUUUCAGAAACUUAAUUAAAAAUUUAGAGAUGGCAUGCUAAUUAAACCUAAUAUUUACCAACCCUAUUAAAAGAUUUUAAGGUUGCAGGAAGCUAGAGUGGUGUGACGGGUAGUGAAGCAAUACAAUCCAUGGUAAAUGGAAAAAAGAAUAGCAGAUGAAGUGUAAGGUGAAGAUUUCAAUGCCCCACUUAAACAGUAGCAAAGUCGGAAUAUUCAAUGCCACUUUUUUCUGGAUCAGUUUUCUUGGUGCUGACGAGACUGAGUACAGGUUCUCGAGUAGCUUUUAACUGUUGUAUGUGGGGUUUCUAUUAAAGGCACUUGGUAAUUGAAAAAACACUAACUUCAUAAACGAGAAAAGGAUCGUAUGUGGGACUUUUUUUUGCUAAUCAUCACUGACAAUGAAAUUGGCGACCAAAAUUCUUGAUUGUUUUCACCUAUGUUGGUUGCAAUCAAGAUUCCACAUAGAUAUCAAGCAUGCAUACUUUGGCAAAUUAAACGCAAAAGUAAAAGAGUAGAGUUAGCAUGAGACUAUUUUUUUUAUCAUAUCUAAUUAUGGGAAGGGUUUAAAGUUACAGAAGUGCUUUCUGAAGUUUAGGUGUAAAAUUAUGCGUCCCAAUACAUGAAUGGAGAAUGAAAAAUUUUGAUACUUCUGAAGUAAAAUACUAUUAAACCCUCCCAACUUUAAUUCAAUUAUUUCAACUUUAAGAAUCGAAUUAUUUUUGAACUAGUUUACAAACUAUUUUUUUACUUUAAAAAAAUUAUUCUGAUUUUAGAAAAAACCAUUUGGCUAUUAAUUGAAUCAAACUUAUUUGAAAAAUCAAUUCAAUUUUAUUUGAUUGAACCAAUUCGGUUCAAAAAUCACCUCAGUUUGGUGUAAUUCAAAAACGGAUAGGCUCGAAUCAGUUUAUAUGUACACUCCUAAUUUAAAUUUAUUUCUUCCAAUAUUAAAUUAAAAUUGAAAGAACAAAUUAAACUUGAGUUUUAAAAGAACUUGAUUUCAACAUGUUCCUUUAAUUCGUGCAAAGCCUCUAUUUCACAAGCAUCCUAAUUGCAACAAAAGCAGCAAGAUAAAGUUGUAUGACAAAAUAAGCUUUUUCCCCCAAUUUUUGUUAAUUUUUAUUUUUAGUUCAUAAACAAAAUUUUGAAUAAUCUUAUAGUGUUUUUCUAUUCAUGUUUUUAGUCCAUACUAUUAACUAUUACUAUUAAGUGAUGACAUGAUUGCCAACAUGACAACCUAGUGACCUAUAUGACGUGACAAUCAUGUGUCAAAUUUUGUGUAAAUUAUAUUUUUAAUCUUUCAUUUUAUCAAAUUCACUUUUAGUCCCUUUACAAUUUUUUUUUACUAGUUUUAGUCAUUUAACAAUUUUUUGAUCUGCCUCAUUUUCUCAACAAUUUUUUUAUCGAUCUAAGUCCCUCAACUUUUGUCUAUCAUUGUUUUUAAUUAUUUUAAUCAAAUAUCAUCGUUUAGGGAUGAUGCAUAAACACACGCACCACUAAUAUAAUGUAACAAUCACAUAAUAAAAUAUUGUUGGUUCAAGACAUUUUUUGGGAGUUCUAAGUUUUUGAUGGUGUAAACUACGAGAAAAAUGUUUAAAGUUUUGAAAAAAAAAACAAAGAAGAUGUAGUAAGAAAAAUCAACAAAUCAUAAAUAAGAAAUUCCACAAAUCAACAUCCCAUAAAAUCAUUAUCUAAAUCACAAUCCAUAACUCAAUGAGAAUGAAAUUCUCAUCCUUAAAAAAAGAAAGAAAAAAUUCUCAUAUUUUUAGAACUAUAUAUUGACGAUGCCAUAAUUUAUAAGAAAAUUAUACGGACUAUCUUGUCAAACUCCUUAAUAAUGUAAUAAGUCAAUGAGUUAUCAAUACUUCUGUUAUAUUAUCAAUCAACAUUAUUUGAUAGUAGAGACUAAAACCAAAAAUAUUAAAUUUUUAGAAGGACUAAAAAAAUAAAAAAAUAAAAAUACAAAACCAAAAAAAUAAGAUAUAUUAUAACCACCAAAUUAUUAUUUAAGUAUUCUAUUUUUUUCUUUUUUCCAACAUAUCCUUUUCUUCCUUAACUCGUUUCUUUUCCCCUUUGUCUCCUUCUUCCUUGUCACCUUUCUUUGCAAAGUCGUCCCUGAUGCCAAUAUGGCUUUGCCUGAAUCCCUGUGCUCCUCAUUACGUGCAUCCCUAUGUUCAUGCAUAUCCUUGUACUCUUAGUGUUACGUGUUGGUAAGACUAUGAUGACGACUGGUGUGACGUUGCCGAGUGAAUCUUACUCCCUUUGUUGCAGCUAUCAUGGGGGACCAUGGCGAUUGCCACUAUAUCCCGUUGAUGGUUACUGGCGGGGCAACAACCACAAGGGGAAGAUGAGGAAGAGUAGACGUAACACUUAUGGUGAUUUUUGAUAGUGCACAACGGCUAAUGUAGAGAGUAAACAGAGGAGUAAAUUGAAAAGAGUAGGAAAAAAACAAAAUAAAAAAAGAAAGAAGAAAAAAAUUGUCCAUUAAAUUAAAAAUCUAUAUUUUUAAUGACUUGAAAUAAGUUUCAAAUAAUGAGAGAUAUGAAGUGAGGUCCCACUUUAACCAUCUUGAAGAAAUUACUCCCUAUAUGUUUGUAUAUAUAAGACUUAAUGAUUGUCUAGGAUGUUUGUUACAUGUGAAAAGUUGAUCAAAGUUUUAAAAAUAAUGUGAGACCCACAUGUUUUUCCUUUUUAUCUCAAAAGAGAAUAAAAGACUGGAAAAGAAACAAUAAAAAGGAUGCAAUACACAAAAUUGUUGGUUGCUAAAAUUGUCCCUCAAGCCCCUCAUUAACCCUCGCUGGAACAUUCAAAUUAGGGUAUCAUGUCACAUAUAAUAAGUUAUUCAAAUGUCGUAUUUAUGCUUAGUUUGCAAUCAAGUUUGUUUUCUAGUGGUCUUUACUCAAGGUAUAAUCAGUUAUAUAUGUAAUUUGUAUAACUGAUUAUGUGACUUUAAUUAGUAAAAAAAAUAUACAUUUUUAUCUCAUAUAUAUAAUUACAUAAACGUAUUUUUUUGGGGUAAAAUGAGUGUUUACUUAAUCUCUUUUUGAGUUAUUUUUCUUUUAUUAUUGACCUAAACAAUUUAAUUUAAACAUUUAAUUUCUUUUACACUUUUUUUCAUCUCAAUCAAAUAACUUUAUUUUUCACUCUUUUUUCAUUUUUUUAAGAGAGUCUCUUCUCAUUUCAACUUUCUUUCAUCUAUUUCUAUUCCUUUUUAUCCUACAUACCCUUGACUGCAUUUGGUAUGAUGAAGAAAAAUAAUAUACCAAAAACUAUUUCAGUCAAGGAUAUCUUUCUUUUCAUGUCUUUUUAUUCUCACAGUUAAUUUAUUCAUUUCAUUCAACAAGUGUUAUUACCCUGAAGAAAUGUUAUAAAUCAAUGCCAUUGUAUUUGAACUUUCUCAAUAUAUCGGCAAUCAUGGUGGUUGUUUCAUCUUGUUACAUUCUCUGUCGGUGUUCAAAGUGUAAUUGGGUGUACUUUGUUUUUCAGAGAUGAUAGAUUGUCCUGUAGGAACUGCACCUGUCAAUGGAUAUGAAUUCAACUUUGAACAAGAUCUAAAUGGAACUUCUGAUUUAAUUGACGUGACACUGAUGCUUUCUAAACACAUGUAUUAGAAACUGAAAAGCUUUUCAUUGCAUACAAUAGAGAGGAUGAAAAGCUAUAUCAGGACAACUACAUGGGAAGAUCUCAGAUCUUUCGACAAGCCAUGCAGUCUUCCUAGGUAUACUGGCAGAUUAUUGAAAAUGUUGCAUAUCCUUUAACUGCUAUCCAUUUAAAAUUCUCUGCUAGAACAUAUCUGAGGUUUCGCUUUUUCCAUUAUUAUUCUGUUGUAGGAAAUUGUCAUAUACUGCUCCCUAGGCAGGUCAUCACUUUUGUGUUUGAUGCAAAGAUGGAUAUAUAUAGGUGGAACACUUCUGAAAGGUUUAUCCCAAUAUGUACAGGUUGAAUUUCUCAUACUGCUUGAAUCUAUGAAUUUUUGCAUGUUUGGUCAGUAAGCAAAAUGCUCAAAGUAGGCUGUACAUGUUAUUAGAUGUGAAUUCUGUUACAUACUACUGAUUUGCCCUUACACCAGUGCACUGAUUGGGAAAGAACUGGAAGAAAGGAAAUCUUACAUUCAAAGCUUUUGAUGCAAAACAUAAGAGGGAAGGUGGUGGUUUCAUCUGUGUGGAAGGUUUCCAUGAUGUUCUCAGAGAUCAAACUUUCAAACUUGCAUAACCAAAGUUUGAGCACCUUAACGGUACAGGCUUCAUUGUAUGGAAUGAGUUCUGGCAAGUGAUUUUCAAAUAAAAGCAACUUGGGAAGUUUGAAGGAAGAAUGAUAUCUGAUGGGUAAGGUCAUUGAUCUUUACCAUACUAAAGGUCAAACAUCUCUGCAUAUUCUGUCUUUCUCACAAAUUUUUCUGUCAAAAACUUCUGUUGCCAUUUUCUCCUGGGUUGGAUCAUUUACAUCUCCAAUGUGUAAUUCACAGUGUUUCAAUCACAUGCUAGAGAUGCUUUGAAGAAAAAUCACAUUAGUAGAUGCAAAGUUAUGCAAAUAUAUAUUGUGGAAAAUAUUAUUGUCAGGAAAACUUUCAAGUAAAACACCAGAAAGCUCAUAUUUAUGCGUGUAAAGCUGAUCAUCCAGGGCAAAAGGAGGAGGAAGCGAGGGCGCAGUCAGCUGAUGGCAGAGUGUUUAAGAUUGUUCCAUGGCACCAUCUGGAGCAUAGCACCAGCAACUCCCUGAGCAUACAGGCCUUAAGCCAUGACUUGACUGGUUCAGAUAGGUAAUAAUUACUGAAUUCAAGACACUAAAGCUUCUUAUUCUAUGAGGGUUGAUAUAAAAUUGACAAGGGUUUAGAUCUUGCUAGUAAUACCAAGGAUUCGUGAACCAACUUAACAAUCACACCAUGGAUGAUUUGAAAUAACAAAAUAAAUUGCAGUUCCUGUCUAACGUCUCUAGGAAAUUUUCCAAAACAUAAGUUCAACAAGGAAAAAAAAGAAGAUAGAAAAAAUAAGACAAUGUUGUUUUCUUCUUAAUCUUAUAUUUUAUUGUUCCUCCCAUGCCUUGCAUCAAUUUUGUAACCUAUGUGAAACUUGGAUCAUUUAAAUCACAAUAAUUACAAUGAACAAGGAAUAGAAACUAGAGGGUCUUGGGUAGGAGAUUGUGGUCUACCUGAGAAGCAAAGUCCUGAUUUCAGUCUUUACGUAGAAUUCAUCAAGCUUAUCAUUCUCUAAGCUGAUUUAUUAGGCAAUUGUCUUUGUUCUUUCUCAUUCUUGUUUCUUAUUUCCCUCUAAAUUGGGCUCAGAGCUUUGUUCUUACUCAUUGUUUCUUAUUUUCCUUUAGAUCAUAUUUUCAAAAGUUGUUCAUGUCAUUGCAUGCAAUGUUUGCUUUCACCCAAAGGGGUGGCUUUGAUCAAAUUGACAAGGAUGAUUCCAACCUACCUCUGGAUACAGCUCCUAUUAAGCAUGUCACGCAGGUAUGCUGUCACAUAAUAGAAAAGUGUUAUCAUGGCUCUAACUACUUGUUGUAAAUUCUCUGCCACUACAAGUUUUCUUCCGAGUUGGGUUAUUAUCUUUUUGAUCGCUCAUCUUUUGUGAAUUUCCGUUUUUAGUUUCAUUAUUUUUUGGUCCUUUUUUAGUCCCAAAAAAAAUAUUGUUUUAUUUUUUGUUCUGAAUAUAUGUAGAAUUUUUUAGGUACCAAAAAUGAAACAAAAAAAUUGAGGGACUAUAAACAAAAAAAAAAUUUAUAGACUAAGACCAGUCAAAAGAUUAAGAAGGACUAAAAAUAAUCGCAAAAGACGAAGCAAGUUAAAUAAAUCCUAUUGAUAUUAUUUUACUAAUAUUGUGUUACAGGAAAUUUUAAAUUUACAAUUUAUAUUAUAAUACAAAAAUAUUUAUCUUUAUUUAUAUUCUUUUGAAAAUAUUAAAAUUUAAUUUAAAAAUAAGUAUGAAAAUGAAAAAUUAAACAGAGAUAAAAGUUUUAUAAAAAAAUUUAAAAUAUCUUGUUGAAAAAAAAACUAAAAAUACUUUAGUUGAAGAAUAACUCUUAAAAAAAUAUUUUCCGAUACAAGAAACUCAUUUCAUUUCAGAUAAAACUAUAAAAUUUACUAUAAAAAAAGGCAACUAAUGUGUUUAUCCGUUACUCACAACACAAUUAAAAUAUAGCUGUGGACUUAAGUUUUUCGAUUCGACAUUAACUACAAAUAAAAAACAGUAUUAGUUAGAUAACGAUCAUUUUAAUCUAAAAUAGAACUGAGCCAGUUUAAAUACUUAACUUACAAUCCAAAUUAAGUCUGUGGUGACAAUUGCAAACAAAUUAAAAACUGAAAUACUACUACACAUAAAAGACAAAGCCCCAACAUUUUUUUAAAUUUCAAUUCAAGGUUUAAUCAUCCAAUUUUUUCUCAUAAACGCAGACUUCUUCCUUGCAUGCAUGCAAUUUUUCCUUCCCCUGUUUUCUAUAGGACAAAAGUUAUCACAGUNNNNNNNNNNNNNNNNNNNNNNNNNNNNNNNNNNNNNNNNNNNNNNNNNNNNNNNNNNNNNNNNNNNNNNNNNNNNNNNNNNNNNNNNNNNNNNNNNNNNAAAUGAAAAGCUUGCUAAGAACAUUGACACUGAUGGAUUUCGUGGCGGUAGCACUUCUGUAUCUGUAAUCAAACAGGUAUAACUAGACCUUCACAAUUACAUUACCUUCUUGCCAAUGUUGCUUUUGCAAUUAUGUUUUUUCUUUUUUUUGUGAAUACUUUUGCAACAAUGUUAUAACAACAUCUUUUUCCCCCUUUAAAUUUCAGGGUGAGCAAGUAAUAAUUGGCAAUGUGGGGGAUUCUCGUGCAGUUCUUUGCAGAAGAGCACCUGACAAUCACCUUAUUCCUGUUCAACUUACUGUUGACUUGACUCCAGAUAUUCCAAGUAUGUUUUGGUAUUACCUAUUCUUAGUUUCCAAAUCUUACAACCCUUUUGAGUUUAUUUGGUUAAAUUGUCUAAUUAAGCCAUAUUCAUUAAGAACUUAUUAGAUGAGAGAUUCUUUCAGGACUUGUUUGGGUAAGUUUAUCCAAAACCACUUAUGCACAUACUAGUUUGUAAAAGCUCUCUCAUCUUUUAGAGAAGCUAUACAAGAGAGUUUCUACAAUUUAGCUUAUGGAGAAACUCAUUUCAUUUCUUCUUCUUAUUUUUUUUCUCCUAAAAGUGCUUCCAGAUAAGUUUAUCCAAACAGACCCUAAAAGCUUGAUUGUAUAACUUAGUAAAUAAGCUAACCAAACUUAUUUUAAUAACCUUCUUUUUGAAACUUAAUUGAAAUAAGCUACUCCUACAAGUCCAAAUAAGUUUUAUGAAAUUCUUUCUAAUGUCCCUUGGUGUGUGUCUAACUAGCUUUUCUUCCUCAAUGUCACUCAGGAGAAGCUAUUAGAAUUUUUGCUGUAGAAGAAGAUCCUACUAUAAACAGAGUAUGGAUGCCUAAAAGGGACUGCCCUGGACUGGCUAUGGCAAGAGCCUUUAGAAAUUUUUGCCUAAAAGACUAUGGUGUCGCCUCAGUCCCUAACGUGUCUUAAAGAAAACUUACCAAGGAGGAUAACUGUGUGGUUUUGGCUUCUAAUGGGGUAAGCAUUUUCAUAUCAGGAUGUCAACUUCGAAUUUUGGAUUUUGAUUCUUGAGUAAUGUUGGAGCAAAUAAAGCUCUUUACUCACACUCACACUAUGCACUCACUCACUCUAUGUUAGAGAAUAAGAGAAGAUGAAAGAAUUGAUUGAGAAAAUAGAGGAAACUUAGAAUUCUGAAUUAGAACUUCUGCACACUCUCAUUCUUUCUCAUUCAUGAUCACUAUUAUUUUUAUAUACAUUGCACAUGUAGCUAUAACAACCUUCAUAGCUAUCAAACUAACUAACUCCUAACUAACUGAAUUACAACAUACAUCAACAAGUAAUCAGUUAUAGGAAUAGAACAAUCAUUGUUAGUGUUUAAAUUAUGCUCAAUUCUCGUAUUCCUCUCAAUCCAAAUAUGUUUGCAAAUAUUUGAUCAAAUAGUGUAAGAAAAGAAAUAACCAAGAAGGUUAAAUGAAUUAACAGCAUGUAGUUUCCACACAUACGUGUUUAGUUCAUAUUGAACAAAAAUUAGAUGCAGUUUGUUUUAUAAAUGCUUUCGUUGUUGUCUUUCAAUUAGAAUUGGAGUUUCACCUAAUAAUCCGUGUAAUAAAGGUUUCAAUUAAAAGUCAACAUAGACUACUACCGUGAAAUCCAAUUUUGAUUGAAGAACAAUGUUAAAAGCACCUGUAAAACUGUAUCUAAGUUUUGUCCAAGCAUAUUUGGCACAAAUAAUAGCUUACUUUUAUCAAUUUCCUAAGAGAGCUUUUAAUCAAUAAACAACAACCAAUUAACUUCUCAAAAUUUAUCCCAACCAAAAAGGUCUAAAUUUUCUUUCUUACAGAUUUGGGAUUGUGCUAACAAACCGUGAAGUAAUAAACAUAGUUGCUUCAGCACCAAAAAGGUCCGUGGCAGCCAAAUUGUUAGUAAACCAUGUUGUUCGGGCUUGGAAAUAUAAGUAUGGUUUCAAGGUUGAUGAUUGUUCAUCCAUAUGCUUGUUCUUGAAGAUUAGCCUGCUAUAACCCAAUCCUGAUCCAAAGUUAGUGGGAACAAUAGACAUCCCUUGAAGCACCUGCAUUUUUCAUAAUCUAGACAUGUAAAUACUGAAAUUGUAGAUAUGGCAAUAGUAUGGUGGAAUCAAAAGGAAGAAUGGGAUGCUCUUGGAGGGUUCUCCAGAGCCAACUUUGAAUUAUAAAUUGCAAUCACCUCAGUACCUCAAGGAGGGUUGAAGCUGAUCACUAACUCAGCCAGAAACUCCCCGAAUCCAAGGGCUAGUGCUACUAACAAGUUAACAAUUGUAGGACCUGAAGAUUUUGCUUUUGACACAAUCCCAGAAUAUAGCAAUUAUUUUAGCCUUCUAAUUCUGCCAUGAUCACUGAUAACUGCUAAAUAUGAGUUAUUUUGAUGAUAAAAAUAUAUUGAAAAUAUCUUUAAAAAUAUUUAUUUAGCAGUUAUCUUUGACUUAAAUAUUAAGAUUUGAUAUUUUUCUUAUUUAUGACUUGUAGAUAUGAAAAUGAGAUAUUAAAAGAUAUCAAAAAGGAAAAUUUUUAGCAUCAGGCUCAAGUCCACUACAACAACUAAAGGGAGUCAAGCCAAGAAGAAAAAUAAUACAAUGGAACCCCUCUCCUCUCCUAGGAUUUACUUUCUUUCACCCCUCUUAUCUCAAUGCAAAUGUGUUUUCUAUUCUAUUAUUUUUCUGCUUUUAUCUUGCAUUAUUCAUCUUUAUAUUCUGUUAGAGGCUUCAUGCAUUUUAUUUGUUGAGUCUUUGCAAAGGAAGGUAGAAGAUAGAUAAAUAAAAUAGGUUUGUCAUCAUGAGGGAUCAGGGGCAAGUAAUUGAAUAGAUGUGGGUAGAACAGAGUCACCUAAAUUGAUAAAGAAAAAUCAUAAACUCAUGCAUCUUAGACAAACAAGGCAGGACUCAAUCUUAUCAAAUUUUGAUUUUAUUUUAUUUUUAUCUUUUACUUUUCUUAUCUUAUCUUUUAUCUUCUAUUUUCUUUUAUCUUUAUCAUAUCUUAAUUUAAAUAUUUUAUUUUCUCUAUCUUCUAUUUUUAUCUUUAAAUCUUUUAUCCUUUCUUUUAAAUCUUUAUCUUAUCUCCUAUAUUUUUUUAUCUUUAUUUUAAAUUAUUUAUCCUUUGCUUUUAAAUUAGGUUUGCAUUAAUCUAAGUACAAACAAAGUCCUUGUGGAUUCGACACUCGAACUUUUAAGUAUUUUAUUUUUUGUGACAAUUUGGUAUACUUGCGAACGAGUUAACAAUUACAUGCAAGACUUCUUUUCUAUCUGUCUAAGACCAACAUUGAUCAAUUUUAGCACUCUAUAUUAUGGUACCAUAAAACUUUUCUUUUGUCUGGCUUGGUUCUAAAGAGUUCAAUGAAGAACUAAGCAGCACCUACUUUUCUAUCUAUCUUCAAUUAUUUCCUAUAGUGUGUUGUGUUGACACUAACAUUCAGCAUAAAACAUUACUAGACACUAGAACCAGAGGAUUUUGGAAUUUUACAUACCAAAAAUAUAGUAUUAAUAGAUUGCUGAUAAUUCAGAGGGGUUAUACUAUUGCUGAGCAUUUUGAAGCUUAAGAAUGAAUCUACAAUUGUAAAAAGUGAUCAAUUAACAACCCAGCCUAAGGUUUUUUUUUUUUUUUUUUAAGCCGAAGGAAAUGAAACUUUAUCAACAACUUCCAGAACUUCUGGAAAGAGAUUACAACACCAAAAAAAUGCUAUUUGACCGAAAAGCCUGCCUUAGAAUUAUAAAAAGCAACACCAAAGUUGAAAAAAAAAGUUAUAAUAUAUUGUCCAUUCAUAAUAAAUAUCUAAAUUUUGUAUUUGUUUUUUAUGAAAAAAUUACAUGAAAUUCGUAAUAAAAAAAUAUCAUUUGUUAUUAGCCUUUUCAAAUGGAAAAAACAAUUUAGAUAUUAAUACUUAAACAUAAAAUAUCAUUUGUUAUUAGCCUUUUGGUUAGGUAUCACGUUGGGCCUUAGGCUUUUUAUUGGUCAAGUGAUCAAGGGAAUUACUUCCUACAUUCCAUUUUUUUUCUUGCACCUCACAAAAAUCUAAGCAGGCAAAACUACCCCUCAAACACCACCACCACCACCACCGUAGCCCCACCUCCACCCAACCACCAGCACGCAAACAGCACCACCCAACACCACCAUUGAUGAUUUUGGUGAAAGGAACAAAGUGAAAAUGGAAUCGAAAACCAACGAAGAGGUGUAAAGUGCAACCCCAUUCUAGAUACAUGAAUUUGUAAGACGCUAAUUUUGUAUACACUUCCAGAAUAAUAUUUUUCAUAUUCCAAAAUUUGUAUUUUAGAAUACGUUUCUUGAUUACUUAUUCGUAUUUUGGAAUAUGAAAAUCCUAUUCCAUAAUAGGUAUUUCGCAAUAGGAAUAAGUAAUCCAAAAAGGUAUUCCAAAAUGCUUAUUAUGAAAUAUGAAAAAUCAUAUUUUGGAAUAGGCAUUCCGAAAGUGUAAAAGGCCAAAUUUCUCUUUUUCGCACAAAUGGAAAAUCUCACACCCCAUUCGCAUAUGCCCUACUUUAUCCCUUCAUUUCUCACCACCAAUUCUACAGAUACCUUCUUCUCCUUCUCCUCAUUUCUCAUUCAUUUGUGCAUUGAGAUCCAAGAUAUAGACCAAGGAGCACUGCCAGCUACAAAUCCCAUGAGGGCACAAUGGUGUUCGGAGUGUGAUUGUGUUGAGGCACAAUGGUUAUGGAGGCUUCAUGGCUAGGAUUUUUUGGGAGAGGCAAGGACAGAAGAUGUCUGGUAAGGGGUAUUCUUGUUUUUUGGAUGGUGUAGGAAGAAAAAAAGUGGUGCAAGAAGUGAUUACCACUAAUCAACUAUUAACUUGUGAAAAACCUUUGUACAUGUUUCUGUUGCGUUUAGCAAUUGGUAGCAAUGACUAAUUUGAAGUUAUUUAAAAAUAUUAGAGACUAAAAUAAAAUUUCUAAAACAAACAAUCAAACUAAACCAAAACUAAAACAUAAAAAGGAUAAAAUAUGUAAUUUAGCAACAAGAAAAAUUCACUUGACUACAAAAUCAUUUUUUAUCACACUCAUCCAAACAUGUACAGAUGUACUUAAUUUUUCAAGGAUUCAUAUCCAUUUACAACAGUACAAAACAGUACAUGAUCCAUUGUAAAGGCCCAGCAGCUAGUAAAUUUUAAUUUUCAGUGGUAAGCAAAAAAUUCAACCAAAAAUCGUUCAGAACAAUGCGUUGCCAUUAAGUCUUCUAUUAUGGCGAAANNNNNNNNNNNNNNNNNNNNNNNNNNNNNNNNNNNNNNNNNNNNNNNNNNNNNNNNNNNNNNNNNNNNNNNNNNNNNNNNNNNNNNNNNNNNNNNNNNNNGUACUUGUUAGCAGAUACAAUGAAUGGCAAUUUUUCAUAUAACGAGCUCCUUUUCACAUAUGUCAAUGCUUCCAAUAGUGGUUUGAAUUAAAGGUGUGCUGUACAAUUGUCAUUUGUCACAGCAAACUACUACAAUCAAUGCACAACCUAUGAUGAGAGGACAUUGUGUACUACUCCAAUUGCAAAACAACAAAUACUCCAUUCCAAUGUAUAUGGUACGCAAUUUGAUAUAUUGUGGUACGUGGAAGAUACUACUUAUGAUCAGAGGAUCUAUCGCCAUGACUCAUAUAUUAUGUUUCUUGUCACGGUUGAUGUUGAGUUAAAUGGACCAAGUGGGAGAAUGUUGGAAGCCCACGUUCCACGUUCCAAUUUUUAUUCCCAUUACAUUAUUUUAGAAAAUUUUGUUAUUUCUGAAUCUGGUCCAUUUUCCAUCUACAUUCAACCCAUAUCUUUGCAACAUAUUUGCAACCACCUUCAGUAACAAAUCAUGUACCCAUUCUUUAUCUCACGAACUGAUAACUUCUAUCUCACGUUCUGAUAACAAGUUGAGCUAUACGAUGGACAGACUCUAUAAAUAAGAUGGGGUGCUCUCAGUUUUGUAUCACGAAACUCACUUGUCUAUUCAGAAAAAAUACAUCAUCUAUUCAGAGCGAGUAACUGUCUAGAAGAACAAAACUUCCUUUCAGGUUCGUGUGUGCGCCGCUUCGCGUUCGAUUUGCAAUGACUGGAGGUACGCUCGUAAUAUUUAAUUUCCGCUGUUUGAUCUGAAUAUGCCACUUAAAUUGAUUUGCAUGUUUAGAUCAGUAUAAGUAUAUUUUAAAUAUCCUUGUACUCUUAGUGUUACGUGUUGGUAAGACUAUGAUGGCGACUGGUGUGACGUUGCCGAGUGGAUCUUACUCCCUUUGUUGCAGCUAUCACGGGGGACCAUGGCGAUUGCCACUAUAUCCCUUUGGAUUCCCUCUAAGUUCUUCUCUUCGAAGUUGAUUUCAUUGUCUUUAUGAUGGUUGUUAUCAACGAACAAUGAUAAUGGUUUCUUAGAGGCAUGAAAAGGAUGUUGUUGACGAGUUUCAUCUUUGUUUGAUGUUGGCAAGGGUGUUGGUGUCUGUGGGUAUGUGAUGUCGUUAAGAUUUUCUUAUUGUGACACCUUCUACCCCGACAUAUAUAUAAAUAAAUAAAAUAUAUAAAAAUAUCGAUAAACAAAUUCACGUGGGUGAAAGGUUUACAUUCACUUCACUAUUAUCAAUUAAAACUUAUUAAAAACGUAUUCGGCUCAAAAUAAGGCCGUCAAAAUUUACAAAAAUAUUUUGUUAAAUCAGUGAGGUAAAAUAAAAUAGACUAACAUCAUACAAUUAAUAUAAAAACUUAUGUCUCAAUGUCACAUCCUAUCAGAGUAUUGUGUCCCGACGUCCUUCAGCAAACGAUUCCUUAAAGUAAUUCACCUAGUCAUCUGCUCCCCGAACACAAAGUUCUAGAUCAUCACAAGAUCCAAGCACAAAUAACACAUCGGGAGUGAGUUAUCACAUUCCUAACUAAUAGAGAAGCAAGACAACUAGAUAUACAUAUCAUAUAAACAAAAUAAAACUUACUUAAACAUAACUCACGUAAUUCAACCACUUUUCAUUCAAAAUUCCCUUUUCAAUCAUCAAUCAAAUCACACAAAAAUCACACACUCCGAUCAAGACAUAAUAACACAUAAAUUUCAUAAUAAACAAUUAGCAAACGUAUGCAACAAUUAUGCUAAGACUCAAGCCUAUAUGCAAUGUGGUACCAUGUCAAUGAAAAAUCACCCUGGGGCACUUAGGAGUACAUAACAAGACAAACCACACACUAGCAAGUCAGGUCACUCUCACUAGAUAAGAUCAUAGGGAGACCAAUCAGGGUCACAGUAUUUUGCGAGAAUGCUCCAACCAUAUGGGAUCAACAUAGGCUUAAAGGAGCACUCAAACCGGGUGACCUCCAAGGCCUACACUCCAAAGAGUCCGUCAAGGUCUCUCCCUCCUGAUUCAGGUCCAUCUCAGAAAAUAUUUUAGCACACAGAUUCUAUCUAUGAACUAUACAAAACACACGAAUUCUCAAUUGUUCUCAAAAUAGUUUUAACUCGUUGCCCUUUAAGAGUCUUAGCAUUAACUCGUCUCCCUUAAAAAGUUUUAGCAUUAACUCGUCGCCCUUAAAGGGUUUUAGCAUUAACUCAUCGCUCUAAAAGGGACUUAGCAUUAACUCGUGACCCUUAAAGGGACUUAUAGUCGUGUGAUUGUACUAUUCAUAGUUCAUAACUCAAUGCACACAACAUCUCAAUCACGUGCACACACACACACACACACACACACACACAACAUGUUGAUUAUCCUCGUGGAAAAAUAUAGGAUAAGAUAAUAAUUCAUAUAAAAUAAGUCAUUAAAAAUAAUACUAUUUAGAAUAUAAUUUACGUUAAUAAAAAAAGCUCAAUUUUUUUAGGUUCACACUCAACAAAAGAACACAUUAAUUUCACAACAAUUUCUCAUUGGGACAUCAACCAGUUCAUGAAACAUAUAUAAUUCACAGUUACAAUUAUAAGGAUAAAAUAAAAAUUGCAGAAACACCCUAAAACUCAUUCCAAUUGACACUCUAAGGAUCCCUACACAUGUUCUCACUAAUCCCCAAUUGUGAAUAACUCAUUCAGUACCUCUAAGCGGACUCACGUGUCUUCCGAAAGCAAUAGCGACAUCUCUAGCAAUUUCCUGAGAUUCCUCAAUUUUUUCCUCUGAUUACUCUGAUAGAAUUCCCAAACGUUAGAGAGAAAGACAGGGAUUGAAACCUCCAUUUUGUACCGUCUUCGUGCGAUGCAUCUUUCUCCAUCCAAAGAUAUUAUUUUGCAAAUCCAACUAUGAAGUCGUGCGGAAAUGAAUUUCGAACCACAUAUCAAAAUUGGACGACAAUCCAACGGUUAAUGAAUCCAGGAUCAUAGUUUUACCGAGACAGUUUUGGGCUUCUGCUGGAAAAUAAAAGGCUAAUAUGCGAAGGGUAUUUCUCUCAGUUUAAUCAUGAUUCCGAAAUUCCCAAUGGUGAGAGUGCUCAGAAUUAGGUUGUGAACCUGAUGCUUAAAUUUCACGACAAUCCAAUGAUGAAUGAGCCUGAGAUCAUCAUUUUUGUGAGACAUGUUUGGUGGUCUGUGGAAAAAGAGAGGAUUUUGGGAAGAAGAAAAGAAAAAAACAAAAUUGAGAGGCAGAGAGGAGGCAGAGAAGUCAGUUUGAAGACUGACCUAGCAUGUCGCUAUUUAUACCUAGGGUACUUACAACUUAUUAUUUACUCUAUUUAUUUAUUUAUUAUUUUAUAAAAACAAACUCUAUUUUAUUUCCUAUCAAAUCAACAAAUCAAAUAUAUUUUUUCUUCAAAUAAUUAUUUUAAUACAACUAUUUCUCUUUAUUUAUUUAAUUAAAAAAACCUCAUCAUUUUUUUUUCUAAAACUCUAUUUAUUUUAAAUGAAAAACUUUUUUAAUUUAAUUCACGAAAAAUGAAAUGUUACACCUAUAACAUUCUGACACAUCAAAAGAUGAUUCCGUUGAUGGUUAUUGGCGGGGCAACAACCACAAGGGGAAGAUGAGGAAGAGUAGAAGUAACACUUAUGGUGAUUUUUGAUAGUGCACGAUGGCUAAUGUAGAGAGAAAAUAGAGGAGUAAAUUGAAAAAAAAUAGGAAAAAAACAAAAUAAAAAAGAAAGAAGAAAAAAAUUGUCCAUUAAAUUAAAAAUCAAUGUUUCUAAUGGCUUGAAAUAAGUUUCAAAUAUUGAGAGAGAUGAAGUGAGGUCCCACUCCAACGAUCUUGAAGAAAUUACUCCAUAUAUGUUUGUAUAUAUAAGACUUAAUGAUUGUCUAGGAUGUUUGUUACAUGUGAAAAGUUGAUCAAAGUUUUAAAAAUAAUGUGAGACCCACAUGUUUUUCCUUUUUAUCUCAAAAAGAGAAUAAGAGGCAGGAAAAGAAAUAAUAAAAAGGAUGCAAUACACAAAAUUGUUGGUUGCUAAAAUUGUCCCUCAAGCCCCUCAUUAACCCUCGCUAGAACUUUCAAAUUAGGGUAUCAUGUCACAUAUAAUAAGUUAUUCAAAUGUCAUAGUUGAUUAUGCUUAAUUUGGAAUCAAGUUUGCUUUCUAGUGACUUUUACUCAAGGUAUAAUCAAUUAUAUAUGCAAUUUGUAUAACUGUUUAGGUGACUUUAAUUUGUAAAAAACUAUACAUUUUUAUCUAAUAUAUAUAAUUACAUAAACGUAUUUUUUUGGGGUAAAAUGAGCGUUUAUUUAAUCUCUUUUUCAGUUUUUUUCUUUUAUUAUUGACCUAAACACUUUAAUUUAAACAUUAAAUUUCUUUUACACUUUUUUCAUCUCAAUCAAAUAACUUUAUUUUUCACUCUUUUUUCAUUUUUUUUAAGAGAGUCUCUUCUCAUAUCAAAUAAAUUAUAGUUUAUUUUAAUCAUUUUAUUAAUAUUACCACGCAAAAAAUGUUUUUUGGAAAUGCAUCAAUACCCAAAGAUGUGGAUAAAAAAUGUUAAUAUAAUCAUUCAAUGAAAAUUUCUUUAUUAUCUUAAAAAUAUUUUUCUUUUGAAUAAUAAAUAUAAUUUUCACAAUUAGUUGAGUGUAGUUUGUUUUUCAGAGAUGGUAGAGUGGCCCAGAGAAACUGCAACUCUCAAUGGAUAUGAAUUCAACUUUGAACAAGAUCUAAACAGAACUUCUGAUUUAAUUGACGUGAAAGUGAUCCUUUCUCAAUAGCUGAAUUUUUAAUUGCAAAGCUUUUCAUUGGGCACCAGACUAUAAGAGGCCAACUACAUAGGAUAAUCUGAGAUAUUUCAGUAAGGCAUGCGUCCCAUGUAUAUAUUGGCAGAUAACUGAAAAUGUUGCAUAUCCUUUAAUUUCUAGCCAUUUCAAAUUCUUUGGCAAAACAUAUCUGAGGUUUUGUUUUUUCCAUUAUUAUUGUGUUGUAGGAAAUUGUAGUAUACUGCUCUCUACGAAGGUUAUCCAUUGAUGCAAGGAAUGAUAUAUGUUGAGGUUGGAUUUCCACUUGAAUCCCUGAAUUUUUUUCAAGUUGGGUACGUCAGUAUUUGAAAUGCUCAAAGUUGCCUAUACACUACUGAUAUGCACUUGACACCAGUUCUCUGAAUGGGAUAGAACUAGAAGAAAGGAAUCAUACAUGCAAAGCUUUUGAUGCAAAAGAUCAGAGUGGAGGUUUGGGUCUCAUCAGUGUGGAAGGGUUCCAUAAUCUCGAAGAAAACAUCAAACUUCCAUAAGAAAAGCUUGAGCACCUUUUUGGUACAGGCUUCGUAUGGCAAGUCAUUUUGAAUCCAAACAAAAACUCGGGAAGUUUGAGGGAUGAAUGAUGGCUGAUGAUGGGUAAGGUUUUUGAUCAUUGGCAUUUUAAUGGAACUACUAAAUCAAAGAUAUAUAUGGAAGUCAUAUAAAUUUCAGAGGUGAAACUCCACUACAAUAGCCCAAGUUUAGUUUAUUCAUGACCAUGAUUCUUUUUUCAUAUUAUUCAAAUGUCAUAAUCUUAAAAUUAUAUUUUUUUUCGUGGAUUGUCAGCAUGCACAACUUCUAAACAGCUGGACAUUCCAACAUUGUACAAUUUUUUGGUUUCAAAAGAGUAAGCAUUAAGAAAUGUUUUGAUUUAUGAUUUGGCAAACAUCCAUAGCUUACCACUUUUUCUUAAAACUGUUUAAAAUUAACUACAUUAUUUUGUUUGUUUGCAGGAUGCUGACUGAAUCUCAUACAUAUAGAAUGUGUCCAUCUUGCUUCGAUUGAGAAACAUAAUAAUGUAGGACUUCACCUCACUUAUAUGAUACUCAACCUUUUUACUUCUACCAGAUGUGAGACUUCACCAAAAUGUAGUUCACAAAAUUUUAUAUCAAAAACUUCUGUUACUAUUUUUUUGUGUUGGAUUAUUUGCGUCACCCAAAUGUAGUUCAGUGUUUCAAUCACAUGCUAGAGGUGCUUCACAAUAUAUAUGUGCUUUGAAGCAAAAUAGCAUCAGUAGAUGCAUUGCUAUACAAAUAGUAUUUUGUGUAUAAAGCUGAUCUUGCAGGACUAAGGGUGGAGGAAGUCAUGGCAAGUUCUGAAGAUAGAAGAGUGCUUUGGAUAAGGGAAGAGAAUAGGAUUGAUACAUGCCUUAAGCCAUUGGUAGUUUUGUAGCAGAAAAAUAUAAUAAGCAAGGAAGAAGAGAAACAAUACAAGGUGGAGGAAAUAUAAUAAUUUUUGCUUAAUCAAAUUAUUCUGAGCAGCAAUACAAUAUAAAGGAAAACAAAAAUUAAUCAUUUAUUAAUUUCAGGAAAACUGAAAAUUUUAAGUGACUUGCUCCUAAAUUUUAGUAAUAGCUUUAAUCCAUAACAAAAACAAAUAAAAACAAAAUAUGUAGUUACAAAAAUAAUUUAAAGAAAUUUAACACUCCUCCUUGCUUUAGGAAAUGCAAACUCCAAUACUUUUCCUGAAGAGUUCAAAUUUGUUGAUAGGCAAUAGUUUUGUAAACAUGUCAGUCAAUUGAUCUUCAGACUUAUAGUAAAUUAAGUUCAUUUUUCCACUUUGCUGCAUCUCUAUCAAAAAAUAGAAUUUGAUGUUGAAAUGUUUAGUCUUCCCAUGACACACUGGAUUGCUUGUAAUAGUAAUGGCUGCUUGCACUACUAGAAUUAUGGCAUUCUACAUCGCGCGAUCUACAACGGUUCUGGAGAACCGUUUUAGUAAAAGGCGCGGUGGCAAUUUUGCAAUUAUAGAGAAAAAAAUAAUUUUUCACGUCGUACAUUUUAAGGCGGUUAUAAAUAACCGUCUUAGAAUGUAUGGUAGUGACAAACUUGUAAUUACGUACAACGAAGUCAACGACGGGUUUUGACCUAGGACCGUCGUAGUAUUACGAAUAUAAAAACUAACCUAAACCCGCGGCGCCGCUACUCAGUCAUUCUCGCAGACCAUUCACGUUUCUUCCUCAGUCAUUGUCGAUCUCCGUCAAACUUUUUACCUUGCCCCUUGAAGCUCACCCACAUGGUGUACCUCAAACCCUGAACCUCACCCACAUUGUGUACCUCAAACCUAGCCUGCUGUCUCAAAAAUAUCAGGUUAUACGCCAACUGUAAAGGACAGGGUUAUAACUUCUAAGUGGAUCAAAUUUCUUGUGAAUAGUCAACAUCGUGCAGUCCAUGUCCCAAUUGCCCUAGCNNNNNNNNNNNNNNNNNNNNNNNNNNNNNNNNNNNNNNNNNNNNNNNNNNNNNNNNNNNNNNNNNNNNNNNNNNNNNNNNNNNNNNNNNNNNNNNNNNNNCAACGACGAUUGUUAUUCUUCCCUCCCCUCGUCGCAUGCAACUUAUCUAUCAUAUUUCUCAAAUCUAAAAGGUACUCCAAUUAUUUGUCCUUUUUAUCAAUCAAUAGCAACUACUACAUGUUAUAUAGUUUAUUCUUAAUUUUCGGAGUAACGAUAAUAUUGUUGAUGUUUUAUAUUUUUCACAGGUUGAGUUUUUGUUACGAUGAAAGUGAUGAAGAAGGGGAAAAGACACUCACACAGUGGGGAAAAGAAGAAGAAUAAGAGGUACAGGGAACAAAACCUUGAUGUUGAGAUAAUUGUUGCCACGCAGAACAGUGAAGGUAAACUAUGUUGAUAUUAUGCUUUCAUAUUCAUCGCAUUUUGUUGAGUUGUCCCUGAAAUAAAGUGGUUGUUUUGUUUCAUUGGAUAGUGCCAAUGGAAUGCAGGUUAAAGAGGCAAAAAAGGAGAAAACUUCCAUCAACAAAAAGAGAAAGAGCAAGGACAAGAAUUUAGUUAGGAAAUGAAAACUGAAAGGCCAAGAGGUUGAUUUGGAUGAGCAAAGUGGUGAGUGAUGAUUAUUGGGUGUUGGCUUGUAGAACUGUUCAUUACUUUUCUAAUGCUAUAUUGUAUUAAUUUUGUUUUUGUUGUUAUUGUUUCUCCCUGUUCUGGCAUCUAGUAUACACCUCUUUUAUAAAAUUAAGUAAACUAAUGUUCAUUCUCAACAUCUUUGUUUUUUUAACCAAUGGUGUCAGAUGGAGUAAUGUACAAUCCUCAUUGUAAAGCUGAGGAGAUCCAAGGGUUAGAUGGGCACAGAGAUUCUGAUACUGGAGCAGCUAUCAAACCAUGUAAUAAAAUACAUUUUCUGGUGGAUUUCACUCUUGCAUUUGGAAACUAUACAUUCGUUUUCACAUGAAAUUUGUCCUGCUUUUGUAGGUAGGUCAAAGAAAGACAAGAAGAAAAGAAAGGAGGUUCAAGAUUCACCAGAAAAGGAGGGAGAAGGGUGCAAUCAGGUGGAAGUUUAUAUUAUUUCCUCUGUUGAUGAUGACUGCUCAAAAGGAAUGAAAAGUAUGAAUUGUUUGUUUAACUGUAGUGCAUUGCUUUUUUGUUUGCUUUUAAAACUCCAAACAUUAUUCAUUUAAAACUUUUAUUUAAAUGUAUAGUUUCUAUUUUGUGAGUCUAUUUAAAUGUAUGAUUUUUAUGUUAACUUUCAUCUAUAGAUCUCGCGGCGCCGCUACUCAGCCAUUCUCGCAGACCUUGUGCACUAUGUUGCUUUUUUAGAGUUAAAACUUAGGAAAUCACAGCUAGGACAAUAAUAAGAAAAAAUAUAUAUACUGAUUACUUAAAUAUAUAUACCUUGUUUCAGCUUCAUGAUGGUGAAUGAAUACUGAUUACUUAAAUAAUUAUUUUUAAAUGUUUUUUACACCCCUCAUUCUGGGUUGAAGUAUUAGAUGUUUAUAUAUCACUUCAAGAAGGGUGUUAUCUCCUUUCCUUUUCAUAUUUUACUCCUUUUAUUUUAAUUCUUUUGUUUCUAGGUGUAUCAUGCAUUCAUGCUGUAGUCAAGAACUCAAAAUACAAUACUUGUUGAUGGGGUCAAGGUACACAGUGAUGAUACCAUUGUCAUUAAGGACGGAAGUCAAAUUAUCCCAAGUCCCGAUAGAGAAUGUCAGAUUCUUUUAAUAUUUAUGGCAGUGUAACAAUUCCUAUUAUUAGCAAGAUAUAUGGAAUAGAAAAUUGUAAAAGUGUGUUGUAUGUGUAUCAUUCAAUUGUUACAGUUCCAUAAAGUAGUAUUGCCAUUGUGCUACUGUCAAUCCAUUGAUUUGUUUCAAGCAAAGUUGUAUUGUUUAGUAGCAUGUUAUAUUGUUUUCUUUAAUAAGAUUUAAACUUGGUUUCACAAAAGUGGUAAUAUUAAUUGUUCAGCAUGUUAAAUUACUAAGUUAAUAGAGGGCUUCAGGAUGAAAAACAGGUGAUUGAUUGGUCAUCAUAUUGACUUGGACAGUAAUGUAGGCAUAAACUAUAACAUAUUUGUCCCUGUUUUAAUCCUUACCCAAAUAAUCUUCCUAGCAAGUGAGAAUUACUUGUCUCAAUAGUAUUAUGCUUUCAGAUAGUUAAAUUAUAAUUGGCAGUAUCAAAUUUCAACUUGUGGCAGAUUAACAUGAUUUUUGGGUCUUUUAAUUAUUAGUAAAGAUCUUUAUUUUAGUGUUGGACAAAACAAAAUCUGUAUGCUAAUUAUUUGGUUGUGAUUUGUUUGCAGGUUUGCAAUGCUUUUACUGAUAUGGAAAACCCUUCACCUUGUUAGCGUUUACCUGAUGGCUUCAAAAGGGUUCGGGUUCCUCAUUUAGUUAAUACCAAGGUAAGCUAAAAGAAGCCAUAGUUAUCUAUUUCUCAGUUUAUGUAGUGGUUAGUACUUAGUUAAUACUACUCGAGCUUAUAAUUAUUUUCAGUGAAGAGCGAAGAAGGCAUAGUUAUUCUUGAAGAAGCUCAGUGAGCUGCUCUUCUCUUUCUAUUUAGCAAUGCUAUAUCUAUCUUCCAUAAAAAAUUAUUAUUAUAUAUUGGACUUCAUCUUUUUAAACAAAAUUUAGUUUAAGUUUAUGGAUAAAAAAAUAUAAUUUAAAAAGGAAAGUUUAUUGACCAUAUUUAUAAGUAAUUUUUUUUAAUAUUUUGACGUGUAAGAUUUUAAUAUUUUUCAAAUAUUUUAUUUGGUGGAUUACGUAAUAAAGGAAAGUUUUUUAGUAUUUUAAAAUAUUUUAUUUGAUUGCAUACGUAAUACGUUUGCAUAGUGAGUAUAUACAUAAAUAGUAUACUGGAUUGAUGCUAAUAAUAAAUUAAAAGAGCAUGAUGAGUGCAUAGAACAAAGGGAGUUAGGAAAAAAAAGAAGUCAUUUUUUCCUAAUUAAUUGUUCCUUUCUACGUUUCAUAUGGGACAUCACUUAUAUAAAGUAAUUCGUAUUCUGUCAAAUUAAAGAAAGAAGCUGUAAAGGAAAACUUAAUUAUAGAGUAAAAGUAUAUAGGUGUGUGCCUAUCCCUUCUCUUUUCCAUUUUGGUGAAAUCAUUUUAUUCAUUUUAUUUGAACUGUACAACUGAUCCAGAUUGUUGUGUCAUGUGUGAUUUAUCAUUUAAAAUAGAAACUUGCUUAGAAGUAGGAGUCUUAGUGUAAGUGGUAGCUUAGUACUGGUAUGGAAUGACAGAUUUCACUUCCUUUUAUUAAUAAUCGUAUACAAGUACAUAUGAAGAUUUUAAGAAAAGACUUAAAUAGUUUUUUAGCCCCUAUAAUAUAUACAGGGUUAUUUUCUUUUUGUCCUCUUAAGAUUUUUUUUUCCGGUUUUUGUCCUCUUAAGUUUUUUAGCUACACUGGAUCUAGUUGCUUCUCUGGGCUAAGAUAGGACCAUAGGAUGAUUUGGCUAAUUCAUUAUGAAAUAUUGGUCAAUGCAACUUGGAAUAUGCUUUGCCCUUGGAGCUAGCAACCUGAAAAUCGCAAUUUGUGAUCACGAGAAAGAUGUGUGUUGUCCUUCUUGUUGAUUUUGAAAAGAAAAAAAAAAGAAUGUGGCAACUUAUGCAGAAUUAUAUGACGUGGUGCUUACCUAUGUUAAGUGGGCUCUCGUAAUAAUUUUUCAAAUUUAAGUAUAAAGUUUUGAAUAUUUCCUAAUGAUAAUUUUUAUCCUUGACUAGAAUUACAUAUCAAUCUCUUCUUGCAGCAAAUUGUCUUUUUGCAGACUGUUAUGGGGGAUACCAUUGGAGACCCUCUCAAAGAUACUUCAGGCCCUUCACUCAACAUCCUCAUCAAGCUCAUGGCAGUUGAGUCGCUUGUCUUCGCACCAUUUUUUGCCACUCAUGGUGGUCUGCUUUUCAAGAUCUUUUGAUUUGAGGGAAUGCAACCGUACUUGGUAGAGUUUAAAUUUAUUACAUUUUCGAUUGUUGGCAGAUUUUAAGCUGUGAUAAAAUGAGGUGAAUUUUAAAUUUAUUACAUUUAGCUAGAAGUUUAGAAUCCUGAAGGUAAGUGAUAAGCAUUAUAUUGAAUUGCAUUGUAUAUGUUCAUGUUUCUAUGAAGCUUGCUGGACCUGAAAGGGAGAGGCAACUAUCAGAUACAGAUGUCCAAUCAGCUGUGUGGGAGGUCUGUGGUGAUUCUGGAGCUUUACAAUUGCUUGUUGAUCUUCUUCAUGUGAAGUGAGUGUCAGGAAUUAGGUAACCACAACUGCUGAUAGGAUCAUGUUAAUUAUAAUCUGAAAUGUUAUUUGCCUUAUUCCUAAUCUGUAUACUUGUGAUUACAACUUCUUUUAUAUUCAAUGCACCUUAUACCAGUUAUGAAACCAAAUCAAGUUUAGAAUCUUUAGAUGCAGACCUUAGUUGCCUCAACAAGCUCGACUGGUAUGCCACCUGUUGUUUGAUAUCUUCACCUGUUGUUAUAUAUAUAUAUAUAUAUAUAUAUAUAUAUAUAUAUAUAUAUAUAUAUAUAUAUAUAGCUAGUAGCAGUGUUGCUGUUCUUAAUAUUCCCAGGUUGUGGCAGGAAUAAUGUUCUUAUUAAUAUUCUCAUGCAUGGAUCUGAUUCGGAUCUUCUUUCUUGAUCUGGUUAGUCAAACAAUUUAUAUGUACACUUGCUAAUCAUAAUUUUAUAAUGAGUUUUUUAUGCACCGAUUGUAAUCUUAAGGUAUGAUUAGGAAUAUUUUGUAUCUUUAUCUUUAUAAUAAUAAUAAAAGCAAAUAAGUUUGAGAGGGAAAACUUAUGCAAUUAAAUUGUUCAUUUUUAGAGAUUUUAUUCUUUAUUUGUUAAUUCAUAGAAUUAUAUUAAUAUAGUAAUUAAGGUAAUCAGAAUCAUCUUAUAAUUUGAAAUAAUUUAAUCAAUUGUAAUUAGUAACUUAGGUAUAUGUUUUAGUUAACGUUAUUAAGAUGGUUUUAAACUUUUUAUAUAAAUAUAGUAAUUAAGGUAAUUAAAAUAAGUAUAUUUUCUAAUUUGAAAUAAUUAAAGUCAUUAUUGGUAUAUGUUUUAAUUAAGGUAAUUCAGAUUAUUUUAAAUUUCUUAUUAUAAUAAAAUUAUAGGGACAUUUUAUGCACUUGAGCAAGAAAAUUUUAGAGAAACUUUUUUAUAUUUUUAAUUCAUAGAAUUAUAUAAAUAUAAUAAUUGAGAUAAUUUGAAUAAUUAUAUAUUCUGAUUUGAAAUAAUGAAAUUAAUUAUUAUCCACACAUAUAUAUGUUUUAAUUAAGAUAAUUUAGUUAUAAAAAAAUAUUAUUAUUUCUUUUUAAUUUCUUAAUUAAAUUAUUUUGUUUCUUAAUUAAAUUAAUUAUUAUCCACACACCUCUUAAUUAGUAUUUUAUUUCUUUUUAAAAAAUAUAACUUGCAUUUAAAAUUAAUCACCCCCAUAUAUGAUUUUGUCAAACUCGGGCCAUGUAUAGGCCCAAAACAUAAGCCGUAACUUGUUGGGAGGUUCAUUAUAAAAUGGGAAGAAAGUAGUAUUAGGGUUUUAUAUUACGCAUAGUGUGGUAGCCGCAGCUAAGCUUGUUUCCGUUGCCGCUUCACCCACCGUAGCAACCAUGGUGGAAUCAACUUAUGCUUGCCCUAAUUUGAUUUGUUUUGUGCAGAUCAUUCCCGAGAAGAAUCGUAAAGAGAUCUACAAAUACAUCUUCCAAGGUUCGUUAGUUAACGUUGUUGUCUCUUGUUGUGCUUUACGGUUUUGUUAAAAUUGUAAGGUGUGUUUGUUUGAUUCAGAGGGAGUUUGCUUUGCGAAGAAGGACUUCAAUGUGGCAAAGCACCCAGAGAUUGAUGUGCCGAAUCUGCAGUGACCGUGAGAGGAGAUUCAAAUCCAGAGAGUAGGCCCAUCUCGCUUUGACGGAGAGAGGAGAUUCAACAGUGACCGUGAUGGAUACCGUGGAGAUCCACGCAGACCUCAUUUUUCAGGUAAAUUUUAAAGACUCAUUUUUAUUUAAUGAAUACAGUAUUAUUUAAUUUUCCUUGUUUUUCUAUUGUAAUAGGAAAUAAAAAAGGCAGUGGAAAUGACUAUUUUUAUAUUUAUAAACAAUUCAAUGUUUGAAGUUGAAUGUUUAUUUUUGUAUUUAUAAAUAUUUGUUCUAUGUUUUCUGAGAGAAAAUUCCUUUCAUAAAAUUUGGACAAGUAAAAUUACACUCUUAAUUUUAGUUGUAUAAAUUGUCAGAUAUUUUCUAAUAAACGUAUUAUAUUAACUUAUGUACUAUAUUUUAUCUAUAAGAUUUUCGAUGAAUCAUAUGCGUAAUUUUUCUUCCUAACACCUUGUAUAAAGACUUAGAAGAAUAAAGAAUUUAAUUAUUUAUUCUUUAUAUUUACAUUUAUGUUCUUGAUAAUUUCAAUUUGACAUAUAUAUAAUAGUUGUUUGUUAGACAUCAUUAUCAUUUUUAAUUAUUUCCCAUAUUUUAUAUCAUAAAUCUGUCAAAAUUAGUGUCACAUGUCAAAUCCUUCAUAUUUAUUACCCGUCAAGCUACUUUUUAUCAAAAAAAAGUCCUAUAUAAAAAUGAAUUACAUUUUUUAUUGCCCCGUUCAAAUUCUUACAUUUUAUAUAUAACUCAAUAGUUUAUAACAAUGAUGAAGAGAUGAUUUUUUAAAAUUGAAGAUGGGCUAAAUACCCGAUAGAAUGAUUGAUUACAAACUAAAAGAAAUACUAGCCCAUUCUUCUAAGACGUGUGUUUUUUGGUCCACAUCACCGAAUGAUUACUAUACUAUACAUAGCAUUCAUGCCUCCUUUCAUUUAAUUUUAUGGCCCUCUCUUUCUUUUAUUGCCGAUAAUUGAAAAAGUUUACAUCAUUGUUUUAGAUAUUUGAAAAAAUUAAAAUAAAAAGUUGUAAGAAAAACUUGGGCCUCUCGUUCAGGAUAUUUUGUCACGCAUUUACAGAGCAACCCCUCACCCACUAUCAUUUGAUGAUGUGGUCGUUUCACCAACCCAAAGGGCAAUGAACCAAAACUUGUCUCUAAAUUCACUGCAGUAACAGGAAACUCUUAAUCACUACUAUGACUUUUUAAUUAAAUUUGUGGCAAAUUGGUUAGUGUCCUUGUUAUCCUUGUAAUGAAAUAAGGAGGGAUAUUGUGUAUAAUUUGAAGUAAUCUUAGGGAUGUUAAUGUAAUCUGCCAACUAAUAUCACAUUGACAAACAAUAAGUUUUAUUGUUGAAUUGCCCGUAUUUGGUAAUCAAAUUGUUAUUCAGAAAAAGACUUCAGACUUUUAGACUAUAGUCUUUAUGUAGAAGCUUCUUCCUUUGCUCUCUGGACAACAUUUUGGCCCUCUUAUCAUUUUCGAUCCUCAUACUUAAACUAGGUAUAUUAUUUGCUUCUACCAGUGCAAAAAUCAAAUCAUAUUGAAAAUUUUGGCUAGAGUUGGGCAUGAUGACUUCAAGUUGAGAGAAAAUGUGUUGUUAUUUUUAUCACUUUUUAUUAUUUUGAUAUUUCUCUAAUCUCUAGUUAGGAAAACCCAUAUUCUUUUUUAUCUAUGAAGUAGCAUUGUCCUAAUUUUGAUAAAGAAUUUGUAGAAGUUCUUGUGAUGGCCUACUUUGACAUGUCAAGUUUUCCUUAUAUGUAUAUGUUUUAACUCUGUUUGCAGGGUGGUCCUGGUGGAGGGCCUGAUUUUGGUCGUGGUUCCGAUGGUUAUGGUACACCAAUUAGUCCAAACAUUCCUUCUUAAAUAUAAUGUUAUGUGCUCUAGUUUUUGCAAUUUUGGCUGUCAUUGGAGUUAAUAGUAGUUGUUCCCUUCUCCCAAUAGUUGCUCGAUAUGUCAGACAAUUUACUUAUUCGAUUAUUUAUGCAAUAAAGAUUUUGAUCGAGUGUCUGUUAUAAUAUAUAGGUUGACAAUAUUGUUUCUGUUGGAUGAUUGGUGGUUUAUAAACUGAAAAUUGGUGGGAAAAGCCUUAAUUUUUAUUUCAAAAAGUAACUUAUGUCUAAUGGUUUAUAAAUUGUUGCGAAUAAGAUGGUAAAUUUAACACGUGACAAUAUUCCCAGGGCGAUUAUUUAAUAAUAAAAAAAAACCAAAAUCAAAAAUCCAAAAAAAAACAAAAGAAAAACUAUCUAAGACGGUUAUUUAAUAACUGUCUUAGAAUGAUCGAGAAACUAUGACGGUCAUAAGAAAAACCGUCGUAAAAAAUUAAGUUCAAAAAGGUUAUUUUAAGACGGUUAUUAAGAAGAGCUGACUUAGAAUCUCAAACAUACUAAGACGGUUAUUUAAUAACCGUCUUAGAUUUUUCAUGUUGUGGACUCCAUUUUAAGACGGGUGACAUGAAAACCGUCUUAGAAAGUAAUAGUCACUAAGACGGUUAGCUUUGAGGACCGCCUUUGUAAGAUGAACAUUCUAAGACGGUUAUUAAAUAACCGUCUUAGAAAACAUAAUAAUCUACGACGGUUCAUAAACCGAUGUAAAAAGUGUAGUACCAAUUUACGACGUUGCGUUCUAAGACGGUUCAAAACCGUCUUAGAAGGUCUUCUAGAACCGACUUAGAAAACACAAUUUGUAGUAGUGUUGGUUGUCAACAAAAAUUUCAGUUUUGUUUUUGUGUAUCAUAGACAUCUCCUCCUCCAUUCCAAUUUUCCAUUUUGGAUCUUUUAGUGCUUCCUCACAACUAAAAGGUUCAUAAAUUGCUAUAUUACAUCUUUGAUAGAUGUCGAACAGUGACCUUUUUCCUCUGAUUGGAAGGUCAUCUCUUAAUUCAUUAUGCAUAAGCUCUGUUGUUUGCUCUCUGGGAUGAUUGUUUCCACUGUUGAGGAAAAACCCACCUGUUUGUGAGUUGUUCCAAUCCCAUUUCUUACCUUCAUUGAAGUGCACGUCUCUUGUGACUGUCAUCUUUUUAGUUUGAGGAUGAUAGACUUUGUAGGCUUUUGAAAUUGAACUGUAGCCCAAAAAGAUGCCCAAAAUUGCUUUCUUGUCAAGUUUGUCACGCUUAACUUGUGGAACAUAAGCAAAAAAAACACAACCAAACACUUUAAGAAAGGUUAGUGAAGGCUUAAACCCAUACCAAGCCUCAAAUGGAGUUUUAUCAUUCAAAGCCUUGGUUGGAAGCUGAUUUUGCAUGAAAAUAGCCAUAUUAGCCGCCUCUGCCCAAAAUGUUUCAGGUAGCUCCAUCUCAUGCAACAUGGACCUAGCCAUCUUCAUCACAGUUCUAUUUCUCCUUUCACUAACUCUAUUUUGCUCUGGAGUGUAUGGAGCUGUGAGUUUAUGUUCAAUGCCAGCUUCUUCAUAGAAUUGAUUAAACUUUGAUGAAGUAUACUCAUUCCCAUUGUCUGAUCUUAGAAAUUGAAUCUUGCAGCCACUUUGGUUUUCUACCAUGUUCUUGAACUUCAUAAAUACUCCAGCCACUUCAUGCUUGAAUUUUAAGAAAAAANNNNNNNNNNNNNNNNNNNNNNNNNNNNNNNNNNNNNNNNNNNNNNNNNNNNNNNNNNNNNNNNNNNNNNNNNNNNNNNNNNNNNNNNNNNNNNNNNNNNNNNNNNNNNNNNNNNNNNNNNNNNNNNNNNNNNNNNNNNNNNNNNNNNNNNNNNNNNNNNNNNNNNNNNNNNNNNNNNNNNNNNNNNNNNNNNNNNNNNNNNNNNNNNNNNNNNNNNNNNNNNNNNNNNNNNNNNNNNNNNNNNNNNNNNNNNNNNNNNNNNNNNNNNNNNNNNNNNNNNNNNNNNNNNNNNNNNNNNNNNNNNNNNNNNNNNNNNNNNNNNNNNNNNNNNNNNNNNNNNNNNNNNNNNNNNNNNNNNNNNNNNNNNNNNNNNNNNNNNNNNNNNNNNNNNNNNNNNNNNNNNNNNNNNNNNNNNNNNNNNNNNNNNNNNNNNNNNNNNNNNNNNNNNNNNNNNNNNNNNNNNNNNNNNNNNNNNNNNNNNNNNNNNNNNNNNNNNNNNNNNNNNNNNNNNNNNNNNNNNNNNNNNNNNNNNNNNNNNNNNNNNNNNNNNNNNNNNNNNNNNNNNNNNNNNNNNNNNNNNNNNNNNNNNNNNNNNNNNNNNNNNNNNNNNNNNNNNNNNNNNNNNNNNNNNNNNNNNNNNNNNNNNNNNNNNNNNNNNNNNNNNNNNNNNNNNNNNNNNNNNNNNNNNNNNNNNNNNNNNNNNNNNNNNNNNNNNNNNNNNNNNNNNNNNNNNNNNNNNNNNNNNNNNNNNNNNNNNNNNNNNNNNNNNNNNNNNNNNNNNNNNNNNNNNNNNNNNNNNNNNNNNNNNNNNNNNNNNNNNNNNNNNNNNNNNNNNNNNNNNNNNNNNNNNNNNNNNNNNNNNNNNNNNNNNNNNNNNNNNNNNNNNNNNNNNNNNNNNNNNNNNNNNNNNNNNNNNNNNNNNNNNNNNNNNNNNNNNNNNNNNNNNNNNNNNNNNNNNNNNNNNNNNNNNNNNNNNNNNNNNNNNNNNNNNNNNNNNNNNNNNNNNNNNNNNNNNNNNNNNNNNNNNNNNNNNNNNNNNNNNNNNNNNNNNNNNNNNNNNNNNNNNNNNNNNNNNNNNNNNNNNNNNNNNNNNNNNNNNNNNNNNNNNNNNNNNNNNNNNNNNNNNNNNNNNNNAACAAAGUAGAGACUACCUUUCAGUGAUGGUGUUCUUUGAGGUCAUGCAACAUCAGUAUGAAUUAGUUGCAACUUUUGAGAGGCUCUCCAAGAUGAUUUUGAGAAUAACUUUCUGAUUUGUUUACCAAAUUGACAAGCAUUACGAUUUGGUAAAUUAUCAAAACAUUAUGGUAAGCCUUUUGCCAAGUCCCUUUUUUUCAUAUCUAGCAUUCUUUCAAGAUGGCAAUGACCCAGUCUUUUGUGCCAGAGUUCUAUGGGAUUGACUUUAGUGUAAUAGGUUGCAUGCACCUCCUCUGUUGGAUCAAAUGAGAAGCUUUUACCUCUCAUUUUAACCCUUAGAACUUCCCGGCCAGCACUGUCAUAAAUAAGGCAGUGUUGAUGUUCAAAGGACAAUUUAAAUCCAUUUUCACUCAAUUGACCUACACUUAGCAAAUUUUGAUCAAUGUCAGGUACAUAAAGAACAUCUGAUAUUAUUUUGGUACCUGAACAUGUUGAAAUUGCAAUGGUUCCUUUUGUAGAAAUAUAAUCACCAUUCCUAAUUAUGACCUUUGAGACAUUAGUUGGCUUCAAAUCCUUGAAUAAAGUCUUAUCAUUUGUCAUGUGGUUCAUACUACCGCUAUCAAUCAACCAACAUUCAAAACUACUCCUCAUCGAAUAACACGUUGCAACAAAAAUAUAAUCUUCUUCAUCUUGCUCCACAACUUGGGCAUUGGCUUCAGCUUGUUGAAAUUUGUUGUUACAAAUUACAGCUUCAUGUCCAAGUUGAUUGCACCUAGUGCACUUUGCAUCUGGUCUUCUCCAACACUUGAAUGGUGGGUGACCCAUUUUUCCGCAAUGCUGACAAGGUGAGUAAUUUUUCUUUUUACCCUUACCUUUGUUUUGGUUGUUUGCACUAUUUUCGCUGCUUGCUGGCUAGUUCUUCUUGACAUAUUUCUUUCUCCUUGUGAAUUCUGAUCUGGUUUAUAGUAGGAUCAUCUGAGAUCAUAACUUUCCCUGGUAAAGACAAGAAUGAUGGCUUGGAAAAAACUUAUGUCAGAAUCCAUCAGAAAUUAAAAUGCAUAGGUUCCUUAAGAAGAGGCUCUUGAUAUCAAUUGUUGGGGAGAUUCGAGGGAAACACCUAUGGACCAUGAGUCACCACAUAAGGAAGUCUGUCACCACACUCUAACCCAAAACCUUAAGAUUCAGGUUUAUGGGUAUUCUCCUCAAUUAUAUGGUGCUCAACUUUUCCACUUUUACCCAAUGUGAGACUUCACCUCACACUUGUACUCCAACACAUCUCCCCUUCAAGUGUGAGUCUCUUCCACAUGGUAGCCUUCCUCUGGAGCUCACGAGUAUAGCCAUUCUGACCACCUGCAGUACUUGCACUACCGCUACAUCUGCGGGGUACCCUGCGCCGCCAUCUUACUCCUCUGAGCCGGUCACGAGUAUAGCCAUUCUGGCCACCUAUGGUACUUACACCGCCACUGCAUGCUGCGCCGUGCCAUCUUACUUAUUUGAGUCGGUCACCAAGUCGAACCUUCAUCUCUGAUAUCAAUUGUUAGUUUUGUAGCAAAAAAAUAUAAUAAGCAAGGAAAAAGAGAAACAAUACAAGGUGGAGGAAAUAUAAUAAUUUUUGCUUAAUCAAAUUAUUCUGAGGAGCAAUACAAUAUAUAGGAAAACAAAUAUUAACCACUUAUUAAUUUCAGGAAAAUUGAAAAUUAAAAGUGACUUGCUCCUAAAGUUUAGGAAUAACUUUAAUCCAUAACUGAAAUGAAUAAAAAUAAAAUAUGUAGUUACAAAAGUAAUUUAAAGAAAUUUAACAAUAUGACUUGGCCUCAUCGGAUAGGUAAUAUCUAUAAACUUUCACCAAAACAUUAAAGCUUCUUAUUCUAUGAGGGUAAUGCCAAAUAUUCGUGAACCAAAUUAGCAAUCACACCUUAUAUGAUUUGAAAAAACAAAAAAAAAAAAUUACAGUUCCAGUCUAGUAUCUCUAUGAAAAUUGUCAAAAUAUAACUUUAACAAGGAAUAAAAAAAAAGAAAGGACAAAUAAGAUAAUGUUUGUUUUCUUCUUAAUCUUAAUAUUUUAUUUUUCUCCUCCUAUUCUUUACCUCAAUUUUGUAAGCUAUGUAAAACCUGUAUGAUUUAGAACACUAUAAAAACAAUGACAAAGGAAUAGGAAAUAGAGGGUCAUACGUAGCAGAUUAUGGUUUGUCUAAGAAGGGAAGUCCUGAUAUCAGUCAUCAUCUAUAAACUAUAAUGCAUCAAGCUUAUCAUUAACAAUUUGGUUCUUUUUAGAUAAAUUUCUUUAAAAACACUUACAGAAGAAAAAAAAAACAAAAUGCAUUAAGGUUUUUUACUUUUUAUAAAUUAAAGCCAACUUGCACACCUAAGAACAGUAAGAAGUAAUACAAAACAGAUAUAAUACAACUUUUAUUUAACCAGACUUCAAUCUAAACCAUUGAAUUUUUAAUCAAUAUAUCUACGAUGAAUUUUGAUGGUAGGUACUUCCCCCAGAUUCCACGAUCAAAAAGCAUCCAACCAAGAACAUUGUCUUCAAAAGAGGACAAGACACCUACUACCACUACACUUUUUAAAGUAGCCAGACUUCAAUCUAAACCAUUGAAUUUUUAAUUAAUAUAUUUAACGGUUAAUUUUGAUGGUAGGUACUAACGCAAAGCGAGUUAAAAGUGAAGAGAGUUGACUAGAAUCAAAUCUCAUCACACCAGUUAAGCUUGUCGAAAACCAACCCAGUUUAUUGCAACCAAUUCCUUUCCUUUGUUCUUGACAUCAUGGCUGAGGCAGUUGGUGGUGCAUUCCUCUCGGCUUUCCUUGAUGUUGUGUUCGACAAGCUGUCUACAGAUGAGGUUGUUGACUUCAUCCGUGGAAAGAAGCUUGACCUCAAUUUGCUUGAGAACUUGAAGAGCACUCUGAGAGUGGUUGGAGCUGUGCUUGAUGAUGCUGAGAAGAAACAAAUCAAACUCUCCAGUGUCAACCAGUGGCUCAUUGAGGUCAAAGAUGCUCUCUAUGAGGCCGAUGACUUGCUGGAUGAAAUUUCUACCAAAUCUGCAACUCAAAAGAAGGUAAGUAAAGUGCUUUCUCGCUUUACUGAUAGGAAAAUGGCCAGUAAGUUGGAAAAAAUAGUUGACAAAUUAGACACAGUUUUAGGAGGCAUGAAGGGUCUUCCUUUGCAAGUGAUGGCAGGGGAGAUGAGCGAGUCAUGGAAUACUCAGCCAACAACAUCUCUGGAAGAUGGAUAUGGUAUGUAUGGUAGGGAUACAGACAAGGAGGGCAUAAUGAAGAUGUUGUUGUCAGAUGAUAGCAGUGAUGGUGUACUAGUGUCUGUGAUCGCUAUUGUAGGCAUGGGUGGGGUUGGAAAAACCACUUUAGCCCGAUCUGUGUUCAACAAUGAGAAUUUGAAGCAGAUGUUUGAUUUAAAUGCAUGGGUUUGUGUUUCUGAUCAAUUUGAUAUUGUUAAGGUCACAAAAACUAUGAUAGAGCAAAUCACGCAAGAGUCAUGUAAAUUGAAUGAUCUAAACUUGCUUCAACUUGAAUUGAUGGACAAACUGAAAGUUAAAAAAUUCUUAAUUGUCUUGGAUGAUGUAUGGAUCGAGGAUUAUGAGAAUUGGAGUAAUCUUACAAAACCAUUUCUACAUGGAAAAAGGGGAAGUAAAAUUCUCUUGACAACCCGCAAUGCAAAUGUAGUGAAUGUAGUCCCUUAUCAUAUUGUUCAAGUUUAUUCUCUAAGUAAAUUGUCAGAUGAAGAUUGUUGGCUAGUGUUUGCAAACCAUGCAUUUCCCCCCUCAGAAUCAAGUGGGGAUGCUAGAAGAGCUUUAGAAGAAAUUGGAAGGGAGAUUGUUAAAAAGUGUAAUGGAUUGCCUUUAGCAGCACGGUCACUUGGAGGUAUGUUGAGAAGAAAGCAUGCUAUUAGGGAUUGGAAUAAUAUACUUGAAAGUGACAUUUGGGAACUUCCUGAAAGUCAGUGUAAAAUUAUUCCAGCCUUGAGAAUUAGUUAUCAAUAUCUCCCUCCACAUUUAAAACGAUGCUUUGUUUAUUGUUCAUUAUACCCUAAAGAUUUUGAAUUUCAAAAGAAUGACUUGAUCUUGUUGUGGAUGGCUGAAGAUCUUUUGAAGCUUCCAAACAGAGGAAAGGCGUUAGAAGUUGGUUACGAGUAUUUUGAUGAUUUAGUUUCUAGAUCAUUUUUUCAACGUUCAAGUAAUCAAACUUGGGGCAAUUAUUUUGUAAUGCAUGACCUCGUGCAUGAUCUAGCAUUAUACCUUGGUGGAGAAUUCUAUUUCAGAUCAGAAGAACUUGGAAAAGAAACCAAGAUUGGUAUAAAGACUCGUCAUUUGUCAGUUACAAAGUUCAGUGAUCCAAUCUCAGAUAUUGAAGUUUUUGACAGACUACAAUUUUUGAGAACUUUAUUGGCAAUUGAUUUUAAAGAUUCUUCAUUCAACAAGGAAAAGGCACCAGGUAUUGUAGCAUCGAAGCUUAAGUGCUUGAGAGUUUUAUCAUUUUGUGGCUUUGCAAGUCUGGAUGUUUUGCCUGAUUCAAUAGGUAAAUUGAUCCAUUUGCGUUAUUUAAAUCUCUCUUUUACAAGAAUAAGAACACUGCCGGAGUCAUUGUGUAAUUUGUACAAUCUACAAACUCUGGUGUUGUCUCAUUGCGAAAUGUUGACCAGGUUGCCUACUGACAUGCAAAAUCUUGUAAACUUGUGUCAUCUUCAUAUUUAUGGUACUCGUAUAGAAGAGAUGCCUAGAGGAAUGGGAAUGUUAAGUCAUUUGCAGCAAUUGGAUUUCUUUAUUGUGGGCAACCAUAAAGAGAACGGAAUCAAAGAACUGGGGACACUUUCAAAUCUUCAUGGUUCGCUUUCUAUUAGGAAUUUGGAGAAUGUAACCAGAAGCAAUGAAGCAUUGGAGGCUAGGAUGAUGGAUAAGAAGAACAUAAAUCAUUUAUCGUUGAAAUGGUCUAAUGGCACCGACUUCCAAACUGAAUUAGAUGUACUGUGCAAAUUAAAACCUCACCCAGACCUGGAAUCUCUAACAAUAUGGGGUUAUAAUGGAACCAUAUUUCCAGAUUGGGUGGGAAAUUUUUCCUACCACAACUUGACAAGUCUAAGAUUACAUGAUUGUAAUAACUGUUGUGUGCUUCCUUCGCUUGGGCAACUACCAUCUCUUAAGCAGCUCUAUAUUUCAAUAUUGAAGUCAGUGAAGACUGUUGAUGCAGGGUUUUACAAAAAUGAAGAUUGUCCUUCUGUGACUCCCUUUUCUUCCCUUGAAACGCUAUACAUUAAUAACAUGUGUUGCUGGGAGUUGUGGAGUACCCCUGAGUCAGACGCCUUUCCUCUACUCAAGUCUCUUACAAUAGAGGAUUGCCCCAAACUAAGGGGAGAUUUGCCAAAUCACCUUCCUGCUCUAGAAACACUCAAUAUUACAAGAUGCCAGCUUCUUGUCUCUUCCCUGCCAAGGGCUCCCAUCCUUAAGGGCUUAGAGAUAUGUAAAAGCAAUAAUGUAUCGUUGCAUGUGUUUCCUCUUUUGUUGGAAAGGAUAAAAGUAGAAGGAAGCCCAAUGGUGGAGUCCAUGAUCGAGGCCAUCUUCAGCAUUGAUCCAACUUGCCUCCAACAUUUAACAUUGAGUGAUUGUUCGUCAGCCAUAUCUUUUCCGUGUGGUCGUCUACCUGCAUCUCUGAAGGAUCUGCAUAUCAGCAAUCUUAAAAAUCUGGAAUUCCCGACCCAACACAAACACGAUUUACUGGAAUCACUGUCACUAUACAAUAGUUGUGAUUCUCUCACGUCUCUUCCAUUGGUUACCUUUCCAAAUCUCAAAAGUCUCGAAAUCCAUGACUGUGAACAUCUGGAAUCUCUUUUGGUUUCAGGGGCAGAGUCAUUCAAGAGUCUGUGUUCUUUGAGAAUUUGCCGAUGCCCCAACUUUGUAUCAUUCUGGAGAGAAGGAUUGCCUGCGCCCAAUUUGACUCGAAUUGAAGUUUUCAAUUGCGACAAGUUGAAGUCAUUACCUGACAAAAUGAGUAGUCUUCUCCCAAAGUUAGAAUAUCUUCACAUAAAAGACUGCCCAGAAAUUGAGUCGUUUCCAGAAGGGGGUAUGCCACCUAACCUGAGAACAGUUUCGAUUCACAAUUGUGAGAAACUACUGAGCGGCCUAGCAUGGCCAUCCAUGGGCAUGCUUACCCAUCUCCAUGUUCAGGGUCCAUGUGAUGGCAUCAAGUCCUUCCCUAAGGAGGGUUUGCUGCCUCCCUCCCUUACGUCUCUGUAUCUACAUAAGUUGUCAAAUCUGGAGAUGUUGGACUGCACGGGGCUUCUCCAUCUCACAUCCCUGCAAGAAUUAACCAUAAUCGGAUGUCCUUUGCUGGAGAAUAUGCUGGGAGAAAGGCUUCCUGUCUCUCUAAUAAAAUUAACCAUAGAGAGAUGUCCUUUGCUGGAAAAACAAUGCCGCAGGAAGCACCCUCAAAUAUCCCACAUCCGUCACAUUAAAGUUGACAAUAGAUGGAUUUAGUGACCAAGGAUGAGCACCGGGUAAUUCUCCUUCUUUGACCUACUUCAUCGUCUUCUAAGUCUAACCAAACAAAACUAUUUCAGUCAAGGAUAUCUUUCUUUUCAUGUCUUUUUAUUCUCACAGUUAAUUUAUUCAUUUCAUUCAACAAGCGUUAUUACCCUGAAGAAAUGUUAUCAAUCAAUGCCAUUGUAUUUGAACUUUCUCAAUAUAUCGGCAAUCAUGGUGGUUGUUUCAUCUUGUUACAUUCUCUGUCAGUGUUCAAAGUGUAAUUGGGUGUACUUUGUUUUUCAGAGAUGAUAGAUUGUCCUGUAGAAACUGCACCUGUAAUUGGAUAUGAAUUCAACUUUGACGUGACACCAGAAAGCUCAUAUUUAUGCGUGUAAAGCUGAUCUUCCAGGGCAAAAGGAGGAGGAAGCGAGGGCGCAGUCAGCUGAUGGCAAAGUGUUUAAGAUUGUUCCAUGGCACCAUCUGGAGCAUAGCACCAGCAACUCCCUGAGCAUACAGGCCUUAAGCCAUGACUUGACUGGUUUAGAUAGGUAAUAAUUACUGAAUUCAAGACACUAAAUUCUAUGAGGGUUCAUAUAAAAUUGACAAGGGUUUAGAUCUUGCUAGUAAUACCAAGGAUUCGUGAACCAACUUAACAAUCACACCAUGGAUGAUUUGAAAUAACAAUAUAAAUUGCAGUUCCUGUCUAACAUCUCUAGGAAAUUUUCCAGAACAUAAGUUCAACAAGGAAAACAAAGAAGAUAGAAAAAAUAAGACAAUGUUGUUUUCUUCUUAAUCUUAUAUUUUAUUGUUCCUCCCAUGCCUUGCAUCAAUUUUGUAACCUAUGUGAAACUUGGAUCAUUUAAAACACAAUAAUUACAAUGAACAAGGAAUAGAAACUAGAGGGUCUUGGGUAGGAGAUUGUGGUCUAUCUGAGAAGCAAAGUCCUGAUUUCAGUCUUUAACUAGAAUUCAUCAAGCUUAUCAUUCUCUAAGCUGAUUUAUUAGGCAAUUGUCUUUGUUCUUUCUCAUUCUUGUUUCUUAUUUUCCUCUAAAUUGGGCUCAGAGCUUUGUUCUUACUCAUUGUUUCUUAUUUUCCUUCAGAUCAUAUUUUCUAAAGUUGUUCAUGUCAUUGCAUGCAAUGUUUGCUUUCACCCAAAGGGGUGGCUUUGAUCAAAUUGACAAGGAUGAUUCCAACCUACCUCUGGAUACAGCUCCUAUUAAGCAUGUCACGCAGGUAUGCUGUCACAUAAUUGAAAAUUGUUAUCAUGGCUCUAACUACUUGUUAUAAAUUCUCUGUCACUACAAGUUUUCAUCCGAGUUGGGUUAUUAUCUUUUUUAUCUUUCAUCUUUUGUGAAUUUUCGUUUUUAGUUUCAUGAUUUUUUUGUCUUUUUUUAGUCCCAAAAAAAAUAUUGUUUUAUUUUUUGUUCUCAAUAUAUGUAGAAUUUUUUAGGGACUAAAAAUGAAACAAAAAAAUUGAGGGACUAUAAACGAAAAAAAAAAUUAUGGACUAAGACCCAUCAAAAGAUUAAGAAGGACUAAAAACAAUCGCAAAAGACGAAGCAAGUUAAAUAAAUCCUAUUGAUACUAUUUUACUAAUAUUGUGUUACAGGAAACUAUAAAUUUACAAUUUAUAUUAUAAUACAAAAAUAUUUAUCUUUAUUUAUAUUCUUUUGAAAAUAUUCAAAUUCAAUUUAAAAAUAAGUAUGAAAAUGAAAAAUUAAACAGAGAUAAAAGUUUUAUAAAAAAAUUUAAAAUAUCUUGUUGAAAAAAAACUAAAAAUACUUUAGUUGAAGAAUAUCUCUUAAAAAAAUAUUUUCCGAUACAGGAAACUCAUUUCAUUUCAGAUAAAACUAUAAAAUUUACUAUAAAAGAAGGCAACUAAUGUGUUUAUCCGUUACUCACAACACAACUAAAAUAUAGCUGUGGACUUAAGUUUUUCGAUUCGAAUCAUCCAAUUUUUCUCAUAAUCGCAGUCUUCUUCCUUGCAUGCAUGCAAUUUUUCCUUCCCUUGUUUUCUCUAGGACAAAAGUUAUCACAGUGCAUACGUGACAAUCUACCCUCAAAACUCUCCGCAUCAAUCAAACAGUCACAAGAAAAGGCCAUGAAACAUAUGAUGCUAAUGCCACAAAAUGGUGGCAGUCGUGGUGAUAUCCAUGUUGAGGAUAACCAAAACAUGUCCUUUCCGUCGUGGGAGGGAACCUUUAUGAGGUGCUUCAGUGAAAUAGAUGAAAAGCUUGCUAAGAACAUUGACACUGAUGGAUUUCGUGGCGGUAGCACUUCUGUAUCUGUAAUCAAACAGGUAUAACUAGACCUUCNNNNNNNNNNNNNNNNNNNNNNNNNNNNNNNNNNNNNNNNNNNNNNNNNNNNNNNNNNNNNNNNNNNNNNNNNNNNNNNNNNNNNNNNNNNNNNNNNNNNUUUCUUUUUUUUGUGAAUACUUUUGCAACAAUGUUAUAACCACAUCUUUUUCCCCCUUUAAAUUUCAGGGUGACCAAGUAAUAAUUGGCAAUGUGAGGGAUUCUCGUGCAGUUCUUUGCAGAAGAGCACCUGACAAUCGCCUUAUUCCUGUUCAACUUACUAUUGACUUGACUCCAGAUAUUCCAAGUAUGUUUUGGUAUUACCUAUUCUUAGUUUCCAAAUCUUACAACCCUUUUGAGUUUAUUUGGUUAAAUUGUCUAAUUAAGCCAUAUUCAUUAAGAACUUAUUAGAUGAGAGCUUCUUUCAGGACUUGUUUGGGUAAGUUUAUCCAAAACCACUUAUGCACAUACUAGUUUGUAAAAGCUCUCUCAUCUUUUAGAGAAACUAUACAAGAGAGUUUCUACAAUUUAGCUUAUGGAGAAACUCAUUUCAUUUCUUUUUCUUAUUUUAUUUCUCCUAAAAGUGCUUCCAGAUAAGUUUAUCCAAACAGACCCUAAAAGCUUGAUUGUAUAACUUAGUAAAUAAGCUAACCAAACUUAUUUUGAUAACCUUCUUUUUGAAAUUUAAUUGAAAUAAGCUAAAAAUAUUCUACUGAAUGGCCAUAUGCUACUUCUACAAGUCCAAAUAAGUUUUAUGAAAUUCUUCCUAAUGUCCCUUGGUCUGUGUCUAACUAGCUUUUCUUCCUCAAUGUUACUCAGGAGAAGCUAUGAGAAUUUUUGCUGUAGAAGAAGAUCCUACUGUAAACAGAGUAUGGAUGCCUAAAAGGGACUGCCUGGACUGGCUAUGGCAAGAGCCUUUAGAAAUUUUUGCCUAAAAGACUAUGGUGUCGCCUCAGUCCCUGAUGUGUCUUAAAGAAAACUUACCAAGGAGGAUAAGUGUGUGGUUUUGGCUUCUGAUGGGGUAAGCAUUUUCAUAUCAGGAUGUCAACUUCGAAUUUUGGAUUUUGAUUCUUGAGUAAUCAGUUACAGGAACAGAACAAUCAUUUUUAGUGUUUAAGUUAUGCUCAUUUCUCGUAUUCCUCUCAAUCCAAAUAUGUUUGCAAAUAUUUGAUCAAAUAGUGUAAGAAAAGAAAUAACCAAGAAGGUUAAAUGAAUUAACAGCAUGUAGUUUCCACACAUACGUGUUUAGUUCAUAUUGGACAAAAAUUAGAUGCAGUUAGUUCUGUAAGUGCUUUCGUUGUUGUCUUUCAAUUAGAAUUGGAGUUUCACCUAGUAAAUUCGUGUAAUAAAGGUUUCAAUUAAAAGUCAACAUAGACUACUAAGGUGGAAAUCCAAUUUUGAUUGAAGAACAAUGUUAAAAGCACCUGUAAAAACUGUAUCUAAGUUUUGUCCCAGCAUAUUUGGCACAAAUCCAUAUGCUUAUUCUUGAAGGAUUAGCCUCCUUUAACCCAAUCCUGAUCCAAAGUUAGUGGUUAACUUCUCAAAAUUUAUCCCAACCAAUAAGGUCUAAAUAAUCUAGACUUGUAAAUACUGAAAUUGUAGAUAUGGCAAGAGUAUGGUAGAAUCAAAAGGAAGAAUGGGAUGCUCUUGGAGGGUUCUCCAGAGCCAACUUUGAAUCAUAGAUUGCAAUCACCUCAGUACCUCAAGGAGGGUUGAAGCUGAUCACUAACUCAGCCAGAAACUCCCCGAAUCCAAGGGCUAGUGCUACUAACAAGUUAACAAUUUUACGGCCAGAAGAUUUUGCUUUUGACACAAUCCCAGAAGAUGGCAAUUAUUUUAGCCUUCUAAUUCUGGUGUAAUUACGUGCAAGACUUCUUUUCUAUCUGCCUAAGACCAACAUUGAUCAAUUUUAGCAGUCUAUAUUAUGGUACCAUAAAAGUUUUCUUUUUUCUGGCUUGGGUUCUAAAGAGUUCAAUGAAGAACUAAGCAGCACCUACUUUUCUAUUUAUCUUCAAUUAUUUCCUAGUGUUCUGUGUUGACACUAACAUUCAGCAUAAAACAUUACUAGACACUAGAACCAGAGGAUUUUGGAAUUUUACAUACCAAGAAUAUAGUAUUAAUAGAUUGCCGAUAAUUCAGAGGGGUUAUACUAUUGCUGAGCAUUUUGAAGUUUAAGAAUGAAUCUACAAAAGUAAAAAGUGAUCCAAUAACAACCCAGAGUAAGGUUUAUUUUUUUAAAGCCGAAGGAAAUGAAAUUAUAUCAAUAACUUCCAGAACUUCUGGAAAAAGAUUACAACACCAAAAAGAUACUAUUUGGCCGAAAAGCAUGCCUUAGAAUUAUAAACAACAACACCAAAAAAAAGUCAAAAUAUAUUUUCUAUUUUUAAUAAAUAUCUAAAUUUUAUAUUUCUUUCCUGAUAAAAAAAUUACAUUAAAUCCCUAAUAUAAUAAAAAUUAUUUGUGAUUAAACUUUUCAAAUAGACUAAUAACAAAUGAAAAAUAAUUAUCAUGAAAAAAACACAUAAUUUAUCAUGAACUAAAGCAUAAUAUCAAGAAAAAAAUAAAAUAUUUUGUAUUUUUAUCAGAGAAAAAAAAAGUAUUAAUACUUAAACAUAAAAUUAGAAUAUUUAUUAAAAAUCAUACAAUUAUAUUAGCCUAGAAAAAAAAUAAAGGCAGGCCUCCUACACAAAUUAACACAUGAUGAAAAGAUACAUCUUUGAGGGACCACCAUAUGUAUUUUGCCUCACCACGUGGAGCUUCUACAGUUCACCAGCUGAUUGUCUUCAUAUAAGCAGCGCCAUGAUACAUCAGUAACAAGCAUGAGAAAAGAUAAAGAAACCCAAACCCAUCUUCACUGCUCCCAGCAGCUUUAAUUGAGUAGCUUAAUAAUAAAGAUAAAUUUCAAUUAAAGGGGCGUGGCUAUUUUGCAGCCUUUUUUUAGUUUGGCUCGAUUCCAUUGGAACAUUGGAGGGUGAAGUUAAAAAAAUAUAGUUUUAAUAAAAUAUCGUGUACGAAUGAGAAUUCAUAUACUACUUUUGAGCUGACAAUUUUGACUUUUGAGCUGAUAAUUUUGACUGCGAACAAAUGCAAUUUUUAUUAUUUGCAUAGAGAUAUUUUUUUCAUGUAUUUUUGGGUGUGUUUGUCUCAACUACUUCUACAUUUCAAAAAAUAGUUUUCUACUUAUUUUAAGAAAUAAAUCAUAUCUACUUCUUAAAAAAUACUUAUAUAAAAAGUAUUUAUUUUAAAAUUUAAACAAACUCAUCCUAAAUUACACCCAUUAAAAAUGCUUUUAAAGAAUUUGAUUGGUGUGGUCUACUUUUCCUUCCCAAUUAAUCAAAUUUUUUUCAUCGAAUACAAAAUCUUAUUUUUAGGAUUUGAACUUAGUUUCAUAUAGAUUAUAGACAAACAACAUGUUAAUAAUAUACCAAUAAAUAUACAUUAAAAAUUUUAGUGUUAUGUAUAAUAACAUUAUUUAUUUUAUAAUGUAAUUGGCUUAUUAUCUUAGUUGGUUAGAGUCUUGUGCUAGAAACCUAAAAGUCAUAUGUUCAAAUUCUUAUUUGGGCCAUUAAAUGGAAGCUAAUAUGUGGACCUCAUACGGAUCAAUUGAUUCGUAUCCUUUUAUAAAAGGGUAAAAUGGGAAAAAUGCAAAAUUAGUGGGUGUACCAGCAAUUUCACCCUUUGGUUAGGUAUCACGUUGGGUCUUAGGCUUUCUAUGGGUCAACUGGUCAAGGAAAUUACUUCCUACAUUCCAUUUUUUAUUUCUUGCACCUCCCAAAAAUCCAAGAAGGCAAAACUACCCCUCCAACACCACCACUACCACUGUAGCCCCACCUCCACCCAACCACCAACACGCAAACAGCACCACCCAACACCACCAUUGAUGACUUUGGUGCAAGGAACCAUGUGAAAAUGGAAUCGAAGACCAACGAAGAGGUGUAAAGCACAACCUCAUUCUAGAUACAUGAAUUCGUAAGACACUAAUUUUGUAUACAUUUUUAGAAUACCUAUUCCAGAAUAAUAUUUUUCAUAUUUCAGAAUUUGUAUUUUAGAAUACGUUUUUGGAUUACUUAUUCUUAUUUUGUAAUAUGAAAAUCUUAUUCCAUAACAGGUAUUUCGCAACAGGAAUAAGUAAUCCAAAAAGGUAUUCCAAAAUGUCUAGAAUAUGAAAAUUCAUAUUUUUAGAAUAGGUAUUCAGAAAGUGUAAAAGGCCAAAUUUCUCUUUUUCACACAAAUGGCAAAUCUCACACCCCAUUCGCAUAUGCCCUACUUUAUCCCCUCAUUUCUCACUACAAAUUCCACCGACACCUUCUUCUCCUUCUCCCCUCAUUCCUUUGUUCAUUGAGAUCCAAGGUAUAGACCAAGAAACACUGCCAGCUACAAAUCCCAUGAGGGCACAAUGGUGUUCGGGGUGUGAUUGUGUUGGGGCACAAUGGUUAUGGAGGCUUCAUGGCUAGGAUUUUUUGGGAGAGGCAAGGACACAAGAUGUCUUGGUGAGGGGUAUUCUUGUUUUUUGGGAGAUGUAGGAAGAAAAAAGUGGUGCAAGAAGUAAUUACCACUAAUCAACUAUUAACUUGUGAAAAACUUGUGUACAUGUUUCUGUUGGUUUAGCAAUUGGUAGCAAUGACUAAUUUGAAGCUAUUUAAAAAAAUUAGAGACUAAAAUAAAAUUUCUAAAACAAACAAUCAAACUAAAUCAAAACUAAAACAUAAGAAGGAUAAUAUACGUAAUUUAGCAACAAGAAAAAUUCACUUGACUACAAAAUCAUUUUUUAUCACACUCAUCCAAACAUGUACAGAUGUACUUAAUUUGUCAAGGAUUCAUAUCCAUUUACAACAGUACAAAACAGUACAUGAUCCAUUGUAAAGGCCCAGGAGCUAGAAAAUUUAAAUUAUCAGUGGUAGGCAAAAAAUUCAACCAAAAAUCGUUCAGAACAAUGCGUUGCCAUUAAGUCUUCUAUUAUGGCGAAAAUAUGCGAUACCUUUCAUUGCUACUGAAGAAUUCUGCUGUACUUGUUAGCAGAUACAAUGAAUGGCAAUUUUUCAUAUAACGAGUUCCUUUAACCAUGUCAAUGCUUCCAAUAGUGGUUUGAAUUAAAGGUGUGGUGUACAAUUGUCAUUUGUCACAGCAAACUACUACAAUCAAUCCACACCCUAUGAUGAGAGGACAUUGUGUACUACAAUUGCAAAACAACAAAUAGUCCAUUCCAAUGUAUAUGGUACACAAUUUGGAGACAUUAUUAUCUUGAUAUUUACUCUCUUCUCUUUAAGCAUGUCCCUUCAGUACUGAAAUAUAUUAUUGAAAAGAAAAAGGAAGGUAAGAAAAUUAAAUUAGAGUUUCAUUAGGAGGUAGUGAUGUGAAAAAGAACCUUCCAACAUGCUUAACACAAUAAUUGGUUCACCACAUGCUUACUAAUAAGUAUAGGUCUUAUUAACCAGCUCUUUAGAGAACUUGGUUAAUUUUUUAAAAAAAAAUCAUAUAAAAGUGCAUAUAAAGAAUAUAAAAUAAAGAAGAGCAUUUUAACACAUCUAAAAAAAAUUCUUUUCAUUCCAAAAUUUGACUUAAUUUAAGUUUAAGAAAAUCAGCUUGACGCACCUAAAUUAGUGAGUUGGCGGAUAAACAUACGUACUCACCUUAUUUUCAUAAAAAAACACACAAAAGAAAAAUAAAAAUAAAAAAAUAAGAUAAGUUUAAUGUUUCAAGUUAAACUACAAAAUGCAUAUUACUAAAUUUAAAAUAAGUCAAAUUAAAUGCAUAUGCAAGUCCAAUGUUUAUUAAUUAAAUGAAAAAUAUUAAAAUAAGGAACAUGUUAACCCAAUUUUAACCCAUCUGAAAAUUGCAAGUUAAAUAAAUUGAGUUCAAAUAGCCCCCAAAAAAAGUAAAUUGAUUUUUAGCACCAAGCACCCAAAAUCAAUGUGUAUGCAUAAAAGGUAAAAUGGAGAGGGUUGAAAGGGGAUCCAAUUAAAAUACCAAAGUUAAAGUGUUGUUAUUGCUGGUGCACCCAACAUUUUUUAAAAAUGCCAAAACUGCUCCUGUGUUUUUUUUGUAUUUAUGCUAGGUGUGCAUGAGGGUGAUAUGUAAAUCGUAUGGAUCAAGUUAAUCCGUAAGGUUGAUACGGAUUAAGUUGAUCCAUAAGCUUUUUACGAAUCAAAUUAAUUUGUAGAAAACUUAUAAAUUUUUCACGGAUCAACUUAUAAGACUUAGGGAUAAAGAGUAUUUUAGUCUUUUUUCUUAAUUGCUGAACCUAGCAACACCCAACCUGGAUUGGCACCACUCUUGGAAAACAUAUAAAGCAAGGAAAGAGGCUCCGCUACCCAAUCUUAACCCUCUGAACACACGUUGUCAGUCACUGCCCGUGACCUAUUCCUGCUUCUUUCUUUGGAACUCUCGUCACCCUCUAGUUCCAUACAUUGAUUAUACUAAAAUCUAUUAUUUCUAUACAAAGUAACCAAACCAAAACCCCUCUCUUACAAUGCACAGUCCUGUCAAUAACCAAACCAAAUCCAAAGGGGCAAUAAUAAAGCUGGUCGGGUGUGGAUUUCAAAUAAUCAAAUCAAAUCAAAUUCCUCCAUUCCUCCAAUGAGUUGGCCUCCCGCAAAUUAUGCUCCAAUUACUAGAAAUAAGGUUUAAAUAACCAAGGAUUAAGUAAGAUUAAUUGUUGAAGGACAAGUUCAAGUGUUCAACACCAUGUACUACACAGAACAAAACAUCUGAAUGAGUAAUUAAUGAUAUAUGAAUUAUCAUUUAUUUUAAAUAUUUUAUUUUUUUAUCUUUCUGUCACAUCAUAAGUUAUAUUAUAUCUAUAUUUUUCCUUUUUUUUCCUUCCUAAAUGUUGAAUAAAUUUUUGGAUGUUGAUCAAACAUUUUUUCAUCUGAAUUGAGUUAGAUCUGAAACAGGAUCCAAGUACUUAUAAGGUGAUUUUUAAAGAGAGAAAAGGAGGAAAUAUCAUUAUUUGAAUCCGUUUUAUUAACAAAAUCUAACAACUAAUGUAUAAAAAAAUUAAGCAAAUAAUUACUCUAUUUUUUUAAGUAUUCAUAUCAUUCUUAUCUCUUCCCAACAAAUAUUAUCAUGCAAAAAAUGUUUUUUGGAUCUGCAUCAAUACCCAAAGAUGUGGAUAAAAGAUGUUAAUACAAUCAUUCAGUAAAAAUUUCUUUAUUAUCUUAAAAAUAUUUUUCUUUUGAAUAAUAAAUAUAAUUUUCACAAUUAGUUGAGCGUACUUUGUUUUUCAGAGAUGGUAGAGUGGCCCAGAGAAACUGCACCUCUCAAUGGAUAUGAAUUCAACUUUGAACAAGAUCUAAACAGAACUUCUGAUUUAAUUGACGUGAAAGUGAUGCUUUCUCAAUAGCUGAAUUUUUAAUUGGAAACCUUUUCAUUGGGCACCAAACUAUAAGAGGCCAACUACAUAGGAUAAUCUCAGAUCUCAGUAAGGCAUGCUUCCCAUGUAUAUAUUGGCAGAUAACUGAAAAUGUUGCAUAUCCUUUAAUUUCUAGCCAUUUCAAAUUCUUUGGCAAAACAUAUCUGAGGUUUUGUUUUUUCCAUUAUUAUUGUGUUGUAGGAAAUUGUAGUAUACUUCUCUCUACAAAGGUUAUCCAUUGAUGCAGGGAAUAUUGAGCUGCAGCAAACUAUACACUUCAAAUAAUUUGAUGUUUUACUUUUUUGCCAAAUAUUGUGCUGCAGCAAACUACACACUUACCGUAAUGCAUUAAGGUUUUUUACUUUUUAUAAAUUAAAGCCAACUUGCACACCUAAGAAAAGUAAGAAGUAUUACAAAACAGAUAUAAUACAGCUUUCAUUUAACAUGACUUCAAUCUAAACCAUUGAAUUUUUAAUCAAUAUAUCUACGGUGAAUUUUGAUGAUAGGUACUUCCCCCAGAUUCCACGAUCAAAAAGCAUCCAACCAAGAACAUUGUCAUCCAAAGAGGACAAGACACCUACUACCACUACACUUUUUAAAGUAGCCAGACUUCAAUCUAAACCAUUGAAUUUUUAAUUAAUAUAUUUAACGGUUAAUUUUGAUGGUAGGUACUAGCGCAGAGCGAGUUAAAAGUGAAGAGAGUUGACUAGAAUCAAAUCUCAUCACACCAGUUAACCUUGUCGAAAACCAACCCAGUUUAUUGCAACCAAUUCCUUUCCUUUGUUCUUGACAUCAUGGCUGAGGCAGUUGGUGGUGCAUUCCUCUCUGCUUUCCUUGAUGUUGUGUUCGACAAGCUGUCUACAGAUGAGGUUGUUGACUUCAUCCGUGGAAAGAAGCUUGACCUCAAUUUGCUUGAGAACUUGAAGACCACUCUGAGAGUGGUUGGAGCUGUGCUUGAUGAUGCUGAGAAGAAACAAAUCAAACUCUCCAGUGUCAACCAGUGGCUCAUCGAACUCAAAGAUGCUCUCUAUGAUGCCGAUGACUUGCUGGAUGAAAUUUCUACCAAAUCUGCAACUCGAAAGAAGGUAUGUAAAGUGCUUUCUCGCUUUACUGAUAGGAAAAUGGCCAGUAAGUUGGAAAAAAUAGUUGACAAAUUAGAUAAAGUUUUAGGAGGCAUGAAGGGUCUUCCUUUGCAAGUGAUGGCAGGGGAGAUGAACGAGUCAUGGAAUACUCAGCCAACGACAUCACUGGAAGAUGGAUAUGGCAUGUAUGGUAGGGAUACAGACAAGGAGGCCAUAAUGAAGUUGUUGUUGUCAGAUGAUAGCAGUGAUGGUGUACUAGUGUCUGUGAUCGCUAUUGUAGGCAUGGGUGGGGUUGGAAAAACCACUUUAGCCCGUUCUGUGUUCAACAAUGAGAAUUUGAAGCAGAUGUUUGAUUUAAAUGCAUGGGUUUGUGUUUCUGAUCAAUUUGAUAUUGUUAAGGUCACAAAAACUAUGAUAGAGCAAAUCACGCAAGAGUCAUGUAAAUUGAAUGAUCUAAACUUGCUUCAACUUGAAUUGAUGGACAAACUGAAAGUUAAAAAAUUCUUAAUUGUCUUGGAUGAUGUAUGGAUCGAGGAUUAUGAGAAUUGGAGUAAUCUUACAAAACCAUUUCUACAUGGAAAAAGGGGAAGUAAAAUUCUCUUGACGACCCGCAAUGCAAAUGUAGUGAAUGUAGUCCCUUACCAUAUUGUUCAACUUUAUCCUCUAAGUAAAUUGUCAAAUGAAGAUUGUUGGCUAGUGUUUGCAAACCAUGCAUUUCCCCCCUUAGAAUCAAGUGGGGAGGAUAGAAGAGCUUUAGAAGAAAUUGGAAGGGAGAUUGUUAAAAAGUGUAAUGGAUUGCCUUUAGCAGCACGGUCACUUGGAGGUAUGUUGAGAAGAAAGCAUGCUAUUAGGGAUUGGAAUAAUAUACUUGAAAGUGACAUUUGGGAACUUCCUGAAAGUCAGUGUAAAAUUAUUCCAGCCCUGAGAAUUAGUUAUCAAUAUCUCCCUCCACAUUUAAAACGGUGCUUUGUUUAUUGUUCAUUAUACCCUAAAGAUUAUGAAUUUCGAAAGAAGGACUUGAUCUUGUUGUGGAUGGCUGAAGAUCUUUUGAAGCUUCCAAACAGAGGAAAGGCAUUAGAAGUUGGUUAUGAGUAUUUUGAUGAUUUAGUUUCGAGAUCAUUUUUUCAACGUUCAAGUAAUCAAACUUGGGGCAAUUAUUUUGUAAUGCAUGACCUCGUGCAUGAUCUAGCAUUAUACCUUGGUGGAGAAUUCUAUUUCAGAUCAGAAGAACUUGGAAAAGAAACCAAGAUUGGUAUAAAGACUCGUCAUUUGUCAGUUACAGAGUUCAGUGAUCCAAUCUCAGAUAUUGAAGUUUUUGACAGACUACAAUAUUUGAGAACUUUAUUGGCAAUUGAUUUUAAAGAUUCUUCAUUCAACAAGGAAAAGGCACCAGGUAUUGUAGCGUCGAAGCUUAAGUGCUUGAGAGUUUUAUCAUUUUGUGGCUUUGCAAGUCUGGAUGUUUUGCCUGAUUCAAUAGGUAAAUUGAUCCAUUUGCGUUAUUUAAAUCUCUCUCAUACAAGUAUAAAAACACUGCCGGAGUCAUUGUGUAAUUUGUACAAUCUACAAACUCUGGCGUUGUCUCGUUGCGAAAUGUUGACCAGGUUGCCUACUGACAUGCAAAAUCUUGUAAACUUGUGUCAUCUUCAUAUUGAUCAUACUCCGAUAGGAGAGAUGCCUAGAGGAAUGGGAAUGUUAAGUCAUUUGCAGCAUUUGGAUUUCUUUAUUGUGGGCAAGCAUAAAGAGAACGGAAUCAAAGAACUGGGGACACUUUCAAAUCUUCAUGGUUCGCUUUCUAUUAGGAAUUUGGAGAAUGUAACCAGAAGCAAUGAAGCAUUGGAGGCUAGGAUGAUGGAUAAGAAGAACAUUAAUCAUUUAUCGUUGAAAUGGUCUAAUGGCACCGACUUCCAAACUGAAUUAGAUGUACUGUGCAAAUUAAAACCUCACCCAGGCCUGGAAUCUCUAUCGAUAUCGGGUUAUAAUGGAACCAUAUUUCCAGAGUGGGUGGGAAAUUUUUCCUACCACAACAUGACAAGUCUAAGUUUACGUGGUUGUAAUAACUGUUGUGUGCUUCCUUCGCUUGGGCAACUACCGUCUCUUAAGGAGCUCUAUAUUUCAAGAUUGAAGUCAGUGAAGACUGUUGAUGCAGGGUUUUACAAAAAUGAAGAUUGUCCUUCUUCUGUGACACCCUUUUCUUCCCUUGAAACUCUAUCCAUUGCUGACAUGUGUUGCUGGGAGUUGUGGAGUAUCCCUGAGUCAGACGCCUUUCCUCUACUCAAGUCUCUUACAAUAUGGAAUUGCCCCAAACUAAGGGGAGAUUUGCCAAAUCACCUUCCUGCUCUGGAAACACUUACAAUUACAAAUUGCGAGCUUCUUGUCUCUUCCCAAGGGCUCCCACCCUUAACAGAUUAGAAAUACAUAAAAGUAAUAAUGUAUCGUUGAGUCCAAUGGUGGAGUCCAUGAUCGAGGCCAUCACCAGCAUCGAGCCAACUUGCCUCCAACAUUUAACAUUGAGGGAUUGUUCGUCAGCCAUAUCUUUUCCGGGUGGUCGUCUACCUGCAUCUCUGAAGGAUCUGCAUAUCAGCAAUCUUAAAAAUCUGGAAUUCCCGACCCAACACAAACACGAUUUACUGGAAUCACUGUCACUACACAAUAGUUGUGAUUCUCUCACGUCUCUUCCAUUGGCUACCUUUCCAAAUCUCAAAAGUCUCAAAAUUGGAAACUGUGAACAUAUGGAAUCUCUUUUGGUUUCAGGGGCAGAGUCAUUUAAGAGUCUGUGUUCUUUGACAAUUUUCCGAUGCCCCAACUUUGUAUCAUUCUGGAGAGAAGGAUUGCCUGCGCCUAAUUUGACUCAAAUUGAAGUUUUAAAUUGCGACAAGUUGAAGUCCUUACCUGACAAAAUGAGUAGUCUUUUCCCAAAGUUAGAAGUUCUCAAAAUAUCCAACUGCCCAGAAAUUGAGUCGUUUCCAGAAGGGGGUAUGCCACCUAACCUGAGAACAGUUUCGAUUGAGAAUUGUGAGAAACUAAUGAGCGGCCUAGCGUGGCCAUCCAUGGGCAUGCUUACUGAUCUCAGUGUUUGGGGUCGAUGUGAUGGCAUCAAGUCAUUCCCUAAGGAGGGUUUGCUGCCUCCCUCCCUUACGUCUUUGAAGCUAUAUGAGUUUUCAAAUCAGGAGAUGUUGGACUGCACGGGGCUUCUCCAUCUCACAUCCCUGCAAGAAUUAACCAUAAGGGAAUGUCCUUUGCUGGAGAAUAUGGUGGGAGAAAGGCUUCCUGUCUCUCUAAUAAAAUUAACCAUAAGCGGAUGUCCUUUGCUGGAAAAACAAUGCCGCAGGAAGCACCCUCAAAUUUGGCCUAAAAUAUCCCACAUCCGUCACAUUAAAGUUGACAGUAGAUUGAUUUAGUGACCAAGGAUGAGCACCGGGUAAUUCUCCUUCUUUGACCUACUUCAUCGUCUUCUAAGUCUAACCAAACAAAACUAUUUCAGUCAAGGAUAUCUUUCUUUUCAUGUCUUUUUAUUCUCACAGUUAAUUUAUUCAUUUCAUUCAACAAGUGUUAUUACCCUGAAGAAAUGUUAUUAAUCAAUGCCAUUGUAUUUGAACUUUCUCAAUAUAUCGGCAAUCAUGGUGGUUGUUUCAUCUUGUUACAUUCUCUGUCAGUGUUCAAAGUGUAAUUGGGUGUACUUUGUUUUUCAGAGAUGAUAGAUUGUCCUGUAGAAACUGCACCUGUCAAUGGAUAAGAAUUCAACUUUGACGUGACACCAGAAAGCUCAUAUUUAUGCGUGUAAAGCUGAUCUUCCAGGGCAAAAGGAGGAGGAAGCGAUGGCGCAGUCAGCUGAUGGCAAAGUGUUUAAGAUUGUUCCAUGUCACCAUCUGGAGCAUAGCACCAGCAACUCCCUGAGCAUACGGGCCUUAAGCCAUGACUUGACUGGUUCAGAUAGGUAAUAAUUACUGAAUUCAAGACACUAAUGCUUCUUAUUCUAUGAGGGUUCAUAUAAAAUUGACAAGGGUUUAGAUCUUGCUAGUAAUACCAAGGAUUCGUGAACCAACUUAACAAUCACACCAUGGAUGAUUUGAAAUAACAAAAUAAAUUGCAGUUCCUGUCUAACAUCUCUAGGAAAUUUUCCAGAACAUAAGUUCAACAAGGAAAACAAAGAAGAUAGAAAAAAUAAGACAAUGUUGUUUUCUUCUUAAUCUUAUAUUUUAUUGUUCCUCCCAUGCCUUGCAUCAAUUUUGUAACCUAUGUGAAACUUGGAUGAUUUAAAACACAAUAAUUACAAUGAACAAGGAAUAGAAACUAGAUCGUCUUGGGUAGGAGAUUGUGGUCUAUCUGAGAAGCAAAGUCCUGAUUUCAGUCUUUAACUAGAAUUCAUCAAGCUUAUCAUUCUCUAAGCUGAUUUAUUAGGCAAUUGUCUUUGUUCUUUCUCAUUCUUGUUUCUUAUUUCCCUCUAAAUUGGGCUCAGAGCUUUGUUCUUACUCAUUGUUUCUUAUUUUCCUUUAGAUCAUAUUUUCAAAAGUUGUUCAUGUCAUUGCAUGCAAUGUUUGCUUUCACCCAAAGGGGUGGCUUUGAUCAAAUUGACAAGGAUGAUUCCAACCUACCUCUGGAUACAGCUCCUAUUAAGCAUGUCACGCAGGUAUGCUGUCACAUAAUUGAAAAGUGUUAUCAUGGCUCUAACUACUUGUUAUAAAUUCUCUGCCACUACAAGUUUUCAUCCGAGUUGGGUUAUUAUUUUUUUUAUCUUUCAUCUUUUGUGAAUUUUCGUUUUUAGUUUCAUGAUUUUUUUGUCUUUUUUUAGUCCCAAAAAAAAUAUUGUUUUAUUUUUUGUUCUGAAUAUAUUUAGAAUUUUUUAGGGACUAAAAAUGAAACAAAAAAAUUGAGGGACUAUAAACAAAAAAAAAUUUAUAGACUAAGACCCGUCAAAAGAUUAAGAAGGACUAAAACAGUCACAAAAGACGAGAGACUAGCAAGUUAAAUAAAUCCUAUUGAUAUUAUUUUAUUAAUAUUGUGCUACAGGAAAUUUUAAAUUUACAAUUUAUAUUAUAAUACAAAAAUAUUUAUCUUUAUUUAUAUUCUUUUGAAAAUAUUGAAAUUCAAUUUAAAAAUAAGUAUGAAAAUGAAAAAUUAAACAGAGAUAAAAGUUUUAUAAAAAAUUUUAAAAUAUCUUGUUGAAAAAAAACUAAAAAUACUUUAGUUGAAGAAUAACUCUUAAAAAAAUAUUUUCCGAUACAAGAAACUCAUUUCAUUUCAGAUAAAACUAUAAAAAUUUACUAUAAAAAAAGGCAACUAAUGCGUUUAUCUGUUACUCACAACACAACUAAAAUAUAACUGUGGACUUAAGUUUUUCGAUUCGACAUUAACUACAAAUAAAAAACAGUAUUAGUUAGAUAACGAUCAUUUUAAUCUAAAAUAGAACUGAGCCAGUUUAAAUACUUAACUUACAAUCCAAAUUAAGUCUGUGGUGACAAUUGCAAACAAAUUAAAAACUGAAAUACUACUACACAUAAAAGACAAAGCCCCAACAUUUUUUUAAAUUUCAAUUCAAGGUUUAAUCAUCCAAUUUUUCUCAUAAACGCAGACUUCUUCCUUGCAUGCAUGCAAUUUUUCCUUCCCUUGUUUUCUCUAGGACAAAAGUUAUCACAGUGCAUACGUGACAAUCUACCCUCAAAACUCUCAGCAUCAAUCAAACAGUCACAAGAAAAGGCCAUAAAACACUACGAUGCUAAUGCCACAAAAUGGUGGCAGUCGUGGUGAUGUCCAUGUUGAGGAUAACCAAAACAUGUCCUUUCCGUCGUGGGAGGGAACCUUUAUGAGGUGCUUCACUGCAAUAGAUGAAAAGCUUGCUAAGAACAUUGACACUGAUGGAUUUCAUGGCGGUAGCACUUCUGUAUCUGUACUCAAACAGGUAUAACUAGACCUUCACAAUUACAUUACCUUCUUGCCAAUGUUGCUUUUGCAAUUAUGUUUUUUCUUUUUUUGUGAAUACUUUUGCAACAAUGUUAUAACCACAUCUUUUUCCCCCUUUAAAUUUCAGGGUGAGCAAGUAAUAAUUGGCAAUGUGGGGGAUUCUCGUGCAGUUCUUUGCAGAAGAGCACCUGACAAUCACCUUAUUCCUGUUCAACUUACUGUUGACUUGACUCCAGAUAUUCCAAGUAUUGUUGACUUGACUCCAGAUAUUCCAAGUAUGUUUUGGUAUUACCUAUUCUUAGUUUCCAAAUCUUACAACCCUUUUUAGUUUAUUUGGUUAAAUUGUCUAAUUAAGCCAUAUUCAUUAAGAACUUAUUAGAUGAGAGCUUCUUUCAGGACUUGUUUGGGUAAGUUUAUUGAUAGGGAGAAGGGCGUACAUGAGGAAGAAGCAAGAAGGAUGUACACGAGGAAGAAGCAGGGGUGUCCAGCUGGCAUGAGGAUAGUGGGUGUAUCAAAUAUGUUGUCUGCCACCACUCCUAGCACUAAUAAUUUGUUAGGAUUUCUGUUGUAAGAACAUUCUAGUAUAUCAGCCAAGUUCUAUAUAUAUGGUGAUGGGUGUAAUCCAGAUUAUGGAAAAAAAGAAUAUUGCCUUUACCUUGAAUUGUUCUUUUUCUCCCUUAUUCUCUGGAGGUACUGACCCUCGAAGUCAGCUAGUUUUUCCCUGCACGUAACAAUUUGGUGCUUUCAUUGAGAGCCCAUGGCCGCCUUCCAUGGCUGCCAUAGCCAUUUGCACACACCUUCGUUGCUGCACACCCCUCCUCCCUUUGCACAUCCAACUCAAUUCCUUGGGAUUGAUUUUGAAAGUACCCGCCAACGGUUGCUGAGUUUGUUCGAUUCUGAGAGGACCCCUCCUUCAUUUCAACAACCACCAUACGAAGCUUCCAUGGCUGUCGUCCAUGGCUGCCACUUGCCGUACGGAGCUUCAAUAUUCUACUGAAUGGCCAUAAGCUACUUCUACAAGUCCAAAUAAGUUUUAUGAAAUUCUUCCUAAUGUCCCUUGGUCUGUGUCUAACUAGCUUUUCUUCCUCAAUGUCACUCAGGAGAAGCUAUGAGAAUUUUUGCUGUAGAAGAAGAUCCUACUGUAAACAGAGUAUGGAUGCCUAAAAGGGACUGCCCUGGACUGGCUAUGGCAAGGGCCUUUAGAAAUUUUUGCCUAAAAGACUAUGGUGUCGCCUCAGUCCCUGAUGUGUCUUAAAGAAAACUUACCAAGAAGGAUAAGUGUGUGGUUUUGGCUUCUGAUGGGGUAAGCAUUUUCAUAUCAGGAUGUCAACUUCGAAUUAUGGAUUUUGAUUCUUGAGUAAUCAGUUAUAGGAACAGAACAAUCAUUAUUAGUGUUUAAGUUAUGCUCAAUUCUCGUAUUCCUCUCAAUCCAAAUAUGUUUGCAAAUAUUUGAUCAAAUAGUGUAAGAAAAGAAAUAACCACGAAGGUUAAAUGAAUUAACAGCAUGUAGUUUCCACACAUACGUAUUUAGUUCAUAUUGGACAAAAAUUAGAUGCAGUUAGUUCUAUAAGUGCUUUCAUUGUUGUCUUUCAAUUAGAAUUAGAGUUUUAUCAAGUAAUCCGUGUAAUAAAGGUUUCAAUUAAAAGUCAACAUAGACUACUAAGGUGAAAUCCAAUUUUGAUUGAAGAACAAUGUUAAAAGCACCUGUAAAACUGUAUCUAAGUUUUGUCCCAGCAUAUUUGGCACAAAUAAUAGCUUAUUUUUAUCAAUUUCCUAAGAGAGCUUUUAAUCAAUAAACAACAACCAAUUAACUUCUCAAAAUUUAUCCCAACCAAAAAGGUCUAAAUUUUCUUUCUUACAGAUUUGGGAUGUGCUAACAAACAGUGAAGUAAUAAACAUAGUUGCGUCAGCACCAAAAAGGUCCAUGGCAGCCAAAUUGUUAGUAAACCAUGCUGUUCGGGCUUGGAAAUAUAAGUAUGGUUUCAAGGUAGAUGAUUGUUCGUCCAUAUGCUUGUUCUUGAAGGAUUAGCCUGCUUUAACCCAAUCCUGAUCCAAAGUGAGUGAGAACAAUAGACAUCCCUUGAAGCACCUGCAUUUCUCAUAAUCUAGACAUGUAAAUACUGAAAUUGUAGAUAUGGCAAGAGUAUGGUAGAAUCAAAAGGAAGAAUGGGAUGCUCUUGGAGGGUUCUCCAGAGCGAACUUUGAAUCAUAGAUUGCAAUCACCUCAGUACCUCAAGGAGGGUUGAAGCUGAUCACUAACUCAGCCAGAAACUCCCCGAAUCCAAGGGCUAGUGCUACUAACAAGUUAACAAUUGUACGGCCAGAAGAUUUUGGUUUUGACACAAACCCAGAAGAAGGCAAUUAUUUUAGCCUUCUAAUUCUGGUGUGAUUACAUGCAAGACUUCUUUUCUAUCUGCAUAAGACCAACAUUGAUCAAUUUUAGCACUCUAUAUUAUGGUACCAUAAAACUUUUUUAUUUUCUGGCUUGGGUUCUAAAGAGUUCAAUGAAGAACUAAGCUGCACCUACUUUUCUAUUUCUCUUCAAUUAUUUCCUAGUGUGCUGUGUUGACACUAACAUUCAGCAUAAAACAUUACUAGACACUAGAACCAGAGGGGUUAUACUAUUGCUGAGCAUUUUGAAGCUUAAGAAUGAAUCUUCAAAAGUAAAAGGUGAUCAAUUAACAACCCAGGAAAUGAAAUUUUAUUAAUAACUUCCAGAACUUCUGGAAAAUGAUUACAACACCAAAAUAAUGUUAUUUGGCCUAAAAACAUGCCUUAUAAUUAUUAAGAGUAACGCCAAAGUUGAAAAACACGAUGUUAAAUAUAUUUUUUAUUCUUAAUAAAUAUCUAAAUUUUGUAUUUUUUUCUAAUAAAAUAUUAAAUUAAAAAAAUUAUAGUUUCAACAAUUUUUUUAUCAGUCAUAGUUUCAACAAUUUUUUUGAUUGAUCUAAGUUCCUCAAGUUUUCUCUAUCUUUGUUUUUAGUUAUUUUCAUCAAAUAUCAUUAUUUAUGAAUGAUGCGUAAACACGUGCACGACUAAUACGAUGUAAUAAUCACAUAAUAAAAAUAUUAUUGGUUCAAGAUAUUUUUUGAGAGUUUCAAGGUGCUACAAAUUUUUUUGAUGGUGUAAAACUACUAGAAAAAGUUUUGAAGUUUUGAAAAAAAAAAACAAAAAGGAGAUGUAUUAAGUAAAAUCAAUAAAUCAUAAAGAAGAAUUUACACAAAUAAACAUCCCACAAAACCAUUCUCUAAAACAUAAUCCAUAACUUAAUGAGAAUAGAAUUCUCAUCCUUAAAAAAAACGAAUUCUCAUAUGUUUAGAACUAUAUAUUGACGAUGUCAUACUAGUAGAUAUGAGAGAUUAAAAGCAUAGUUUAUAAAAAAAAAUUAUAAUCAAUAUCUUGCCAAAUUUGUUAAUAAUGUAAUAAGUUAAUGAAUUAUCAUAUUUCUGUUGCAUUAUCAAUCAACAUUAGUUGAUAGUAGAGACUAAAAUAAAAGAUAUUAAAUUUUUAUAGGGACUAAAAAAAUAAAAAAUUAAAGGACAAAACCAAAAAUAAGAUAUAUUAUAGCGACCAAAUAAUUAUUUAAGUCUUCUAUUUUUUUUUCUUUUUCCUAAUAUACCCUUUUCUUCCUUAAUUUCUCUCUUUUCCCCUUUGUCUCCUUCUUCCUAAGUAUCUUCUUGUCACCUUUCUUUGCAAACUCGUCUCUGAUGCUGAUAUGGCUUUGCCUGAAUCCCUGUGCUCCUCAUUACAUGCAUCCCCAUGUUCACGCAUAUCCUUGUGCUUUUAGCGUUACGUGUUGGCAAGACUAUGAUGGCGACAGCUGUGACGUUGCCGAGUGGAUCUUACUCCCUUUGUUGCAGCUAUCAUGGGGGACCAUGGCGAUUGCCACUAGAUCCCUUUGGAUUCUCUCUGAUUUUUGUGAUGUCGUUAGGAUUUUCCUAUAACAUUCGUGAAAUAUUCUGAAAUAUCGAAAGAUGAUUCCGAUGAUGGUUACAGGUGGGCGACAAUCACAAGGGGAAGAUGAAGAAGAGCAGAAGUAACACGGAUGGUGAUUUUUUAUAGUGUACGACGGCUAAUGCAGAGAGAAAAUAGAGGAGUAAAUUGAAAAAGAGUAGGAUAAAAAACAAAAUAAAAAAGAAAGAAGAAAAGUAUUGUCCAUAAAAUUAAAAAUGUAUAUAUCUAAUGACUUGAAAUAUGUUUCAAAUAAUGAGAUAUGAAGUGAGGUCCCACUCUAGCCAUCUUCAAGAAAUUACUGUCUCUCUGUUUAUAUAUAUAAUACUUAAUUACUUAAUUCAUGAAGAUUAAGAAAAUUGAUUAAUUUAAUUGAUAACAAUAAAUUUAUCUUAAAUUUAUAAUUUUUUUCAAAAUUAUUAUCAUUUAUACUCCCCUCUCUCCUAAUUGUUUGUCAAUAUAUCUUUUCUCUUUCUUAACUAGGGACAUUUCUAAUAUAGAAUUAAUUAAUACAUAAAACAUUAUAGAUUACGUCUUAUAAAAAAUAAAUAUCAUUUUAAAUUUGAGUCUUAUAAAUAAAAAUGGAAUGAGUAGUCUUUAACUCUUUAUACUUGCCUUUUCCUACUAUUUGGUUAAGAAGAAUGAAAGAGAAUUGAAAGUAUACAGAGUUGAAAGACAAUGAAAGAAGAUGGUCUAGGAUGUUUGUUACAUGUGAAAAUUUGAUGAAAGUUUCAAAAAUAAUGUGAGACCCACAUGUUUUUACUUUCAUCUCAAAAAGAGAAUAAAAGGGAGGAAAAGAAACAAUAAAAAGGAUGCUAUACACAAAAUUCUUGGUUGCUAAAAUUGUUCCUCAAGCCCCUCAUUAACCUUCAGUGGAACUUUUAAAUUAGGGUAUCAUGUCACAUAUAAUAAGUUAUUCAAAUGUCAUAGUUGAUUAUGCUUAGUUUGCAAUCAAGUUUGCUUUCUAGUGGCUUUUACUCAAGAUAUAAUCAAUUAUAUAUGCAAUUUAUAUAAUUGAUUAUGUGACUUUAAUUAGUAAAAGAAUAUACAUUUUUAUCUCAUAUAUAUAGUUACAUAAACUUAUUUUUUUGGGGUAAAAUGAAUGUUUACUUAAUCUCUUUUUCAGUUAUUUUUCUUUUAUUAUUGACCUAAACACUUUAGUUUAAGCAUUUCAUUUCUUUUACACUUUUUUUUUUCCAUCUCAAUCAAAUAACUUUAUUUUUUUUAUUCUUUUUUCAUUUUUUUUUUGAAGAGAGUCUCUUCUCAUUUCAACUUUCUUUCAUUUAUUUUCAUUCCUUUUCACACUACAUACAGUUAGACUUAGGCUGCCAUUAUGAUGGAGAAAAGUAAUAUACAAAAAAAAUUAUAUAUUUUAUUCGAUGGGAUCCACAUCUCUUAUAUUUUACUUUAAUUAUUUUUUUCAUUUUUUUCCUCUGCCUUUCCUUCUUCUAAAUCAAAUGCCCCCUACACAAUUCCAUCCUAUGAGACAAAUGUGUGUUUAAAAGAAAAAGUUUAUAGAUAUGCGUCAAUUGUAACUUUUGAUGCGGAAGUUAAUUAGCUAGCUUUAACAGCAUGCACGUUUAGGAGAAAAUGCAAGAAAAUCCAAAGGGGCAAUAAUAAAGCUGGUUGGGAGUGGAUUCCAAAUCAUCAAAUCAAAUCAAAUUCUCCCAUUGCUCCAAUGAGUUGUCCUCCCACAAAUUAAGCUCCAAUCUUCUAGAAAUAAGGUUUUAAAUAGCCAAGGAUUAAGAUUAAUUGUUGAAGGACAAAUUCAAUGCCAUGUACUCCACACAACAAGACAUCUGAAUGAGUAAUUAAUGAUAUAUGAAUUAUCAUUUAUUUUAAUCAUUUUAUUUUUUAUCUAUCUGUCACAUCAUAAAUUAUAUUACACCUAUAUUUUUCCUUUUUUUCCCUAUAUGUUGAAUAAAUUUUUGGAUGUUAUCAAACAUGUUCCCAUCUAAAUUGAGCUAGAUCUGAUUCAUCCGAAAGAGGAUCCAAGUAUCCAUAAGAUGAUUUUAAAGAGAGAAAAGAAGGAAAUACCAUGAUUUGAAUCCCUUUUAUUAACAAAAUCUAACAACUAAUGUCUAAAAAAAUUAAGCAAAUUAAUAAUUACACUAAUUACACUAUUUUUUUGGUAUUCAUAUAAUUCUUAUCUCUUCCCAACAAAUAUUACCAUGCAAAAAAUGUUUUUUUGGAUCUGCAUCAAUACCCAAAGAUGUGGAUAAAAGAUGUUAAUACAUUCAGUGAAAAUUUCUUUAUUAUCUUAAAAAUAUUUUCCUUUUGAAUAAUAAAUAUAAUUUUCACAAUUAGUUGAGUGUACUUUGUUUUUCAGAGAUGGUAGAGUGGUCCAGAGAAACUGCACCUGUCAAUGGAUAUGAAUUCAACUUUGAACAAGAUCUAAACAGAACUUCUGAUUUAAUUGACGUGAAAGUGAUCCUUUCUCAAUAGCUGAAUUUUUAAUUGGAAAGCUUUUCAUUGGACAUCAGACUAUAAGAGGACAACUACAAAGGAUAAUCUCAGAUCUUUCAGUAAGGCAUGCUUCCCAUGCAUAUAUUGACAGAUAACUGAAAAUGUUUCAUAUCAUUUAAUUUCUAACCAUUUCAAAUUCUUUGGCAAAACAUAUCUGAGGUUUUCUUUUUUUCCAUUAUUAUUGUGUUGUAGGAAAUUGUAGUAUACUGCUCUCUACCAAGGUUAUCCAUUGAUGCAAGGAAGAAUGUGCUGCAGCAAACUAUACACUUCAAAUAAUUUGAUGUUUUACUUUUUUGCCAAAUAUUGUGCUGCAGCAAACUAUACACAUACUGUGUUGUUGCCAUCUCUAAUCUAGUCUUGAUACUAGUGUUCAAAAUGAGAAUGAACUGGAAGCAACAGAAUCACCAAUUCACAAAGCCUUUGAUGCUUAAGAUCAGAGUGGAGGUGGUGCUUUCAUCAGAGUUUCAUCAAGUCCGCUGAGAAACAAUCAUCAUACUUCUACAAGAGAAGCUUGGGCACCUUUGUAGUUCUGGCAAGUCAUUUUGGAUCUAGACAAGAGCCAGGGAGGUUAGAAGUUUUCAUCAGGACUAAGGGGUUUGCUCUAUGAAAUAUAAAUGGAAGACAAGUACAUUCUUGGGGUGAAACACCAUGACAGAGACUGAGUUUAUGACAGAUGGGACAUUUUGCUCUGCUUUUAGUUUAACUGAAUCUUCUGGUGAAGACACUGAACUAUGAAGUAUCUUCUGGGAAAGAUUUAUGUGGUGUCUUGCAAAAAUAACAGUGAUGUAAUAAACAUAGUUGCCCUUAUCAGAUUUAAGUUGCAAACAUUCAAAUCUUUACACUGCCACGGCCACAUAGAUUGCAAACAUUCAAGGCCCAAUGGUGGAGUCCAUGGUCGAGGCCAUCUCCAGCAUCGAGACAACUUGCCUCCAACAUUUAAAAUUGAGGGAUUGUUCGUCAGCUAUAUCUUUUCCAGGUGGUCGUCUACCUGCAUCUCUGAAGACUCUGGUUAUCAGCAAUCUUAAAAAUCUGGAAUUCCCGACCCAACACAAGCACCAGUUACUAGAAUCACUGUUUCUAUAUAAUAGUUGCGAUUCUCUCAAGUCUCUUCCAUUGGUUACCUUUCCAAAUCUCAAAAGUCUCCCAAUCGAAAACUGUGAACACAUGGAAUCUCUUUUGGUUUCAGGGGCAGAGUCAUUUAAGAGUCUGUGUUCUUUGAGAAUUUCCCAAUGCCCCAACUUUGUAUCAUUCUGGAGAGAAGGAUUGCCUGCGCCCAAUUUGACUGAUUUUGAAGUUUUGCAUUGCGACAAGUUGAAGUCAUUACCUGACAAAAUGAGUACUCUUCUCCCAAAGUUAGAAUAUCUUGACAUAUCCAACUGCCCAGAAAUUGAGUCGUUUCCAGAAGGGGGGUAUGCCACCUAACCUGAGAACAGUUUGGAUUGUCAAUUGUGAGAAACUACUGAGCGGCCUAGCAUGGCCAUCCAUGGGCAUGCUUACCCAUCUCUAUGUGGGGGGUCGAUGUGAUGGCAUCAAGUCCUUCCCUGCAAGAAUUAACCAUAGAGAGAUGUUCUUUGCUGGAGAAUAUGGUGGGAGAAAGGCUUCCUGUCUCUCUAAUAAAAUUAACCAUACAGAGUUGUCCUUUGCUGGAAAAACAAUGCCGCAGGAAGCACCCUCAAAUUUGGCCUAAAAUAUCCCACAUCCGUCACAUUAAGGUUGACCAUAGAUGGAUUUAGUGACCAAGGAUGAGCACCGGGUAAUUCUCCUUCUUUGACCUACUUCAUCGUCUUCUAAGCCUAAAAGGGACUGCCCUGGAUUGGCUAUGGCAAGAGCCUUUGGAAAUUUUUGCCUAAAAGACUAUGGUGUCGCCUCAGUCCCUGAUGUGUCUUACAGAAAUCUUACCAACGAGGAUAAGUUUGUGGUUUUGGCUUCUGAUGGGGUAAGCAUUUUCAUAUCAGGAUGUCAACUUCGAAUUUUGGAUUGUGAUUCUUGAAUAAUCAUUUACAAGAACAGAACAAUCAUUGUUAGUGUUUAAAUGAUGCUCAAUUUUCUCAUUCCUCUCAAUCCAAAUAUGUUUACAAAUAUUUGAUCAAAUAGUAUAAGAAAAGAAAUAACCAAGAAGAUUAAAUGAAUUAACAGCAUGUAGUUUUCACACAUACAUGUUUAAUUCAUAUUGGACAAAAAUUAGAUGCUGUUAGUUCUAUAAGUGCUUUCUUUGUUGUCUUUCAAUAGGAAUUGGAGUUUCACCUAGCAAUCCGUGUAAUAAAGGUUUCCAUUAAAAGUCAACAUAGACUACUAAACUGAAAAUCCAAUUUAGAUUGAAGAACAAUGUUAAAAGCACCUAUGAAACUAUAUCUAAGUUUUGUCCCAGCAUAUUUGGCACAAAUAAUAGCUUAUUUUCAUCAGUUUCCUAAGAGAGCUUUUAAGCAAUAAACAACAACCAAUUAACUUCUUAAAAAUUAUCCCAACCAAAAAGGUCUGAAUGUUCUUUCUUAGAGAUUUUAAGCAUGACUAAGAAUUAUAAACAGCAACACCAAAGUUGAAAAAUAAGUUUAAAUAUAUUUUUUUUUCUCAAUAAAUAUUUAAAUUUAAUAUUUAUUUUCUGAUAAAAAAAUUGCAGUAAGUUCCUAUAAAAAAAAAGUCAUUUAUUAUUAGUCUUUUGAAAUGGAGUCAUAAUAAAUGAAAUACAUUAUCCUAAAACAAACAUAUAAUUUUUUAAUUUAUCAUGAACUAAAACAUAACAUAAAAAACAAAAAUAUACAUUAAUACUUAAAUACAAAACUAGAAUAUUUAUUAGAAAUCAGGCCAAUAUAUUAGCCUAUAAAAAAAUAAAGGCAGACCUCCUAUAUGAGGGCAAUUUUAUCCAAAAAAAUGCAGAGUGUCCUUGCCCUUUCUAUAUGAGGGCAAUUUUAUCCAAAAAGAUAGAUACGUGGAAAGUCACACAAUGGGGUGGACCACACACAUGUCUGAAUAUGACCAUGACACAAGAUCACGAGAAACUUGAUUCAGAUUUGAUUGCUACUUGUGUAGUAGGUACGUAUUUUAUGUUCAUAUUAUGUUCAUUUUUUGUUAAUUCUCAUUUAAAUUUUCAUAUAUGUUCUACAAAUAAAUUAAAUUACAUACAAAUAUAAAUUUUAAUAUAUAACAAUUUUUAUAUUUGCGGCUAAAAAUUAAAACAAUAUAUAUAUACAAAAUUAAUAACUUAAAAUACUUACCACUAAAAUAAUUUAGCAUACAAAAUUAAUUAUUUCAAAUACGUUAAACUAUUCUAAUUUUAACAUAUUAUAUGAAACUCAUAAUAACUACAACCUACGUAAUAUAAAAUUUUUUAUUGUUAUCUAAUUUAAAUUUUUUAAUUUAUAGUAUGUAUAACUAUUCCUAAUUUUUCAUAUAAAAUAUUUAAACUAAAUGUAAUGUAUCAUAUAAAAAAUUUAAACUAAACCUAAUCCAAAAUUAAUAAGUUAUGGAACCUAAAACUAUUUUUAAUCUAUUAUAUAAAUUUUUUUAAUUAAACCUAAUCUACCAUAUAAAAAUUAAAACCAUUUCUAAUUUAUCAUAUUAAAUAUUUAAACUAAAUGUAAUGUACCAUAUAAAAAAAUUUAAACCAAUUCUAAUCUAAAAUUAAUAACUUAUGGAACCUAAAACUAUUUUUAAUGUAUUAUAUAAAUUUUUUUAACUAAACCUAAUCUAUCAUAAAAAAAUUAAAACUAUUCCAAAUUUAUCAUAUCAAAUAUUUAAACUAAAUAUAAUGUAGCAUAUGCAAAAUUUAAAUUAAACCUAAUCUAAAAUUAAUAAGUUAUGAAACGCCAAACUAUUCUUAAUCUACUAUAUAAAUUUUUUUAUAUAAACCUAACUUACCAUAUAAAAAUUUAAAGUAUUUCUAAUCUAUCAUAUAAAAUUAAUAACUUACAUUUCCUAAAACUAAAACUAUUUCUAAUCUACCACAUAAAAAAUUUAAAAUAAAUUCUAAUCUAUCAUAUAAAAUUAAUAACUUAUCUUUCCUAAAACUAAAACUAUUUCUAAUCUACCAUAUAAAAAAUUUAAAAUAAUUCUAAUCUACUAUAUAAAAGUAAGAACUCAAACUAAUAAUAUUAACAAAUGAAACUAAUAAUAUUAACAAAUAAACUAAAUCUAAUGUUUCUUAUAACACAAAUAAUAGCAUACUAAAACUAAACCUAAUAUUAUUUAAAACUAAAUCUAAAAAUAAAUGUACUCUAUAAAACUAUAAUUAUCAAAUUAAAUUUAAUUUAUUAUUUCUAACUAAAACUAACUUAACAUAAAAAAAACUAAUAACAUAUAUUACUAAUUAUCAACAGAAUAUAAAUAAAAUAAAAAACUAAUUAAACAAACUUACUUGAAAAAAUUACAAAUGAAGCAAACUUUUCACAGCUCUUCUUCUUUCUCCCACACAGCAAGCUUCUUCUUCUUUUCUGCAUUCGCGUGAAUGCUCUACGGGGGAGGGGGGGAUUUAAGCACCAUUUUGCAAUGAAGUCGCUGCUGGGGCUGGCGAUUUGGCCCAACCAAAUCGCCAUUCAGCCUGGCGACACCCUGCUGCACCUCCUUUGCACGUCGCAGGCUGCAAGCCUCCUGGGAAAUGAUCUCUGCAGUCCCCUAGGCUGAAUCGCCAAGAGCAGUGGCGCUUUCACUGUGGCGCCAACAGUGCUGGCGUUUCCCACGUCUCAAAUCGCCAGCAGUAAUGGCGCUUUCCUCCCCCCUCGACACGUGUCCGCCAUGCACGAAGUCGUCAUCAGAAAUGGCGCAUCCCAUGCUGGGGGCGUGCAAAAACAGCACCCCCUAGGAAAUACUUUCCAAACAGCCCUAAACUGGGAAUAACUUUGUAAAACAGCGCCUCGUUGGGAAAUUUGCCUCCACCCAGAUACCACGUUCAACAAGUAUCCAACCACACCGCUACACCUUGUCAAAAACCAACCCAGUUUUGUAACCAAUUUCUUUCCUUUAUCUUUCUCAUUCAGAUCAUGGCUGAGGCAGUUGGUGGUGCGUUUCUCUCUGCUUUCCUUGAUGUUGUGUUCGACAAGCUGGUCACCGAUGAUGUUGUUGACUUCAUCCGUGGAAAGAAGCUUGACCUCAAUUUGCUUGAGAACUUGAAGACCACUCUGAGACUGGUUGGAGCUGUGCUUGACGAUGCUGAGAAGAAACAAAUCAAACUCUCCAGUGUCAACCAGUGGCUCAUUGAGCUCAAAGAUGCUCUCUAUGAGGCCGAUGACUUGCUGGAUGAAAUUUCUACCAAAUCUGCAACUCAAAAGAAGGUUAGUAAAGUGUUUUCUCGCUUUACCGAUAGGAAAAUGGCCAGUAAGUUGGAAAAAGUAGUUGGCAAAUUAGAUAAAGUUCUAGAAGGCAUGAAGGGUCUUCCUUUGCAAGUGAUGGCAGGAGAGAGCAACGAGUCGUGGAAUGCUCAGCCAACAACAUCUCUGGAAGAUGGAUAUGGUAUGUAUGGUAGGGAUACAGACAAGGAGGCCAUAAUGAGGUUGUUGUUAGAGGAUAGCAGUGAUGGUGUGCAAGUGUCUGUGACCGCUAUUGUAGGCAUGGUUGGGGUUGGAAAAACCACUUUAGCCCGAUCUGUGUUCAACGAUGGCAAUUUGAAGCAGAUGUUUGAUUUAAAUGCUUGGGUCUGUGUUUCUGAUCAAUUUGAUAUUUUGAAGGUAACAAACUAUGAUAGAGCAAGUUACGCAUGAAUCUUGUAAAUUGAAUGAUCUUAAUUUACUUCAACUUGAAUUGAUGGACAAGCUGAAAAGUAAAAAAUUCUUAAUUAUCUUGGAUGACGUUUGGAUCCAAGAUUACGAUAGCUGGAGUAAUCUGACAAAAUCAUUUCUACACGGGAUAAGGGGAAGUAAAAUUCUCUUGACAACCCGCAAUGAAAAUGUAGUGAAUGUAGCCCCUUACCAUAUUGUUCAAGUUUAUCCUCUAAGUAAAUUGUCAAAUGAAGAUUGUUGGCUAGUGUUUGCAAACCACGCAUUUCCUCUCUCAGAAUCAAGUGGGGAGGAUAGAAGAGCUUUAGAAAAAAUUGGAAGGGAGAUUGUUAAAAAGUGUAAUGGAUUGCCUUUAGCAGCACGGUCACUCGGAGGUAUGUUGAGAAGAAAGCAUACCAUUAGGGAUUGGAAUAAUAUACUUGAAAGUGAUAUUUGGGAACUUCCUGAAAGUCUGUAAUAUUAUUCCCGCCUUGAGAAUUAGUUAUCAUUAUCUCCCUCCACAUCUAAAACGGUGCUUUGUUUAUUGUUCAUUGUACCCGAAAGAUUAUGAAUUUAAAAAAAAUGACUUGAUCUUGCUGUGGAUGGCUGAAGAUCUUUUGAAGCUUCCAAACAGAGGAAAGGCGUUAGAAGUUGGUUAUGAUUAUUUUGAUGAUUUAGUUUCAAGAUCAUUUUUUCAACAUUCAACAAGUAAUUUAACUUGGGACAAUUGUUUUGUAAUGCAUGACCUCGUGCAUGAUCUUGCAUUAUCCCUUGGUGGAGAAUUCUACUUCAGAUCAGAAGACCUUGGAAAAGAAACCAAGAUUGGUAUGAAGACUCGUUAUUUGUCAGUUACAAAGUUCAGUGAUCCAAUCUCACAAAUUGAAGUUUUUGACAAACUACAAUUUUUGAGAACUUUCUUGGCAGUUGAUUUUAAAGAUUCUCCGUUCAACAAGGAAAAGGCACCAGGUAUUGUAGUCUUGAAGCUCAAGUGCUUGAGAGUUUUAUCAUUUUGUGGCUUUGCAAGUCUGGAUGUUUUGCCUGAUUCAAUUGCUAAAUUGAUCCACUUGCGUUAUUUAAAUCUCUCUUUUACAAGUAUUAAAACACUGCCAGAGUCAUUGUGUAAUUUGUACAAUCUACAAACUCUGGUGUUGUCUCAUUGCGAAGUGCUGACCAGGUUGCCUACUCACAUGCAAAAUCUUAUAAACUUGUGUCAUCUUCAUAUUAAUGGUACUCAUAUAGAAGAGAUGCCUAGAGGAAUGGGAAUGUUAAGUCAUUUGCAGCAUUUGGAUUUCUUUAUUGUGGGCAAGCACAAAGAGAACGGAAUCAAAGAACUGGGGACACUUUCAAAUCUUCAUGGUUCGCUUUCUAUUAGGAAUUUGGAGAAUGUAACCAAAAGCAAUGAAGCAUUGGAGGCUAGGAUGCUGGAUAAGAAGAAUAUAAAUGAUUUAUCGUUGAAAUGGUCUAAUGGCACUGACUUCGAAAUUGAAUUAGAUGUACUGUGCAUAUUAAAACCUCACCCAGGCCUGGAAUCUCUAUCAAUAUGGGGUUAUAAUGGAACUAUAUUUCCAGAUUGGGUGGGAAAUUUUUCCUUCCACAACUUGACAAGUCUAAGGUUACGUGAUUGUAAUAACUGUUGUGUGUUUCCUUCGCUUGGGCAACUACCAUCUCUUAAGAAGCUCUAUAUUUCAAACUUGGGUUCAGUGAAGACUGUUGAUGCAGGGUUUUACAAAAAUGAAGAUUGUCCUCCUGUGACACCCUUUUCUUCCCUUGAAAUUCUAGAAAUAUAUAACAUGUGUUGCUGGGAGUUGUGGUUCACCCCUGAUUCAGAUGCCUUUCCUCUACUUAAGUCUCUCAAAAUAGUGGAUUGCCCCAAUCUAAGGGGAGAUUUGCCAAAUCAACUUCCUGCUCUGGAAACACUUAUGAUUAGAAAUUGCGAGCUUCUUGUCUCUUCUCUCCCAAGGGCUCCCAUCCUUAAGAGAUUUGAGAUAUGUGAAAGCAAUAAUGUAUUGCUGCAUGUGUUUCCUCUUUUUUUGGUCGAGGCCAUCACCAGCAUCGAGCCAACUUGCCUCGAACAUUUAACAUUGAACAAUUGUUCGUCAGCCAUAUCUUUUCCAGGUGGUCGUCUACCUGCAUCUCUGAAGGCUCUGGAUAUCAGCAAUCUUAAAAAUCUGGAAUUCCCGACCCAACACAAGCACGAGUUACUGGAAUCACUGAUACUAUAUAAUAGUUGUGAUUCUCUCACGUCUCUUCCAUUGGUUACCUUUCCAAAUCUCAAAACUCUCCAAAUCAAAAACUGUGAAAAUAUGGAAUCUCUUUUGGUUUCAGGGUCAGAGUCAUUUAAGAGUCUGAAUUAUUUUAAGAUUACGGGAUGCCCCAAUAUUGCAUCAUUCCCGAGAGAAGGACUGCCUGCGCCCAAUUUGACUUAUUUCGCUGUUAAGUAUUGCAACAAGUUGAAGUCAUUGCCUGAUGAGAUGAAUAAUCUGCUCCCAAAGUUAGAAUAUCUCCAAGUUAAGCACUGCCCAGAAAUGGAGUCGUUUCCUGAACGGGGUAUGCCAGCUAACUUGAGAACAGUUUGGAUUAUCAAUUGUGAGAAACUACUCAGAGAUCUAGCACGGCCAUCCAUGGGUAUGCUUACUCAUCUCUAUCUUUGUGGUCCAUGUCAUGGCAUCAAGUCCUUCCCUAAGGAGGGUUUGCUGCCUCCCUCCCUUAUGUCUCUGUAUCUAGAUAACUUGUCAAAUCUGGAGAUGUUGGACUGCACGGGGCUUCUCCAUCUCACAUCCCUGCAAAAAUUAACCAUAGAUAGAUGUCCUUUGCUGGAGAAUAUGGUGGGAGAAAGGCUUCCUGUCUCUCUAAUAAAAUUAACCAUAAAGAGUUGUCCUUUGCUGGAAAAACAAUGCCCAAGGAAACACCCUCAAAUUUGGCCGAAGAUUUCCCAUAUCCGUGCUAUCAAGGUUGGCGGUAGAUGGAUUUAGUGGCCUAGGAUGAGCACCAGGUAAUUCUCCUUCUUUGACCUACUUUAUCGUCUUCUAAGUUUAACCAAGCAAAACUAUUUCAGUCAAGGAUAUCUUUCAUUUCGAGUCAUUUUACCCUCACAUUUAAUUUAGUCAUUGCAUUCAACAAGUGUUAGGUUAGUUGUUCAGUUUGAUACUUGGUAGGAAUUGCGGGUGUAAACAAAAGCAAAUUCUUUUGUAUAGAUUUUAUUUACUUCAGAAAUGACUAGAUUUCUUGUGUAUGAACUGAUUCUGAAAUGGAAAUUGAUGUACUAUAUAUGUUACUGAAUCUACAGGGAAUAACAGCAUUAUUAAAGGCAAGAUAUAUGAGAAUGUUUCUUAUGAUCCUCUAGCUUCAAAGAAGAAAUAACAAUUGGGUGUACUUUGUUUUUCAGAGAUGGAAGAUUGGCCAGCAGAAACUGCACUUGUCAAUGGAUAAUUUAACAUUGAACUAUAUCUAAAUGGUGUGUAAAGCUGAUCUUCCAGGGCAAAAGGAGAAAGAAACAAGGGUCUGGUCUGAUGAUGGCAGAGUGUUUCAGAUAAGGAGAGUGGGGAACAAUGAGAAACUCAACUGAAUAAGAUUGUUCCAUGGCACCAUCUAGAGCAUAGCACCAGCAACUCCCUGAGCAUACAGGCCUUAAGCCAUUACUUGGCUGGUUCGGAUAGGUAAUAAUUACAGAAUUCACUAAGACAUUAAUGCUUCUUUGAUAGAGAAAGAGGGGUGCAGCAAGUAACAGAGGUGCAACAAGCAAACCCAAGACAGGGUACAAACAGCAACACAGAGACCCAAACAGAAGGCAGAGCAAAGAGGGUGAUUAACAAACCUUCAUACCUGAAGGAUUUUGUGUGAUGAGGGAUGAGCUGGCACUAGAAAAAUCUGCAAGGAUUUGUUGUCGAGAAUCAGGAGGCAACCAUAACAAAUUUCCAUAUUUUGUAAUCUUUGCACCUAGCACAGAAUCACAAUUCUGUUAGGAAUUUCAUUAUAAAUAUGGACUCAUUGUAAUAAGCAGAUUAUGAAUGAAAUACUUAGCUUUGAAUUUCUUCCCUUCUUUUCCCUCUGGAGGAACUGGUCCUCGAAAACAGCCAAUUCAUACCUAACAUUUGGUGCUCUCGUUCCCCAUGGCCGAUCAGCCUCACAGCACCUCAUCCUCUCCGCUCGAAACCGCCAUCCUCAAGCUUACCACCCGACAGGUCUCCCUUGGGGAAACUGUUCAUUCCAUGGCCCAGAAAUUCGAUGAGCUCUUACUCAGGCUACCCUCCACUUCCCCUUCCCCAUCACCUCAACCUCCACCUUCCAUCUCCCCUGUACCUGCGCAUCACCACAGAAUGAAAUUAGACAUUCCACGCUUUGAUGGUACUGACCCCUUCGGGUGGGUAUUCCAGAUUAACCAAUAUUUUCAGUAUCACGCAACCCCCGAACACGACAGACUUACCAUUGUGUCCUUCUACAUGGACGCCCGGGCUCUUGCCUGGUUCAUGGAUGGCCACGAACGGCCAACUCACUUCCUGGCCUGCCUUUAUUCAAGCUCUUCAGACCCGUUUCGCACCCUCUCAUUAUGAUGACCCCACUGGUAGCCUUUUCAAGCUCACUCAACGUGGUUCGGUGACUCAAUAUUUGUCGGAAUUUGAGGAACUCGCUAACCGUAUCGUCGGUCUUCCUCCCCAAUUCCUCCUCAGCUGCUUCAUAUCGGGCCUGACUCCCGAAAUCCGCCGCGAGGUGCAAUCGUUGCAGCCUCUGACUUUGGUGCAGGCCGCCGGACUUGCGCGUCUUCAGGAGGAGAAGCUCCUCGACACGCGUUCAUCCUUCCGCAACCGCGCUCCUCUGGUCCUUUCGGUUCCUCCACCGCGACAGAGCUCCACACCUGCUCUUCUCCAAGCCCCUUCGUCUCCUGCUACAUCCUCACGACCUCCUCCGGUGAAGCGUUUGUCUCCAGCUGAAAUCGCUUCUCGCCGAGAACGCGGGUUGUGCUUUACUUGCGAGGAGAAGUACCAUAGAGGUCACAUAUGUGCCUCUAGGGUUUUCCUCCUGGUGGCUGCUGAGGACGACAACUCUGACCCUCUUAUAGAGGACUUGGACCCAGGACCCAACCCACCCGACAGUCCGAACCCAACCGCGGCCCAAAUUAGUUUUAAUUCACUCUCGGGUAAUCUAGCACCCAAAACUCUCCGUUUAUUGGGCCUGGCUUCCGGCCACCAUGUUGUCGUUCUCGUCGAUGGGGGAAGCACCCAUAACUUCAUUCAAGAAGAAUUGUUGUAGAGCCUUGGCCUUCCAACCCAGACCACCACCCCUUUACGGGUCUUAGUGGGUAAUGGACAGCAUUUAGCCUGCUCAAGCUGGUGUCCGCGUGUCAUCCUCACCAUUCAGGACCUCACUUGUGACGUGGACCUUUAUGUAUUACCCAUUGCAGGAGCCAACAUUGUCCUUGGGGUACAAUGGUUAAAGACAUUGGGACCCGUGCUUACUGAUUAUUCCCUCAUGACUAUGAAGUUUUUCUAUGACCAACGUUUAAUUGAGCUUCGCGGUGACACUGACCUCAUCAUUAACAUGCUCACUCCACCUCAGCUUCGCAGAUUUUUGAAACUCAAUGAACAUGCAUCCUGCUUCCACAUCGCGGUCCUCACAGAGGCAGUUCCUGACGAGCCUUCACAAUCACUGGACCCUCAAAUUCAAGCAUUAAUUGAUCAUUUUGGGCCUUUGUUCCAGACACCUACAUCCCUUCCGCCGGCGCGAAUAACCGACCACCACAUCCAUUUACUUCCCCAGGCUACUCCUGUUAAUGUAAGGCCCUACAGGUACCCCCAUUACCAGAAGCAGGAGAUUGAACUCCAAGUCGAAUCCAUGUUGCAGAAGGGCUUGAUUCGACCCAGCACCAGUCCUUUCUCCUCUCCGGUGCUUCUUGUCCGCAAACAUGAUCAUUCAUGGAGGUUUUGCGUGGAUUACAGAGCCCUUAAUGCCAUUACCAUCCGUGAUAGAUUUCCUAUUCCUACAAUUGAUGAAUUGUUGGAUGAAUUGGGCCACGCAUGUUGGUUUUCGAAACUCGAUUUGCUCCAGGGGUAUCACCAAAUACGAAUGCAUUCCUUAGACAUUGCAAAGACGGCGUUCCGCACGCACCACGGGCAUUAUGAAUUCAAGGUUAUGCCCUUCGGGCUAUGCAAUGCUCCCAGCACUUUUCAGGCGACGAUGAACAUGCUUUUCCGGCCAUUCCUCCGCCGGUUUCUCAUUGUCUUCUUUGAUGAUAUAUUAAUAUAUAGCAUCACUUUUACUGAUCAUGUUCUACAUUUACAACAAGAUUUUCAGGUUCUAUUGGACAAUCAAUUCGUCCUCAAACUUUCCAAAUGCACUUUCGCUCAGCCAGAGGUAGAAUAUCUUGGCCAUGUGGUGUCUCAGCGAGGUGUUGAACCAGUCUCUUCUAAAGUGGAUGCAGUCCGACAAUGGCCCUUGCCUCAGUCCGCCAAAGCUCUCCGUAGCUUUCUGGGUCUCGCCGGAUUUUAUGGAAGAUUCAUUAAAGGUUACGCCACCAUUGCGGCCCCUUUAGUUGCGGCCACCAUUAUAGAGCCCUUUCAGUGGACCCCUUCAGCCCAGGUGGCCUUUGACCAACUGAAACAAGCCUUGUCUGAAGCCCCUGUGCUUACUCUUCCUAACUUUCAGCUGCCAUUCACGGUCGAGACGGAUGCAUCCGACAUUGGGAUGGGCGCAGUUCUCUCCCAAAAGGGACAUCCCAUAGCCUAUUUCAGUAAACAAUUUCCACCCAAGCUCCGCCAUUCCUCCACCUAUGUUCGUGAAUUAUUUGCAGUGACUUCAACGGUUAAACGGUGGCGUUAGUAUCUUCUGGGUCAUAAAUUCACGAUCAUAACGGACCACCGCAGUUUGAAGGAGCUACUCACACAAGUGGUGCAGACCCCUGAGCAACACACAUACCUGGCUCGUCUAAUGGGGUAUGACUUCCAAAUUCAAUUUCGUUCCGGCGCCACUAAUCAGGCAGCAGAUGCGUUAUCACGAAUCUCCGAGGAAGAGUCCUCUUUGUCCCUCAUUUUGUCGGUCCCUUGUUUGACAUUUAUGGAGGAAUUGAGGAUGCAAUUGGCUCAGAAUGAGUCUUAUUAGUCCAAACUUCACGACAUUCAAGCCACUCCCACCAAAUUUCCUGAUUUCAGUAUUUCAAACAACCUCAUCUUACGCAAAGGCCGCAUCUGGCUUCCUCCUCACCUGCCAUUGCUCCCUACACUCCUCACUGAGUAUCAUGCUACUCCUACAGGCGGCCACCUUGGCGUCACAAAGACCAUAGCCCGACUAACGGACAAUUUUUAUUGGGACGGGUUGCGAGAUGAUGUAGCACGAUUUAUCUCUACUUGCUUGGACUGUCAACACUCCAAGUAUGAAACCAAGCGCGCCGCCGACCUCCUGUGCCCUCUGCCGGUUCCUCACCGUCCAUGGGAGGAUCUCUCUCUAGACUUUAUUACUGGUCUGCCUGUCUUUCAGGGGAACACCACCAUUCUUGUGGUUGUCGACAGGUUCUCUAAAGGCAUCCAUUUGGGAAUGCUUCCCACCUCACACACAACCUAUACCGUCGCAGCUCUAUUUAUGAACAUUGUCGGUAAAAUUCAUGGUCUCCCUCGUAGCAUGAUUUUUGAUCGUGAUCCCCUGUUCUUGAGCAGGUUUUGGCAGGACCUCUUCCGUCUCAGUGGCACCCAUUUAAGGAUGAGCUCCUCUUACCAUCCUCAGAGCGAUGGUCAGACAGAAGCCCUAAAUCGCGUCAUUGAACAAUACCUCAGAGCUUUCAUUCACCGGCGACCAAGCUCAUGGGGCAAGUUAUUAUUGUGGGUGGAAUGGUCCCACAAUACUUCUUGGAAUGCUGCUACUGGUUCCACUCCAUACGAGAUCACAUUUGGAAAAAAGCCCUUUAACUACCCUGACUAUCUUGCCGGAGAUUCAAAGCUCGACGUUGUUGAUGAUAUGCUCACGAACAGAGAGGACACUUUUCGCUUGAUUCGUAAAAAGCUUCUCAAAGCUCAAGAAUUGAUGAAGAAAUAUGCAGAUGCUAAACGCAGAGAUGUGGAAUACCAGGUUGGUGAAUGGGUUAUGGUCAAACUCCGACCCCAUCGUCAAACUUCGGCCAAGCCUUCUUCUAGCUCCGGGAAACUUCAGAAGCGCUUUUACGGUCCAUUUGAGAUCACUGAACGAAUUGGUCCUGUGGCCUAUCGUUUGAAACUCCCUGAGGGUGCUCGUAUUCACCCCGUGUUUCAUUGCUCUAUAUUAAAACCUUUCAAAGGGUCACCAGCAUCUGCAGAUUCUGUUUUUCUUCCUGACCAAUUUGCUCACGAUCAACUCACUGUAUCUCCUUUGGCCAUUUUGGAUUACCGCUACAAUUCAGAUAACCCAGAGUCCCCGUGGGAGGUACUGGUGCAAUGGGAAGGCUUAGAUCUUGAUGAGACAUCAUGGGAAUCCUGGACCCAGUUAAGUCGUGACUAUCACCUUGAGGGCAAGGUGAAUUUCCAAGGCCCGUGGGAUGAUAGAGAAAGAGGGGUACAGCAAGUAACAGAGGUGCAACAAGCAAACCCAAGACAGGGUACAAACAGCAACACAGAGACCCAAACAGAAGGCAGAGCAAAGAGGGUGAUUAACAAACCUUCAUACCUGAAGGAUUUCGUGUGAUGAGGGAUGAGCUGGCACUAGAAGAAUCUGCAAGAAUUUGUUGUCGAGAAUCAGGAGGCAACCAUAACAAAUUUCCAUAUUUUGUAAUCUUUGCACCUAGCACAGAAUCACAAUUCUGUUAGGAAUUUCAUUAUAAAUAUGGACUCAUUGUAAUAAGCAGAUUAUGAAUGAAAUACUUAGCUUUGAAUUUCUUCCCUUCUCUUCCCUCUGGAGGAACUGGUCCUCGAAACCAGCCAAUUCAUACCUAACAUUCUUCCUCUAUGAGGGUUCAUAUAAAAUUAAUAAGGGUUUAGAUCUUUCAAGUAAUAACAAAUAUUCGAGAACCUACUUAACAAUCCUACCUUGGAUUAUUUGAAAUAACAAAAUAAGUUGCAGUUCCUGUCUAAUAUUUCUAGGACAUUUCCAAAACAUAACUUCAACAGUGAAUAAAAAGAAGAUAGAAAAAAAUAAGACAAUGUUGUUUUCUUCUUAAUCUUAUAUUUUAUUGUUUCUCCCAUGCCUUACAUCAAUUUUGUAACCUAUGUGAAACUUGGAUGAUUUAAAACACAAUAAUAACAAUGAAUAAGGAAUAGAAACUAGAGGGUCUUAGGUAGGAGAUUGUGGUCUAUCUGAGAAGCAAAGUCCUGAUUUCAUUCUUUACCUAUAAUUCAUCAAGGUUAUAAUUCUCUAAGCUGAUUUAUUAGGCAAUUGUCUUUGUUCUUUCUCAUUCUUGUUUCUUAUUUCCCUCUAAAUUGGGCUCAGAGCUUUGUUCUUACUUAUUGUUUCUUAUUUUCCUUUCGAUCAUAUUUUCAUUAGUUGUUCAUGUCAAUGAAUGCAAUGUUUGCUUUGACCCAGAGGGGUGGCUUUGUUCAACCUGACAAGGAUGAUCCCAACCUACCUCUAGAUACAGCUCCUAUUAAGCAUGUCACGCAGGUAUGCUGACACAUAAUUGAAAAAUGUUAUCCUGCCUCUAACUACUUGUUAUAAAUUCUAUGCCACUACAAAUUUUCAUCCGAGUUGGGUUAUCAUCUUUUUGGUCUUUCAUCUUUUGUGAAUUUUUGCUUUUAGUUUCAUAAUUUUUUUAUCCUUUUUUAGUCUAAUUUUUUUAAAAUUUUUUGUUCUGAAUAUUAUUUUACUAAUAUUGUGCUACAGGAAACUAUAAAUUUAUAAUUUAUAUUAUAAUACAAAAAUAUUUAUUUUUAUUUAUAUUCUUUUGAAAAUAUUGAAAUUCAAUUUAAAAAUAAGUAUGAAAAUGAAAAAUUAAAAAGAGAUAAAAGUUUAAUAAAAAAUUUAAAAUACAUCGUUGAAAAAACACUAAAAUAAUACUUUAGUUGGAGAAUAACUCUUAAAAAUAUUUUCCGCUACAGGAAACUCAUAUCAGAUAAAACUAUAAAAUUUACUAUAAAAGAAAGCAACUAAUGUGUUUAUCCGUUACUCAUGCAAUUUUUCCUUCCCUUGUUUUCUCUAGGACACAAGUUAUCACAGCGCACACGUGACAAUCUACCCUCAAGUGAUGUCAAUGUCAAUAUGAUGCUAAUGCUACAAAUGGUGGCUGUCAUAGUGAUGUCAAUGUUGAGGAUAGCCUAACAGGUAUAACUAGACCUUCACAAUUACGUUACCUUCUUGUCAAUCUUGCUUUUGCAACAACGUCUUUUUAUAUUUGUGAAUACCUUGUUAGUAUAGAGUAAUAAAAGAAGAGAAAGAAAUAAAGGGAAGAAAGAAAAAGACACACAGUUUAACGUGGUUCAGCACACAAUGUAUGUGCCUACGUCCACGGCUACACUAGGAGAACUUUUUAUUACUUGCACAUAAAAGCUUACAAGGUGUCUCUAUAUAUAAUACUAGUGAGACACAAGUUUUUACAAACCAAGCGAUGUGGGACUAAGCCCACACAAGUUUUACAGACCAAGCGAUGUGGGACAAAGGAACUAAGACCACAAACUCUAACAAUUCUCCCACUUGGGGUCUAAGUUCCAAACUCUAGCAGCUCCUUGUAAGCAACGAGUUCAUCGACUCUUUACCUAGUGUAGCGCCUUCAUCUUCAAUUAUCCUUGAAGGCCAACUGAGGCAAUGCAAAGCCUCAGUUUGUCAGUUGUAACAGCUUUAGUCAACAUAUCUGCUGGAUUCUCUGAUCCUAAGAUCUUUAAUAAAGAUAAGUCUCCAUCAUUUAUCAACUCCCUGAUAAAAUGGUAUCUUAAUUGAAUAUGCUUGCAUCUAGAAUGGAAGACUGGAUUCUUAGCAAGACUUAUAGCACUUUGACUAUCACUAAACAUUGGAGCAUCAUCUUGUUCUUUCCCCAAUUCAUUGAGAAAAUUCUUUAGCCAAAUCAUCUCCUUAGUUGCUUCUGAGAUAGCUAUGUACUCGGCUUCCGUGGUUGAGAGAGCAACUCUAUCUUGAAGUUUAGACUUCCAACUCACAGCAGUACCUCCCAAGGUAAAAAUGUAGCCUGUGGUGCUCUUCUUGGUAUCAAAAUCUCCUCCCAAGUCUGCAUCUGAAAAUCCCUGUAAAGUGAGAUUGCAUUUUCUGAAGCACAAACACAUCUCUGAAGUACCCUUCAAAUAUCUGAGUAUCCACUUUACUCCUUCCCAAUGCUCCUUUGCUGGAUUUGAUAGGAACCUACUGACAACUCCCACUGCAUGUGCUAUGUCAGGUCUGGUACACACCAUAGCAUACAUCAAACUCCCAACUGCUGAUGCAUAUGGUACUCUUGACAUGUAACAUUUUUCUCCAUCUGUCUGCAAAGAUUGCUUCUUUGAAAACUUCAAAUGAGAUCCCAAAGGGGUAUUCCUGGUCUUAGAAUCUCCAAGGUAAAACCUGUCAAGCAACUUGUGUAUAUAUUUCUCCUGAGACAGCUUCAAAAUUCCUUCUGAUCUGUUUCUAAGAAUUCUCAUACCAAGGAUUUGUUUAGCUGGACCAAGAUCCUUCAUUUCAAAGUUUUCUGCCAACUGCUGCUUCAACCUGUUAAUUUCUUCCAUACUAGAUCCUGCAAUCAACAUGUCAUCAACAUACACAACAAGGAUAACAUAACUAUUAGUAUAUUUUUUAACAUAGCAACAAUGGUCCAUGUCACAUCUUUUGAAUCCUGAGUUGCUCAUAAACUCAUUAAACUUCUUGUACCACUGCCUCGGUGCUUGUUUCAAGCCAUACAAACUUUUGUGAAGCUUGCAUACAAGAUUCUCCUUGCCUGACACUUCAAAACCUUCUGGUUGGGUCAUAUAGAUGUCUUCCUCUAAAUCCCCAUGCAAGAAUGCAGUUUAAACAUCUAACUGCUCCAAGUGAAGAUUCUCUGCAGCUACUAUGCUCAAAAUAACUCUGAUGGUAGUCAUCUUUACAACUGGAGAGAAGAUCUCUGUGAAAUCAAUUCCUUGUUUCUGCUGAAACCCUUUCACCACAAGUCUCGCCUUGUAUCUUCUUCUACCGUCAGAUUCUUCCUUUAGCCUAUAGACCCACCUAUUCUGUAAUGCCUUCUUUCCUUCUGGAAAUUUAGUUAAAGACCACGUCUUAUUCUUCUGAAGGGAUGUCAUCUCAUCUUUCAUCGCUAUCUCCCACUCAAUAGUGUCAUUCCCCUGUGUAGCCUCAUUGAAACAUUCUGGCUCACCAGCAUCAGUUAACAACAAAUAAUGCAAUGAAGGGAAAUACCUAUCUGGUGGUACUGAAAUUCUGCUAGAUUUUCUUGGAGGAGUUGAUGGUUUUGGUUCUGACUCAACCUCUACGCCUGUACUCUGGUUUCUGUUGGCUACAUCACUUUCUGAGAUUUCUUCAAGUGUUGCUUUCUCAGAAAUUUCUGACAGUUUACCUGCACAUGUAGAUUAUGCAGAAAAUUUGUCCUUAUAAAAUAAGUUCUCAUUAAAAGUAACAUUUCUGCUUCUGAUAACUUUCUUGGUUUGGUCAUCCCAAAACCUGUAGCCAUACAUGUCAGAUCCAUAACCAAUAAAAUAACACUUCCUUGCCUUCGGAUCCAAUUUAUCUCUACUAUUAGAGUCUGUCAGUAUAUAUGAAACACAACCAAAAAUUCUCAAAUGUGAAAGUUUUACCUCCUUUCCAGACCAUACUUCUUCAGGCAACUGAUAAUUCAAAGGAACUGAUGGUCCUCUAUUAAUGAGAUAUGCUGCUGUGUUUAUUGCUUCUGCCCAGAAUGCUUUAGGCAAGCCAGAUUGGAUCCGCAUACACCUUGCUCUCUCAUUCAAGGUUCUAUUCAUCCUUUUGCAACACCGUUUUGCUCAGGUGUUCCUGGUAUUGUCUUGAUCAUUCUGAUCCCAUGUUCUGAACAGAAGUCUUUAAACUCCUGACUAUCAUACUCCCCACCAUUGUCAGAUUUCAGACUUUUAACCUUUAGAUCUGUCUGAUUUUCAACUUCUGUUUUCCACCUUUUAAACACAGAAAACACAUCAGAUUUAUUUUUAAGAAAAUAAACCCAUACCUUUCUGGUAGAGUCGUCGAUAAAGGUGACAUAAUAGCGUGAGUUUCCAACAGAUUUCACUGGGGCUGGCCCCCAAACAUCUGUGUGCACCAAUUCUAGCUUUUCAGCUUUCAGAGUCUUCCCUGCCCUUGAGAAACUGACCUUUUUCUGCUUUCCAAGGAUACAAUGUUCACAAGCACUAACAUCAACAUGCUUGAGGCUUGAUAGCUUACCCUUUGCCGCCAUAAGCUUCAUUCCUUUUUCACUAAUAUGUCCAAGUCUUUGAUGCCACAUGGUUGAAUUAUUGACAGCCUCAGUAACUGCUACCAUAUCCUCAUCUGCAAUCAUGUAAAGAGAUCCUCGCUUCUUUCCACGAGCCACAAUGAGAUUUCCUUUUGUUACCUUCCAAGAUCCAUCUCCAAAAGUGGUGUGAUGUCCCUCAUCAUCCAACUGCCCUAUAGAUAUUAAAUUUCUCUUUAAGGCAGGAAUAUGUCUGACAUUGUGCAAUGUCCAUAGGGAUCCACUGGAGGUCUUGAUGUUGAUAUCACCUCUUCCGACAAUGUCAAGAGAUUUUCCAUCUGCAAGGUAAACUUUUCCAAAUCUUCCAGAAACAUAGUUAGACAAUAAAUCUUUAGAGGGAGUAGUGUGGAACGACGCACCUGAGUCCAUGAUCCAUGAAUCAACAGGACUAUCCAAACUGCAAAUUAAUGCAUCAUCAAGUUCAUCAGUUGCUGCAUUUGCGGAUUCAUCAUCAUCGCGCUUCUUGUUUUUGUGCGACUUGUUCUUCUUUGGUGCCUUGCACUGAUUGCUAAAGUGACCUCUCUUGUCACAAUUCCAACAAGUAACGUCACUUUGAAAUUUUCUCUGACCUUUCCCUCUUGACUUUGAUCUGCCUCGACCAUUCUGACCCUUCUGGGUAGUCCUUCCCCUGUCUUCAGUAUUCAAUGCUGAAUUGGAAACAUGACUGGAAGAUUCUCCUGAAUCUCUCUUGCGAACAUCUUCGCUCAAGAUCAAGUCACGGAUGUCACUAAGCUUUAAUGUGUUCUCCCUUGUAGAACUACUAACUGCAGUAACAGUUGCAGCCCAACUAUCCGGUAGUGAUGACAAUAGAAUCAAUGCCUUCACCUCAUCCUCAAAUUUAAUCUGCACAGAUUCCAAUUGGGCAAGAAUAGUAUUAAACUCAUUAAUAUGAUCAGUUACAGAGAUACCUUCUCCCAUCUUGAGGUUGAACAACCGGCGCAUCAAGUAUACUUUUGUUGGCUGCUGACGGCUUCUCGUACAUAUCUGAUAAUGCCUUCAUUAAGCCUGCAGUAGUCUUCUCGUUCACGAUGUUGAACGCGAUGUUCUUGGCUAAUGUCAAUCUGAUCACGCCAAGAGCCUGUCGAUCUAGCAAGUUCCAUUCUUCUUGCUUCAUGUCUUCUGGCUUAACCCCUGAUAAGGGCUGAUACAGCUUCUUCUGAUAUAGAUAAUCCUCUAUCUGCAUCUUCCAAAAGCUGAAAUCUCUGCCAUCAAACUUCUCGAUCUUCACCUUCCCCUCUUCUAAUGCCAUUGCUCCCACUGCCUCCUCUAAACUGAGAAGACUCCCACUAAUUUCUUUAAACUAAGGAAAUCCCGUGGAGUAACCAAAAGCUCUGAUACCAGUUGUUAGUAUAGAGCAAUAAAAGAAGAGAAAGAAAUAAAGGGAAGAAAGAAAAAGACACACAGUUUAACGUGGUUCAGCACACAAUGUAUGUGCCUACGUCCACGGCUACACUAGGAGAACUUUUUAUUACUUGCACAUAAAAGCUUACAAGGUGUCUCUAUAUAUAACACUAGUGAGACACAAGUUUUUACAAACCAAGCGAUGUGGGACUAAGCCCACACAAGUUUUACAGACCAAGCGAUGUGGGACAAAGGAACUAAGACCACAAACUCUAACAUACCUUUGCAACAAUGUUAUUACCACAUCUUUUUCUCCCUUUAAAUUUCAGGGUGACCAAGUAAUAAUUGGCAAUGUGGGGGAUUCUCGUUCAACUUACUGUUCUUUGUAGAAGACCACCUGACAAUCACCUUAUUCCUGUUCAACUUACUCUUGACUUGACUCUAGAUAUUCCAAGUAUGUUUUGGUAUUACCUAUUCUUAGUAUCCAAAUCUUACAACCCUGAUGAGUGUGUUCGUUUAAAUUGUCUAAUUAAGCCAUAUUCAUUAAGAAAUUAUUAGACGAGAGCUUCUUUAAGGACUUGUUUGGGUAAGCUUAUCCAAAAGCACUUAUGCACAUACUAGUUUGUAAAAGCUCUCUCAUCUUUUAGAGAAGCUAUAUAAGAGAGUUUCUACAAUUUAGUUUACAAAGAAACUCAUUUCAUCUUUUCUUGUUAUUUUUUUUCUCCAAAAUAUGCUUCUAGAUAAGUUUAUCAAAACAGACCUUAAAAGCUUGAUUGUAAAACUUAGUAAAUAAGCUAACCAAACUUAUUUUGAUAAUUGUUGGUGAAACUUAAUUGAAAUAAGCUAAAAAUAUCCUACUGAAUGGUCAUAAGCUACUUCUACAAGCCAAAUAAGUUUUAUAAAAUUCUUCUAAAUGUCCCUUGGUCUGUGUCUAACUAGCUUUUCUUCCUCAAUGACACUCAGGAGAAGCUUUCAGAAUUUUUGCCUAAAAGACUAUGGUGUCGCCUCAGUCCCUGAUGUGUCCUAAAGAAAACUUACCAAGGAGGAUAAGUUUGCGGUUUUGGCUUCUGAUGCGGUAAGAAUUGCCAUAUCAGGAUGUCAACUUCGAAUUUUGGAUUUCGAUUCUUGAAUAAUCAGCUACAGGAACAGAACAAUCAUUGUUAGUGUUUAAAUAAUGCUCAAUUCUCUUAUUCCUCUCAAUCCAAAUAUGUUUGCAAAUAUUUGAUCAAAUAGUGUAAGAAAAGAAAUUACCAAGAAGGUGAAAUGAAUUAACAGCAUGUAGUUUCCACACAUACGUGUUUAGUUCAUAUUGGACAAAAAUUAGAUGCAGUUAGUUUUAUAAGUGCUUUCGUUGUUAUCUUUCAAUUAGAAUUGGAGUUUCACCUAGUAAUCCGUCAAAUAAAGGUUUCUAUUAAAAGUCAACAUAGACUACUAAGGUGAAAAUCCAAUUUAGAUUGAAGAACAAUGUUAAAAGCACCUAUGAAACUGUAUGUAAGUAAUCCCAGCUUAUUUGGCACAAAGAAUAGCUUAUUUUUAUCAAUUUCCUAAGAGAUCUUUUAAUCAAUAAACAACAACCAAUUAACUUCUCAAAAUUUAUCCCAACCAAAAAGGUCUAAAUUUUAUUUCUUGCAGAUUUGGGAUCUGCUAACAAACAGUGAAGUAAUAAACAUAGUUGCUUCAGCACCAAAAAGGUCCGUGGCAGCCAAAUUGUUUGUAAACCAUGCUGUUCGGGCUUGGAAAUAUAAGUAUGGUUUCAAGGUUGAUGAUUGUUCAUCCAUAUGCUUAUUCUUAAAGGAUUAGCCUCCUUUAACCCAAUCAUGAUCCAAAGUGAGUGGGAACAAUAGACAUCCCUUGAAGCACCUGCAUUUCUCAUAAUCUAGACAUGUAAAUACUGAAAUUGUAGAUAUGGUAAUAGUAUGGUAGAAUCAAAACGAAGAAUGGGAUGCUCUUGGAGGGUUCUCCAGAGCCAACUUUGAAUCAUAGAUUGCAAUCACCUCAGUACCUCAAGGAGGGUUGAAGCUGAUCACUAACUCAGCCAGAAACUCCCCGAAUCCAAGGGCUAGUGCUACUAACAAGUUAACAAUUGUACGGCCAGAAGAUUUUGCUUUUGACACAAUCCCAGAAGAUGGCUAUUAUUUUAGCCUUCUAAUUCUGGUGUGAUUACGUGCAAGACUUCUUUUCUAUCUGCCUAAGACCAACAUUGUUCAGUUUUAGCAGUCUAUAUUAUGGUACCAUAAAAGUUUUCUUUUUUCUGGCUUGGGUUCUAAAGAGUUCAAUGAAGAACUAAGCAGCACCUACUUUUCUAUUUAUCUUCAAUUAUUUCCUAGUGUGCUGUGUUGACACUAACAUUCAGCAUAAAACAUUACUAGACACUAGAACCAGAGGAUUUUGGAAUUUUACAUACCAAGAAUAUAGUAUUAAUAGAUUGCCGAUAAUUCAGAGGGGGUUAUACUAUUGCUGAGCAUUUUGAAGCUUAAGAAUGAAUCUACAAAAGUAAAAAGUGAUCCAUUAACAACCCCGAGUAAUGUUUAUUCUUUUAAAGCCGAAGGAAAUGAAAUUUUAUUAAUAACUUCCAGAACUUCUGGAAAAAGAUUACAAAACCAAAAAAAUACUAUUUGGCCGAAAAGCAUACCUUAGAAUUAUAAACGACACCACCAAAAAAAGUUAAAAUAUAUUUUCUAUUUUUAAUAAAUAUCUAAAUUUUAUAUUUCUUUCCUGCUAAAAAAAAUUGCAUUAAAUUCCUAAUAAAAAAAUCAUUUGUGAUUAGACUUUUCAAAUGGAUUAAUAACAAAUGAAAAAAACGCAUAAUUUAUCAUGAAUUAAAGCAUAAUUUCAAGAAAAAAAAUAAAAUAUUUUGUAUUUUAUCAGAGAAAAAAAAAACAAAAAAAAUUUUAAUACUUAAACAUAAAAUUAGAAUAUUUAUUAAAAAUCAUACAAUUAUAUUAGCCUAGAAAAAAAAUAAAGGCAGGCCUCCUAACAAAUUAACACAUGAUGAAAAGAUACAUCUUUGAAGGACCACCAUAUGUAUUUUGCCUCACCACGUGGAGCUUCUACAAUUCACCAGCUGAGUGUCUUCAUAUAAGCAGCGCCAUGAUACAUCAGUAACAAGCAUGAGAAAAGAUAAAGAAACCCAAACCCAUCUUCACUGCUCCCAGCAUCUUUAAUUGAGUAGGUUAAUAAUAAAGAUAAAUUUCAAUUAAAGGAAUACAUGUAGUCAAGAAAGGGGCGUGGCUAUUUUGCAGCGUUUUUUUAGUUUGGCUCAAUUCCAUUGGAACAUUGGAGGGUAAAGUUAAAAAAAUAUAGUUUUAAUAAAAUAUCGGUGUACGAAUGAGAAUUCAUAUACUACUUUGACUUCGAACAAAUGUAAUUGUUAUUAUUUGCAUAGAGAUAUUUUUUCAUGUAUUUUUGUGUGUUUGUCUCAACUACUUCUAUUUUUCAAAACAUAGUUUUCUACUUAUUUUAAGAAAUAAAUCCUAUAUACUUCUUAAAAAAUACUUAUAUAAAAAGUAUUUAUUUUAAAAUUUAAACAAACUCAUCCUAAAUUACACCCAUUAAAAAUGCUUUUAAAGAAUUUGACUGGUGUGGUCUACUUUUCCUUCCCAAUUAAUCAAAUUUUUUUCAUCGAAUACAAAAUCUUAUUUUUAGGAUUUGAACUUAGUUUUAUAUAGAUUAUAGACAAACAAUAUGUUAAUAAUAUACCAAUAAAUAUAUAUUAGAAAUUUUAAUGUUAUGUAUAAGAACAUUAUUUAUUUUAUAAUAUAAUUGACUUAUUAACUUAGUUGGUUAGAGUCUUGUGCUAGUAACCUAAAAGUCAUAUGUUCAAUUCUUGUUUGGGCCAUUAAAUGAAAGCUAAUCCGUGGACCUUAUACAAAUCAGUUGAUUCGUAUUCUUUUAUAAAAGGGUAAAAUGGGAAAAUACAAAAUUAUUGGGUGUACCAGCAAUUUCACCCUUUGGUUAGGUGUCACGUUGGGCCUUAGGCUAUCUAUGGGUCAACUGAUCAAGGGAAUUACUUCCUACAUUCCAUUUUUUGUUUCUUGCACCUCCCAAAAAUCCAAGGCAAAACUACCUCUCCAACACCACCACUACCACUGUAGCCCCACCUCCACCCAACCACCAACAUGCAAAUAGCACCACCCACCACCAUCAUUGAUGACUUUGGUGCAAGGAACCAUGUGAAAAUGGAAUCGAAGACCAACGAAGAGGUGUAAAGCACAACCCCAUUCUAGAUACAUGAAUUUGUAAGACACUAAUUUUAUAUACAUUUCUAGAAUACCUAUUCCUGCAGAAUAAUAUUUUUCAUAUUUCAGAAUUUGUAUUUUAGAAUACAUUUUUUGGAUUACUUAUUUCUAUUUUGGAAUAUGAAAAUCUUAUUCCAUAAUAGGUAUUUCGCAAUAGGAAUAAGUAAUCCAAAAAGGUAUUCCAAAAUGUUCUGAAAUAUAAAAAAUCAUAUUUUUAGAAUAGGUAUUCCGAAAGUGUAAAAGGCCAAAUUUCUAUUUUUCGCACAAAUGGCAAAUCUCACACCCCAUUCGCAUAUGCCCUACUUUAUCCCCUCAUUUCUCACUACAAAUUCCACCAACACCUUCUUCUCCUUCUCCCCUCAUUCCUUUGUUCAUUGAGAUCCAAGGUAUAGACCAAGGAGCACUGCCAGCUACAAAUCCCAUGAGGGCACGAUGGUGUUGGGUGCACAAUGGUGUUCGGGGUGUGAUUGUGUUGGGGAACAAUGGUUAUGGAGGCUUCAUGGCUAGGAAUUUUUGGGAGAGGCAAGGACACAAGAUGUCUUGGUGAGGGGUAUUCUUGUUUUUUGGGAGAUGUAGGAAGAAAAAAGUGGUGCAAGAAGUAAUUACCACUAAUCAACUAUUAACUUGUGAAAAACUUGUGUACAUGUUUCUGUUGCGUUUAGCAAUUGGUAGCAAUCACUAAUUUGAAGCUAUUUAAAAAAAUUAGAGACUAAAAUAAAAUCUCUAAAACAAACAAUCAAACUAAACCAAAACUAAAACAUAAGAAGGAUAAUAUAUGUAAUUUAGAAACAAGAAAAAUUCACUUGACUACAUAAUCAUUUUUUUAUCACACUCAUCCAAACAUGUAAAGAUGUACUUAAUUUGUCACGGAUUCAUAUCCAUUUACAACAGUACAAAACAGUACAUGAUCCAUUGUAAAGGCCCAGCAGCUAGUAAAUUUAAAUUAUCAGUGGUAGGCAAAAAAUUCAACCAAAAAUCGUUCAGAACAAUGCGUUGCCAUUAAGUCUUCUAUUAUGGCGAAAAUAUGCGAUACCUUUCAUUUACUGAAGAAUUCUGCUGUACUUGUUAUCAGAUACAAUGAAUGGCAAUUUUUCAUAUAACGAGUUCCUUUUCCCAUGUCAAUGCUUCCAAUAGUGGUUUGAAUUAAAGGUGUGGUGUACAAUUGUCAUUUGUCACAGCAAACUACUACAAUCAAUGCACACCCUAUGAUGAGAGGACAUUGUGUACUACUCCAAUUGCAAAACAACAAAUACUCCAUUCCAAUGUAUAUGGUACACAAUUUGGAGACAUUAUUUAUCUUGAUAUUUACUCUCUUCUCUUUAGCCUGUCCCUUCAGUACUGAAAUAUAUUAUUGAAAAGAAAAAGGAAUGUAAGAAAAUUAAAUUAGAGUUUCAUUAGGAGGUAGUGAUGUGAAAAUGAACCUUCCAACAUGCUUAACACAAUAAUUGGUUCACCACAUGCUUACUAAUAAGUAAAGGUCUUAUUAACCACAGCUCUUUAGAGAACUUGGUUAAUUUUUUAAAAAAAAAAAAUCAUAUAAAAGUGCAUAUAAAGAAUAUAAAAUAAAGAAGAGCAUUUUAAAACAUCUAAAAAAAAUUCUUUUCAUUCCAAAAUUUGGCUUAAUUUAAGUUUAAGAAAAUCAACUUGACGCACCUAAAUUAGUGAGUUGGCGGAUAAACCUACAUACUCACCUUAUUUUCAUAAAAAAAAAACACACAAAAGAAAAAUAAAAAAUAAGAUAAGUUUAAUGUUUCAAGUUAAACUACAAAAUGCAGAUAACUAAAUUUAAAAUAAGUCAAAUUAAAUAUAAGUGCAAGUCCAAUAUUUAUUAAUUAAAUAAAAAAUAUUAAAAUAAGGAACAUGUUAACCCAAUUUUAACCCAUCUGAACUCGCAUGUUAAAUAAAUUGAGUUCAAAUAGCCCCAAAAAAAAGUAAAUUGCUUUUUAGCCAACCAAGCACCCAAAAUCAAUGUGUAUGCAUAAAAGGUAAAAUGGAGAGGGUUGAAAGGGGACCCAAUUAAAAUAUCAAAGUUAAAUGGUUACCAAACCAGAAUGGAUGUUACUAUUGCUGGUGCACCCAACAUUUUUUUAAAAAUACUAAAACUGUUCCAGCGUUUUUUUCGUAUUUGUACUAGGUGUGCAUGAGGAUGAUAUGUAAAUCAUAUGAAUCAAGUUGAUCAGAUUAAUACGGAUUAAGUUGAUCCGUAAGUUUUUCACGGAUCAACUUAAAAGACUUACCGAUUAGAAGUAUUUCAGUCUUUUCUCUUAACCCAAUCUUAACCCUCUGAACACGUUGUCAGUCACUGCCCGUGACCUAUUCCUGCUUCUUUCUUUGGAACUCUCGUCACCCUCCAAUUCCAUACAUUGAUUAUAAUAAAAUCUAUUAUUUCUAUACAAAGUAACCAAACCAAAAUCCCUCUCUUACAAUGCACAGUCCUGUCAAUAACCAAACCAAGUCCAAAGGGGCAAUAAUAAAGCUGGUCGGGUGUGGAUUCCAAAUAAUCAAAUCAAAUCAAAUUCCUCCAUUCCUCCACUGAGUUGGCCUCCCGCAAAUUAUGGUCCAAUCACUAGAAAUAAGGGGCAAAUUUCCCCAUUUAGUCUCCUUUUGCAAACUUAUUCCCCAAAUGGGGCCGUUUUGAAAGAAUUUCCGCCAUGGUGCUGUUUUGUACGUGGUCUGCAUGGAUUUUGCAUGGAAAAUGCAAGCUUCAAUGGCGAGUUCGUGAGCACAGGACACGUGGAUGGCAACCCGCUGCUGCGGCUGGCGAUUUCAGGUUGAGGAGCGUCCUGCCGGUGAAGCUGGCGAUUUCAAGCCUGUGCUGAAAUCGCAGCUUUGACUGGCGAUUUCAGACAGGGUACGAGCCUAGGGUUGCAGGACUUUGCAGGACGUGCAGGACUGGGUUUUUUGACUUUUUGGGCUUAGGGGAGAGUUGCCAUUUGGUCUGGCGAUUUGCACACAAGGAAAUCGCCCAUUCCAAUGGCGAUUUGCACCUGCUCAGUGUUUAUAAAACCUGCUCAAUGUUUAUAAAACUUACCACCAUCUGAGUGCUUCGAGUUUCAGUGCCUUCUUCACAAGUUUUCAAAACUUACCACCAUUUAAAUUAUCAAUCUUCAAGGUUUGAAAGUCCCAACCAAGCACUGUUAGCAAGCAUUUUGUUGAAAGUCCAAGCACUGUUAGCCUCAUUUAAAUUUGCUCCAAUAUUUUGUUGAAUUAAUUUUUGUAUAAUUAGUUUUAUAUGUUAUAUGCCUAUUCGUGUGUGUUGAAAACUUUGUUUAUGANNNNNNNNNNNNNNNNNNNNNNNNNNNNNNNNNNNNNNNNNNNNNNNNNNNNNNNNNNNNNNNNNNNNNNNNNNNNNNNNNNNNNNNNNNNNNNNNNNNNNNNNNNNNNNNNNNNNNNNNNNNNNNNNNNNNNNNNNNNNNNNNNNNNNNNNNNNNNNNNNNNNNNNNNNNNNNNNNNNNNNNNNNNNNNNNNNNNNNNNNNNNNNNNNNNNNNNNNNNNNNNNNNNNNNNNNNNNNNNNNNNNNNNNNNNNNNNNNNNNNNNNNNNNNNNNNNNNNNNNNNNNNNNNNNNNNNNNNNNNNNNNNNNNNNNNNNNNNNNNNNNNNNNNNNNNNNNNNNNNNNNNNNNNNNNNNNNNNNNNNNNNNNNNNNNNNNNNNNNNNNNNNNNNNNNNNNNNNNNNNNNNNNNNNNNNNNNNNNNNNNNNNNNNNNNNNNNNNNNNNNNNNNNNNNNNNNNNNNNNNNNNNNNNNNNNNNNNNNNNNNNNNNNNNNNNNNNNNNNNNNNNNNNNNNNNNNNNNNNNNNNNNNNNNNNNNNNNNNNNNNNNNNNNNNNNNNNNNNNNNNNNNNNNNNNNNNNNNNNNNNNNNNNNNNNNNNNNNNNNNNNNNNNNNNNNNNNNNNNNNNNNNNNNNNNNNNNNNNNNNNNNNNNNNNNNNNNNNNNNNNNNNNNNNNNNNNNNNNNNNNNNNNNNNNNNNNNNNNNNNNNNNNNNNNNNNNNNNNNNNNNNNNNNNNNNNNNNNNNNNNNNNNNNNNNNNNNNNNNNNNNNNNNNNNNNNNNNNNNNNNNNNNNNNNNNNNNNNNNNNNNNNNNNNNNNNNNNNNNNNNNNNNNNNNNNNNNNNNNNNNNNNNNNNNNNNNNNNNNNNNNNNNNNNNNNNNNNNNNNNNNNNNNNNNNNNNNNNNNNNNNNNNNNNNNNNNNNNNNNNNNNNNNNNNNNNNNNNNNNNNNNNNNNNNNNNNNNNNNNNNNNNNNNNNNNNNNNNNNNNNNNNNNNNNNNNNNNNNNNNNNNNNNNNNNNNNNNNNNNNNNNNNNNNNNNNNNNNNNNNNNNNNNNNNNNNNNNNNNNNNNNNNNNNNNNNNNNNNNNNNNNNNNNNNNNNNNNNNNNNNNNNNNNNNNNNNNNNNNNNNNNNNNNNNNNNNNNNNNNNNNNNNNNNNNNNNNNNNNNNNNNNNNNNNNNNNNNNNNNNNNNNNNNNNNNNNNNNNNNNNNNNNNNNNNNNNNNNNNNNNNNNNNNNNNNNNNNNNNNNNNNNNNNNNNNNNNNNNNNNNNNNNNNNNNNNNNNNNNNNNNNNNNNNNNNNNNNNNNNNNNNNNNNNNNNNNNNNNNNNNNNNNNNNNNNNNNNNNNNNNNNNNNNNNNNNNNNNNNNNNNNNNNNNNNNNNNNNNNNNNNNNNNNNNNNNNNNNNNNNNNNNNNNNNNNNNNNNNNNNNNNNNNNNNNNNNNNNNNNNNNNNNNNNNNNNNNNNNNNNNNNNNNNNNNNNNNNNNNNNNNNNNNNNNNNNNNNNNNNNNNNNNNNNNNNNNNNNNNNNNNNNNNNNNNNNNNNNNNNNNNNNNNNNNNNNNNNNNNNNNNNNNNNNNNNNNNNNNNNNNNNNNNNNNNNNNNNNNNNNNNNNNNNNNNNNNNNNNNNNNNNNNNNNNNNNNNNNNNNNNNNNNNNNNNNNNNNNNNNNNNNNNNNNNNNNNNNNNNNNNNNNNNNNNNNNNNNNNNNNNNNNNNNNNNNNNNNNNNNNNNNNNNNNNNNNNNNNNNNNNNNNNNNNNNNNNNNNNNNNNNNNNNNNNNNNNNNNNNNNNNNNNNNNNNNNNNNNNNNNNNNNNNNNNNNNNNNNNNNNNNNNNNNNNNNNNNNNNNNNNNNNNNNNNNNNNNNNNNNNNNNNNNNNNNNNNNNNNNNNNNNNNNNNNNNNNNNNNNNNNNNNNNNNNNNNNNNNNNNNNNNNNNNNNNNNNNNNNNNNNNNNNNNNNNNNNNNNNNNNNNNNNNNNNNNNNNNNNNNNNNNNNNNNNNNNNNNNNNNNNNNNNNNNNNNNNNNNNNNNNNNNNNNNNNNNNNNNNNNNNNNNNNNNNNNNNNNNNNNNNNNNNNNNNNNNNNNNNNNNNNNNNNNNNNNNNNNNNNNNNNNNNNNNNNNNNNNNNNNNNNNNNNNNNNNNNNNNNNNNNNNNNNNNNNNNNNNNNNNNNNNNNNNNNNNNNNNNNNNNNNNNNNNNNNNNNNNNNNNNNNNNNNNNNNNNNNNNNNNNNNNNNNNNNNNNNNNNNNNNNNNNNNNNNNNNNNNNNNNNNNNNNNNNNNNNNNNNNNNNNNNNNNNNNNNNNNNNNNNNNNNNNNNNNNNNNNNNNNNNNNNNNNNNNNNNNNNNNNNNNNNNNNNNNNNNNNNNNNNNNNNNNNNNNNNNNNNNNNNNNNNNNNNNNNNNNNNNNNNNNNNNNNNNNNNNNNNNNNNNNNNNNNNNNNNNNNNNNNNNNNNNNNNNNNNNNNNNNNNNNNNNNNNNNNNNNNNNNNNNNNNNNNNNNNNNNNNNNNNNNNNNNNNNNNNNNNNNNNNNNNNNNNNNNNNNNNNNNNNNNNNNNNNNNNNNNNNNNNNNNNNNNNNNNNNNNNNNNNNNNNNNNNNNNNNNNNNNNNNNNNNNNNNNNNNNNNNNNNNNNNNNNNNNNNNNNNNNNNNNNNNNNNNNNNNNNNNNNNNNNNNNNNNNNNNNNNNNNNNNNNNNNNNNNNNNNNNNNNNNNNNNNNNNNNNNNNNNNNNNNNNNNNNNNNNNNNNNNNNNNNNNNNNNNNNNNNNNNNNNNNNNNNNNNNNNNNNNNNNNNNNNNNNNNNNNNNNNNNNNNNNNNNNNNNNNNNNNNNNNNNNNNNNNNNNNNNNNNNNNNNNNNNNNNNNNNNNNNNNNNNNNNNNNNNNNNNNNNNNNNNNNNNNNNNNNNNNNNNNNNNNNNNNNNNNNNNNNNNNNNNNNNNNNNNNNNNNNNNNNNNNNNNNNNNNNNNNNNNNNNNNNNNNNNNNNNNNNNNNNNNNNNNNNNNNNNNNNNNNNNNNNNNNNNNNNNNNNNNNNNNNNNNNNNNNNNNNNNNNNNNNNNNNNNNNNNNNNNNNNNNNNNNNNNNNNNNNNNNNNNNNNNNNNNNNNNNNNNNNNNNNNNNNNNNNNNNNNNNNNNNNNNNNNNNNNNNNNNNNNNNNNNNNNNNNNNNNNNNNNNNNNNNNNNNNNNNNNNNNNNNNNNNNNNNNNNNNNNNNNNNNNNNNNNNNNNNNNNNNNNNNNNNNNNNNNNNNNNNNNNNNNNNNNNNNNNNNNNNNNNNNNNNNNNNNNNNNNNNNNNNNNNNNNNNNNNNNNNNNNNNNNNNNNNNNNNNNNNNNNNNNNNNNNNNNNNNNNNNNNNNNNNNNNNNNNNNNNNNNNNNNNNNNNNNNNNNNNNNNNNNNNNNNNNNNNNNNNNNNNNNNNNNNNNNNNNNNNNNNNNNNNNNNNNNNNNNNNNNNNNNNNNNNNNNNNNNNNNNNNNNNNNNNNNNNNNNNNNNNNNNNNNNNNNNNNNNNNNNNNNNNNNNNNNNNNNNNNNNNNNNNNNNNNNNNNNNNNNNNNNNNNNNNNNNNNNNNNNNNNNNNNNNNNNNNNNNNNNNNNNNNNNNNNNNNNNNNNNNNNNNNNNNNNNNNNNNNNNNNNNNNNNNNNNNNNNNNNNNNNNNNNNNNNNNNNNNNNNNNNNNNNNNNNNNNNNNNNNNNNNNNNNNNNNNNNNNNNNNNNNNNNNNNNNNNNNNNNNNNNNNNNNNNNNNNNNNNNNNNNNNNNNNNNNNNNNNNNNNNNNNNNNNNNNNNNNNNNNNNNNNNNNNNNNNNNNNNNNNNNNNNNNNNNNNNNNNNNNNNNNNNNNNNNNNNNNNNNNNNNNNNNNNNNNNNNNNNNNNNNNNNNNNNNNNNNNNNNNNNNNNNNNNNNNNNNNNNNNNNNNNNNNNNNNNNNNNNNNNNNNNNNNNNNNNNNNNNNNNNNNNNNNNNNNNNNNNNNNNNNNNNNNNNNNNNNNNNNNNNNNNNNNNNNNNNNNNNNNNNNNNNNNNNNNNNNNNNNNNNNNNNNNNNNNNNNNNNNNNNNNNNNNNNNNNNNNNNNNNNNNNNNNNNNNNNNNNNNNNNNNNNNNNNNNNNNNNNNNNNNNNNNNNNNNNNNNNNNNNNNNNNNNNNNNNNNNNNNNNNNNNNNNNNNNNNNNNNNNNNNNNNNNNNNNNNNNNNNNNNNNNNNNNNNNNNNNNNNNNNNNNNNNNNNNNNNNNNNNNNNNNNNNNNNNNNNNNNNNNNNNNNNNNNNNNNNNNNNNNNNNNNNNNNNNNNNNNNNNNAAAAUGUAGUAGAUGUGGAGCUGAAGGGCAUACAGACGUCGCUGUCCAAUGCAAUCUGAGCAUGGGAGUUGUUCAAAUCAUUGAUUUAUGUAUGUUACUGAAUUGACUUGUAUUUUUUUAAGUUCUCUUAAAUGUAUUGAAUUUGUCGGGUUGAAUGAAUUUGUUAGUUUAUAACAUUACUUAUUUUGAUUUGUGUACAUUACUUAUUUUGGUUUGUAUACAUUACUUAUUUGUAGGGUUCAAUGAAUUCAUUUCCCUAAGCGCUAACUGUUACCACUAACCCAAAACCCUAAGCAGUAAACCCAAAUCACUAGAACCUAAACCACAAACCCUAACCAUAUACCCUAAAGACUAAACCCCAACCCCUAAGCAAUAAACCUUACCCCUUAGCCUUCAUGGUGAACCCUAAACCCCAAAACACGAAACCCUAACCCUACACAAUACACCUAAACCCUAAACCAUAACACGCCAACCCUAAACAUAGGUAGAGUGAAAGUGGGGAGUCCAAUGCUUUAGUUAAGGGUAUUCAAAUUGAUACUAAAGGAGAACUAUCUACAAUGAUGAACUAUGGACUUUGUCAAUGUGGAGUAUCUGGACGUUUGACUUUAGUUAGUAAAAGUACUUAAUUUUCGUUAGUGUACUUUAUUUUUCUAGACGUUUGGCUUUUCUAGAAUGAAUUUCAUAAUUGUUGACUACACGUUUGGCUUUUGUAGAACGAAUUUGAUAAUUCUCUGCUUCAUUUUUCGCUCCAGUUGUUCCAACUCGUCAAUAAAUUUGUAUGACCAUCGAGGAACUUUUUUACGCAUUUCGUUUAUUGUAAUACACUUUGUUCUAUUUCCAUUUACUAUUGUUUUUUCUUUGAAAUCAGUUCUAAUGCCAUCAAAUAAUAUUUUUAUUAUUUGUUUUAUUUGUUCUUCAUAAUUUCUUUUUAUUAUUAUAGUUUCAUGCGCCACAUAAACUAUACAUUGGUAAUAAAAAUUGAUAAUAAAAAAUAGAAAAAUAGAAAAAUUUAAAUUAAUAAAAUACAUAAUAUUAGUAAUAAAAAUUGUCACAAGUCCCUAACCCUAACCCUCACCCUAACCCUAAACCUAACCCCUAAACACAACCCUUAAACCUCAACCCUAAACCAUNNNNNNNNNNNNNNNNNNNNNNNNNNNNNNNNNNNNNNNNNNNNNNNNNNNNNNNNNNNNNNNNNNNNNNNNNNNNNNNNNNNNNNNNNNNNNNNNNNNNACGAGACUUGCUCAUUGUGGGCAGCCCUGCAUUUGGCCCCUUACCAUAGACCUAACCCCUAAACCCUAAACUUGGCCUAAACCCUAACCCUGACCAUAACCCCUACACCCUUACCUUAAACCUAACCCCUAAACUAUAAACUUAGACAAUAAACCUAAACCCUAAACCCUUACCCUAAACCUAACCCCUAAACCCUAAACUUAAACCUCAACCCUAAACCCCCACCCUAACCUUAACCCUAACCCCUAAACACUAGACUUAGAUAAUAAAACUAAACCCUGAACCUUUACCCUAACCAUAACCCUAAACCAUAAACCUAAUAGUUAGUAACAACAGUUACAUUCGUUAAUACAUCGUUAGUUAGUACCAAUAGUUAGAUGCUGGACAAAAAGUGUACACAUUAGUAAACCUUAAUAAAUAUGAUGUCAUACAUUAAGUGUCAAAGUGAAAUUACAAACAUAAAACAACAAAUAUAAGCAGAGACAUUAAAAUCAUUCAUUAUCAUGUCUGUGGUGACGUGAGGAUGUGCCACAUGGUCGAUCCCAUCUUCGUGCUUGACGAUCGGGAUUUCUUCUGUCAUGAUGCCUCGCCGGUUGUACUUCCUCAGCCUCAGCAGAGAACUCCUGACGCAAAUCAACACCUAAUAAGUCACCCAUAUCAGGUAUUGCUCCGGGUACAUUCCAUUGCGGAGCUAAUGGGGCGUCAGGUGUCACCAUUGGGGCAUCAUGUUGCUGUGUAGGAGUCAUAGUCGGCCAUGAAAAAUGAGGUUGUGUUUCCGCAACACCACCAAACGAAUGUGAGCUUGCAGACAUAUCAGUGUGAUGACCUUGGAACGGAUACUGGUACAUCUGUGAAGGAUACUCCGCAAAUGUUGGUGGCGUGUAAUACAUUCCAUGGCCACGCUCCUCAAUUUGUUUCUCAUAUUCUUGCGCUUCCACAGCCUCCCUUCGUCUGUCAAAACCGCGAGUUUCAACACUUGACUGAAGCAUGUGAAACUGCUGCGGUGGGAAUCGACGCUCUGAUGUUGGACCAUGUGCCGCCGGCUCAGUGAUUCUCUCUUGCUCUUCUGAUAAAAUCGUGAUCUUCUCCACAUAAGGCACGAGAUCAUCCACUGUCCAUGUGUUCCUCCCUUGCGGUGACACCAUAUACUGUAAUGUCUCCGCAACUUCAGCCUGCAAUUAUUAGGGUUCACACAUUAAUUCCCAUGCUUUCAAAAAUAAAUUGAAGUUAAAAAUUGAAAAAUAAAUUAAUACCAAUGUAGCUGUCUUAGCAUUGUUUGGGUCGACAAACAUCUUUGUUUUUCGCCUAUACCACACCAUGUAGUCAGAGUUAAAACUCAAUAGGCCCUCCUGUCGAGGAUACACGUCGACCCUAAACUCAGCUCGAUUAUUCCAUUGGCUGAUCAUUGGGGCCAACAGCUGGAACCAAUUUUCAGAUUGUUUGCCUUUCAGCGUUAGCCCAUGGAUAUUUAGUGGUUGCGAAGGACACUCGGGAAUAGGUUGUUGCAUCCCAAAUUGUCGCAACACUCUAUCGGGUUGGUGCCACUCAACAACAUGGAAACAAAUUAGUGGCACCACCGCGCAACACGCUACGCUACCAACCAAACAUAUCGGAGGCAACGACGACAUAACAGUUGCUGUGUAAGGCUCCCACAGAAACUGCAUACAAUAACAAAGUUGUUAAUUUUCACUUAAACAUGACAUUGUAUUAAUUGUUUAACGAAUUCAUUAUGAUCUUCUUACCUCAUGUCUUUUCAUGAUAUCCAACUUGCGACGAAAUACAAUCAGAUCAUCAUUCCCAAUAUGCUGAUUUCCACGUCGCAACCACCUAACAAAAAUAUGAAAUCAUUAGUGGACACGCGUUACAUUAUUAGACCUAUUCAAAUGAAAUCUUAUUUUUAAAACAACUAACCUGUGUCCGAGUGGCUUAUUUUGGAUCACGGGAGGAGUCCUCUUUGGAGCCAAAGUCGUGCAUUGUUCCCAUGCCCACAUUUGGAUUAAGAUGCACAUGCCUCCGAUUGAUUUUAUUUUGUAAUCGGUAGCACUGCACAUCUCUCUAUAUAAAUAGGCAAGCACGGCAGGUCCCCAUGCAUAAGUGCUGCACUGCUCAAAGUCCCGUAAAAAUUGUAGGUACCGUAGGGAAACUUUGCUGCUGCUUUUAUCAACAAAUAGGACUCCUCCUAUGAACCUAAGAAUCCAUGCACGGGUAAACCUUUGUAAUUGUUCUACAUUCCCGUCAUGGUUAUUGAUGUGUGAAAAAUGAUGAGAUAGCCAGCUUAAUUUAACGACACUGCCUUGGAGUUCACCUUCUUGUGGUCUGACUCCCAAUAAUUCUUCACACAAUUCAGCCCAAUCCAGAUUCGUUUGACCAAUUAAUGGUGCCCCAUCAACACGCAUACCUAAUAAUACUGAGACAUCUUGAAGAGUAAUCGUACACUCUCCACAUCUCAUGUGAAAUGUAUGUGUUUCGGGCCUCCAUCUUUCAAUCAAAGCAGUAAUUAAUGAAGCAUUUAUUUUUAAAUAGUCCAUCUUGAUUAUCCAAUAAAAACCGCAUUGCCGAAGAAGAGGAAUAAUUUCCUCUGGAAUUUCUUCUUCCCCUUGAUACGUGGGGACAGAUCGUCUUAUGUGUAAUUUGCGGUCUUCUUCUCCGUUCCAAACAUGUUCUGAAACAUGUUUAGCUUGCAUCCAUAGUACGUCUCCAUCAAUCGGACUAGACUUAAUUUUAAUAUUUGAUGAAGAUGAUGACGAAGAUGCCAUUGAUACUGCAAAAAAAAAUAAUACAAUAAAUUCGCAUAAUAAUUUAUACAUUAGUUAUAAAGAAAUAAAACUAACUACAUUUACAAUAAAAUAAUUAAUUAUAUAUCCCACACAAUUUAAAUUUUAAUAAAUAACAAAAUAUAUAAAGAAUUUAUUUAAAUAUAUAACAAAAUUUAAAUAUAUAAAAAAUUUAUUUAAAUCUAUUGCGUAAAUAAAAUAAAUUACAUGCAAUUUUUUUUUAAAAAAAAUAACAUCAUAUAUAUAUAUAGCCAUAAAUUUAUAUAAUAUAUAUACAAAAUUAUAUAACUAACCUAGCAUAGCAAAUUUAAAUAUAUGUAAUUAAAACUAAACCUACACUAAAUAAUUUAAAUUAACAAAUUAAACCUAAUUUAGCAUUUCAAACUAAAACUAACUAACACAAUUUUUUUUUAAAAUAACAUCAUUUAUCAUUUUUAAUUAAAACUAAGUAAACAUAAAUUUAAAUAAAUAACAUAGAUUACCAUUUAAAAAUAAAACUAACUAAAUAUAAAUAUAUAACGUAAUAUAUAUAUUUACCUACAAAAACUAACUAACUAUAACUUCACAUAAUAUAUAUAUUUAAUGUAAUCUAAUAUAUAACGUAAUAUAUAUAUUUACCAAAAAAAAUUAACAUAAUAUAUAUACAAAAUUAAAACUAAACCUAAUAUCAUAUAAAUCUCAUAUAGAAAACUAAUCUAUCAUACAAAACUAAUCUAACAUAAUCUAUCAUCAAAAAUUUAUAUAAUGUAUCACUAAAUUACCAUACAAAAUUUAAAUAUAUUUCACUAAAACUAAACUAAACUAAACAUACGACUAAUGUAACGUAAUCUAACAUAAAAAAUUUAUAUCAAACUAAACCUAAAUUAGCAUACAAAAUUUAAAUAUAUUUAACUAAACCUAAACGUAAACCUAAUAUUAUUUAAAACUAAAAAUAAAUCUAUUGUACAAAACUAUAAUUAUCAAACUAAACAUAAUUUAUCAUUUCUAACUAAAACUAACUUAAAAUAGGAAACUAAUAACAUACAUUAUUAAUUAUAAUCAAAAUACAAAUAAAAUAAAUAUAUUUAACUAAACCUAAUAUUAUUUAAAACUAAAAAUAAAUUUAUUGCACAAAACUAUUUCUAACUAAAACUAACUUAAAAUAGGAAACUAAUAACAUACAUUAUUAAUUAUAAUCAAAAUACAAAUAAAAUAAAUAUAUUUAACUAAACCUAAUAUUAUUUAAAACUAAAAAUAAAUUUAUUGCACAAAACUAUUUCUAACUAAAACUAACUUAAGAUACAAAACUAAUAACAUACAUUACUAAUUAUAAUCAGAAUAUAAAUAAAAUAAAAUUUUAAUUAAACAAACUUACUAUAACUGAAUUUAUUUUAGGAGAAAGCUUCUGAAACUUAAGAACCAGCUUCCUCUAACUUCCUUUUUCUUUUUAGCUGAAUGCUCUAAGACACCCCAAAAGCAAAAAACACCCACGUUCUUCCUUUUUCUUUUCUGCUGAUCCUCUAACACUCACGUUCUUCCUGCCUUUUUUUUUCCGCGUGAUGGUCUACGGGGGAAAGGGGGGGAUUUAAGCAAAGCAAACCGCAGUUCCCAUUGGCGGUUUCGGGAAACACCAAGUCGCCGGUCCUGUUGGCGACUCCCUGCAGCUGCAGCUUCGUUCAGAGCCUCGGAAAUGGCUUCUGUGGCUUCUGUGCCUCUGCACCCUACGUUCGUAGCCUUGGAAAUCGCCAGUCAAAGUUGCGAUUUCAGCACAGGCUCGAAAUCGCCAGCUUCACCGGCGGGACGCUCCUCAACCUGAAAUCGCCAGCCGCAGCAGCGGGUUGCCAUCCACGUGUCCGUUGCCCACGAUGUCGCCAAUAAAGGUUGCGUUUUGCAUGCAAAAUCCAUGCAAACCACGUACGAAACAGCACCAUGGCGGAAAUUCUUUCAAAACGGCCCCAUUUGGGGAAUAAGUUUGCAAAAGGAGACUAAAUGGGGAAAUUUGCCAGAAAUAAGGUUUAAAUAACCAAGGAUUAAUUAAGAUUAAUUGUUGAAGGACAAGUUCAACACCAUGUACUCCACAGAACAAAACAUCUGAAUGAGUAAUUAAUGAUAUAUGAAUUAUCAUUUAUUUUAAACAUUUUAUUUUUUAUCUUCAUGUCACAUCAUAAGUUAUAUUAUAUCUAUAUUUUUUCUUUUUUUUUUCUCCCUAAAUGUUGAAUAAAUUUUUGGGUGUUGAUCAAACAUUUUUUCAUCUAAAUUGAGCUAGAUCUGAAACAGGAUCCAAGUACCUAUAAGGUGAUUUUUAAAGAGAGAAAAUGAGGAAAUAUCAUGAUUCGAAUCCGUUUUAUUAACAAAAUCUAACAACUAAUGUAUAAAAAAAUUAAGCAAAUAAUUACUCUAUUUUUUUUAGUAUUCAUAUAACUCUUAUCUCUUCCCAACAAAUAUUAUCAUGCAAAAAAUGUUUUUUGGAUCUGCAUCAAUACCAAAAGAUGUGGAUAACAGAUGUUAAUACAAUCAUUCAGUAAAAAUUUCUUUAUUAUCUUAAAAAUAUUUUACUUUUGAAUAAUAAAUAUAAUUUUCACAAUUAGGUGAGCGUACUUUGUUUUUCAGAGAUGGUAGAGUGGCCCAGAGAAACUGCACCUCUCAAUGGAUAUGAAUUCAACUUUGAACAAGAUCUAAACAGAACUUCUGAUUUAAUUGACGUGAAAGUGAUGCUUUCUCAAUAGCUGAAUUUUUAAUUGGAAAGCUUUUCAUUGGGCACCAGACUAUAAGAGGCCAACUACAUAGGAUAAUCUCAGAUCUCAGUAAGGCAUGCUUCCCAUGUAUAUAUUGGCAGAUAACUGAAAAUGUUGCAUAUCCUUUAAUUUCUAGCCAUUCACAAAGCCUUUGAUGCUUAAGAUCAGAGUGGAGGUGGUGUUUCAUCAAGUCUGCUGAGAAAUAAUCAUCAUACUUCUACAAGCGAAGCUUGAGCACCUUUGUGACUGUGUCGUUAACUAUAAUUGGACUAGACUCAUUAACAAUAUGGUUCUUUUUAGAUAAAUUUCUUUAAAAACACUUACAGAAGAAAAAAAACAAAAUGCAUUAAGGUCUUUUACUUUUUAUAAAUUAAAGCCAACUUGCACACCUAAGAAAAGUAAGAAGUAAUACAAAACAGAUAUAAUACAACUUUCAUUUAACCAGACUUCAAUCUAAACCAUUGAAUUUUUAAUCAAUAUAUCUACGGUGAAUUUUGAUGGUAGGUACUUCCCCCAGAUUCCUCGAUCAAAAAGCAUCCAACCAAGAACAUUGUCUUCCAAAGAGGACAAGACACCUACUACCACUACACUUUUUAAAGUAGCCAGACUUCAAUCUAAACCAUUGAAUUUUUAAUUAAUAUAUUUAACGGUUAAUUUUGAUGGUAGGUACUAGCGCAGAGCGAGUUAAAAGUGAAGAGAGUUGACCAGAAUCAAAUCUCAUCACACCAGUUAACCUUAUCCAAAACCAACCCAGUUUAUUGCAACCAAUUCCUUUCCUUUGUUCUUGACAUCAUGGCUGAGGCAGUUGGUGGUGCAUUCCUCUCUGCUUUCCUUGAUGUUGUGUUCGACAAGCUGUCUACAGAUGAGGUUGUUGACUUCAUCCGUGGAAAGAAGCUUGACCUCAAUUUGCUUGAGAACUUGAAGACCACUCUGAGAGUGGUUGGAGCUGUGCUUGAUGAUGCUGAGAAAAAACAAAUCAAACUCUCCAGUGUCAACCAGUGGCUCAUUGAGGUCAAAGAUGCUCUCUAUGAGGCGGAUGACUUGCUGGAUGAAAUUUCUACCAAAUCUGCAACUCAAAAGAAAGGUAAGUAAAGUGCUUUCUCGCUUUACUGAUAGGAAAAUGGCCAGUAAGUUGGAAAAAAUAGUUGACAAAUUAGAUAAAGUUUUAGGAGGCAUGAAGGGUCUUCCUUUGCAAGUGAUGGCAGGGGAGACGAGCGAGUCAUGGAAUACUCAGCCAACAACAUCUCUGGAAGAUGGAUAUGGUAUGUAUGGUAGGGAUACAGACAAGGAGGGCAUAAUGAAGUUGUUGUCAGAUGAUAGCAGUGAUGGUGUACUAGUGUCUGUGAUCGCUAUUGUAGGCAUGGGUGGGGUUGGAAAAACCACUUUAGCCCGAUCUGUGUUCAACAAUGACAAUUUGAAGCAGAUGUUUGAUUUAAAUGCAUGGGUUUGUGUUUCUGAUCAAUUUGAUAUUGUUAAGGUCACAAAAACUAUGAUAGAGCAAAUCACGCAAGAGUCAUGUAAAUUGAAUGAUCUAAACUUGCUUCAACUUGAAUUGAUGGACAAACUGAAAGUUAAAAAAUUCUUAAUUGUCUUGGAUGAUGUAUGGAUCGAGGAUUAUGAGAAUUGGAGUAAUCUUACAAAACCAUUUCUACAUGGAAAAAGGGGAAGUAAAAUUCUCUUGACGACCCGCAAUGCAAAUGUAGUUAAUGUAGUCCCUUACCAUAUCGUUCAAGUUUAUCCUCUAAGUAAAUUGUCAAAUGAAGAUUGUUGGCUAGUGUUUGCAAACCAUGCAUUUCCCCCCUCAGAAUCAAGUGGGGAGGAUAGAAGAGCUUUAGAAGAAAUUGGAAGGGAGAUUGUUAAAAAGUGUAAUGGAUUGCCUUUAGCAGCACGGUCACUUGGAGGUAUGUUGAGAAGAAAGCAUGCUAUUAGGGAUUGGAAUAAUAUACUUGAAAGCGACAUUUGGGAACUUCCUGAAAGUCAGUGUAAAAUUAUUCCAGCCUUGAGAAUUAGUUAUCAAUAUCUCCCUCCACAUUUAAAACGGUGCUUUGUUUAUUGUUCAUUAUACCCUAAAGAUUAUGAAUUUCAAAAGAAGGACUUGAUCUUGUUGUGGAUGGCUGAAGAUCUUUUGAAGCUUCCAAACAGAGGAAAGGCGUUAGAAGUUGGUUACGAGUAUUUUGAUGAUUUAGUUUCUAGAUCAUUUUUUCAACGUUCAAGUAAUCAAACUUGGGGCAAUUAUUUUGUAAUGCAUGACCUCGUGCAUGAUCUAGCAUUAUACCUUGGUGGAGAAUUCUAUUUCAGAUCAGAAGAACUUGGAAAAGAAACCAAGAUUGGUAUAAAGACUCGUCAUUUGUCAGUUACAAAGUUCAGUGAUCCAAUCUCAGAUAUUGAAGUUUUUGACAAACUACAAUUUUUGAGAACUUUAUUGGCAAUUGAUUUUAAAGAUUCUUCAUUCAACAAGGAAAAGGCACCAGGUAUUGUAGCGUCGAAGCUUAAGUGCUUGAGAGUUUUAUCAUUUUGUCGCUUUGCAAGUCUGGAUGUUUUGCCUGAUUCAAUAGGUAAAUUGAUCCAUUUGCGUUAUUUAAAUCUCUCUUUUACAAGUAUAAAAACACUGCCGGAGUCAUUGUGUAAUUUGUACAAUCUACAAACUCUAGCGUUGUCUCGUUGCAGAUUGUUGACCAGGUUGCCUACUGACAUGCAAAAUCUUGUAAACUUGUGUCAUCUUCAUAUUGAUCAUACUCCGAUAGGAGAGAUGCCUAGAGGAAUGGGAAUGUUAAGUCAUUUGCAGCAUUUGGAUUUCUUUAUUGUGGGCAAGCACAAAGACAACGGAAUCAAAGAACUGGGGACACUUUCAAAUCUUCAUGGUUCGCUUUCUAUUAGGAAUUUGGAGAAUGUAACCAGAAGCAAUGAAGCAUUGGAGGCUAGGAUGCUGGAUAAGAAGCGCAUUAAUGAUUUAUCCUUGCAAUGGUCUAAUGGCACCGACUUCCAAACUGAAUUAGAUGUACUGUGCAAAUUAAAACCUCACCAAGGCCUGGAAUCUCUAACAAUAUGGGGUUAUAAUGGAACCAUAUUUCCAGAUUGGGUGGGAAAUUUUUCCUACCACAACAUGACAUAUCUAAGUUUACGUGAUUGUAAUAACUGUUGUGUGCUUCCUUCACUUGGGCAACUACCGUGUCUUAAGUACCUCGUUAUUUCAAAAUUGAAUUCACUGAAGACGGUUGAUGCAGGGUUUUACAAAAAUGAAGAUUGUUCUUCUGUGACACCCUUUUCUUCCCUUGAAACUCUAGAAAUUGAUAACAUGUUUUGCUGGGAGUUGUGGAGUACCCCUGAGUCAGACGCCUUUCCUCUACUCAAGUCUCUUAGAAUAGAGGAUUGCCCCAAACUAAGGGGAGAUUUGCCAAAUCACCUUCCUGCUCUGGAAACACUUACAAUUACAAAUUGCGAGCUUCUUGUCUCUUCUCUCCCUACGGCUCCCACCCUUAAGAGAUUAGAGAUAUGUAAAAGCAACAAUGUAUCGUUGCAUGUGUUUCCUCUUUUGUUGGAAUCGAUAGAAGUAGAAGGAGGCCCAAUGGUGGAGUCGAUGAUCGAGGCUAUCUCCAGCAUCGAGCCAACUUGCCUCCAACAUUUAACAUUGAGGGAUUGUUCGUCAGCCAUAUCUUUUCCGGGUGGUCGUCUACCUGCAUCUCUGAAGGAUCUGCAUAUCAGCAAUCUUAAAAAUCUGGAAUUCCCGACCCAGCACAAACACAAUUUACUGGAAUCACUGUCACUAUACAAUAGUUGUGAUUCUCUCACGUCUCUUCCAUUGGCUACCUUUCCAAAUCUCAAAAGUCUCGAAAUCGAUAACUGUGAACAUAUGGAAUCUCUUUUGGUUUCAGGGGCAGAGUCAUUUAAGAGUCUGUGUUCUUUGAGAAUUUUCCGAUGCCCCAACUUUGUAUCAUUCUGGAGAGAAGGAUUGCCUGCGCCCAAUUUGACUCGAAUUGAAGUUUUAAAUUGCGACAAGUUGAAGUCAUUACCUGACAAAAUGAGUAGUCUUCUCCCAAAGUUAGAAUAUCUCCAAAUAUCCAACUGCCCAGAAAUUGAGUCGUUUCCAGAAGGGGGUAUGCCACCUAACCUGAGAACAGUUUCGAUUGGGAAUUGUGAGAAACUAAUGAGCGGCCUAGCAUGGCCAUCCAUGGGCAUGCUUACCCGUCUCACUGUUGCGGGUCGAUGUGAUGGCAUCAAGUCCUUCCCUAAGGAGGGUUUGCUGCCUCCCUCCCUUACGUCUUUGGAGUUAUAUGAGUUGUCAAAUCUGGAGAUGUUGGACUGCACGGGGCUUCUCCAUCUCACAUCCCUGCAAAAAUUAUCCAUAUGGAGAUGUCCUUUGCUGGAGAAUAUGGCUGGAGAAAGGCUUCCUGUCUCUCUAAUAAAAUUAACCAUAUUCGGAUGUCCUUUGCUGGAAAAACAAUGCCGCAGGAAGCACCCUCAAAUUUGGCCUAAAAUAUCCCACAUCCGUCACAUUAAAGUUGACGAUAGAUGGAUUUAGUGACCAAGGAUGAGCACCGGGUAAUUCUCCUUCUUUGACCUACUUCAUCGUCUUCUAAGUCUAACCAAACAAAACUAUUUCAGUCAAGGAUAUCUUUCUUUUCAUGUCUUUUUAUUCUCACAGUUAAUUUAUUCAUUUCAUUCAACAAGUGUUAUUACCCUGAAGAAAUGUUAUUAAUCAAUGCCAUUGUAUUUGAACUUUCUCAAUAUAUCGGCAAUCAUGGUGGUUGUUUCAUCUUGUUACAUUCUCUGUCGGUGUUCAAAGUGUAAUUGGGUGUACUUUGUUUUUCAGAGAUGAUAGAUUGUCCUGUAGGAACUGCACCUGUUAAUGGAUAUGAAUUCAACUUUGACGUGACACCAGAAAGCUCAUAUUUAUGCGUGUAAAGCUGAUCUUCCAGGGCAAAAGGAGGAGGAAGCGAGGGCGCAGUCAGCUGAUGGCAAAGUGUUUAAGAUUGUUCCAUGGC
rnacentral:lncRNA from 1 species